rnacentral:lncRNA from 1 species
UAUGACCCCACAGAUGACUAUGAAUUUGAUGCUGCAAUUCUCGAUGACGAGUCCUUUGAUGAUGAUUACCCAUCUGGGUUUUCUGACAUUGAUUUGUCUGAUUAUGAUAACUACUAUGAAUUCUCUGAUUAUGACGACUUCUCUGUAUAUGGGUUUGACGAGUAUCAGUGAUUUGCUGGUUGACGCGCUUGCAUGGUGAGGAACCCUUUUCUUGCUUUAAGUCGCAGAAUAAUUUUACUACAUGGUUCUACGUAGCUCUUCGUGGCAGUCUGUUGUGAUGUACUAUUUCUGAUUAUUUUGGUCUGGACACGCAGGUGAAGUUUCUUUAUGGUUGCUGACACUUCGUACCAUGGUUCGAGGCAGAGAUGGUUAAGCGACCAUCCUGCACGCCUUCUGGUGAAGCUUUUGACCUGAACUUCGCAAGUGGGAGUCUUUCCUUUUUUUGUUGAUGAAGAGAAGCGCUCAUAGAUCGGCGCUCCCCUUGAAGUGCAUUCUUUUGUUCCUUUCGUUCUAGUCUCUGCAUCUUUAUCUCCAGAACAUGUUAUCUAUGAGCUUCUGCAUAUAUAGUUCUAGUGCCUAGUCUUAUUUUGGUAUCUGUGACUUUGGUGUGCUAACUCCAGCUGGCCAUGAUAAUGAACUUCAUAGCUGAUAAACCAAUAUCAGGCUUCAUUGUGCGGUUUUGCAUAAAAUUCACAAUGCUGUUACCUAAAAUGUUAUUCAGAAAAUCGCUUUAAUCGUUCCCAUCUAUGAGGAUCUUGUAGUGUCAAAUGUAGCAGCAGGUUGCUUUGCUUGUCAAGCACUUCCAUUUUCAACUAGUAGAUCGCAUUUCCAUGUGGGUGCAAAAGAAUGAAUAUUUGACAUCUUUUAUGUCAAGGAAAUAACGUACUGCCUAUCAUAUAUUUUAUGUUAAGGCAGUCGUGUACAUUUCACGCUAGAAGAAUAACCCUAGUAUGGGCAAAGCAGGAGGUUUUGGCUGUGUUUUUGGCAAUCAGCAGUCAAAUUUACAAGUGGUUAGCCAAUGCACUAUCACUGCGUUGAUUAUCAAAGAGGCUGCCAGCUCAUACAGGUUGCUUUCUUUUAUGUUUGGAUCUUCACCUGAAAGUUGCAAAACAUCAACGUGGGAAAUCCGGUACAAGGUCCUUUCGAUGCGGUUUCAAAGAAAUUCACGUGGAAUAUUGAAAACUCUAAAGAUCCUAGACGAAGAGAAUGGGACUGAUCUGAAGAUCUCAUGACCUUAUAGUUCUCAAGAAGAAAUGUCGUGGGAUUAUUCCCACGCGUACCACGCCAUCUAAGACACCAUCUACCAGGCGUUAGAUUAAUUCAAGCGGGAUCAGCCAAACCAAGGGGUGGCAAAUGGGUGGGUCAGGUCGGGUCGGGUCGAAAAUAAGUCGACUUAUAUUUGACCCAUUUAACCAAUUUUGACCCAUAUUUUUAUAGUGUAAAUCUAAUAAUCUAUACCCGACCCGUACCUGACCCGACCCGUAUUGUUAAAACUUAUUAAUAUUUUAGGAAAACUCACUUCUACUAUAUGCUAAUUGGAUUAAAACUUCAAAUAAAAUUAAAAACAAUAAAUAAAAUAAAAUAAAAAGUUAAAAAAACCUAAUAAAUUGAAAUGUUUAUAAAAAAUUAGACUAUGCACAUAGUGAACAUACCAUUGAAUAAUUAAAAAAUGUAACAUGAAAUUUUUUUAACUAAACCUAAAAAAACUCAUUUUUAUGAUUUUUUUUACAAAAAAAAAAAAAGUAUUGUUAAAACAUUUUUAUGCAAUACAAUUUUUUUAAACAAUUUUUAUGCAAUAUUAAUUUAAUGGAAAUUUUUUAUAAUUCUUUUUAAAAUAUUUUUAUAAUUCUUUUUAAAAUAUUUUUAAAAAUCGAAUUUUUAAUUUUUUAAAUAUAAUUUUUAAUAAUUUUUAAUUUUUAAAUAUAAUUGUUAUAUUUUUUUAUUUUUUAAAAUAUGAUUAUUUUUUUAUUUUUCUCUUUUCUUCUUCUUCAGCUAGUCAUUGGCCAUGACGACGGCCGGCAACCGAUCAUAGGCGAGGCCUCGGCCUCACCGACGACUAGCGAGGCUUGAGCUCGCCAACGUCGGGCGGGGCUCGAUCUCGUUGAUCCAGCGAUGCUGAGGCCCCGUCUGAUGCUAGCGAGCUCGAGUCUCGCUAGAUUUGGCGAGGCUUGAGCCUCGCUAGUCAUUGGCGAGGCCAAGGCCUCGCCCAACGCCAGUGAACUCGAGUCUCGCCAGUUGUCGGUGACCUGCCGGCAAGCUCGAGCCUGCCGGCCGUCACCCUACCGACCGUCGGCUAAGGAAGGAAGAAAAAGAAAGAAAAAAGAAAAUAAAAAAUUGAAAUAUGAAAAAUAAUUUUAAUUUCGAUUUUUUUAUAAUAAAAAAAUUAUAAAGUUAAAAAAGGCCAUGGGUUUAAACUUUAAAGUAGGUUUCCUAAUAACCCAUUUAGAUCAAAUUUUUUUUUUUUUGUGUUUUAUUUUCUUAAACCGAUUUCUGACCUAUAUUUAACUUUCACUUGACUCAUAUUUUACCCAUAUUUAACUUUCACUUGACUCAUAUAUGACCCAUUUAACUAAAAAUGGGUCAUAACAUGGGUUUAUAACCCAUUUUGCCAGCUCUACCCAAAUCAAUGUAUUUUUCCCAAAAUCGAUGGGAUUUGGGAGAAUCUUUUCUUGAAGUCACGUGACAACCAGAUGUUAGUUCCGACGAAGAUCUUGAUGUUGGCCAUCUCAAUGAAUAAAAGGGUGAAAAAUGUGUUGGGAUGGCAUGCAUGUCUCAAAUCUCCAUUAAAUUUUGCAAGAAUUGUUCCAAGACAAUUGAAAAGCAAUGAAUUUAGGGAAUAUUUUAAAUUUAUUUGCAGUAACAAUGUUCAUAGUGUAUGUACGAUUAAUACUUUGAUAUAUACUCAUUAUUCAUGUCCCAUCGAAUAUGUUUAACAUCACAUGUUCUAAACCUUUUUUUAUCGCAAUUUCGUUGAAAAAUGUCUCUAGGGUGCUUUCUCUUUUGUUGAACUUUGGGGCACAUGCUAAACAAUAAAACUUUAGCCGUCAAUGCACAACUUCUCUUAAGUAACGAAUCAUGAAUGCUUUGAAAAUCGAAACAUUCACUAUAAAAUAUAAUUGACAGUAAUAAGAUAGGUCAUCUAUGAUAUACCCGUAUCUCCAUGCAUAUGAAUAUGCAAUGAAUACUCUGAAGAACAUCAUAUUAUUCAUUAAGUGCACUUAAUAAAUGCUCCAAAGGUACUUGCUAAGGAAAUCCUUUAUGAAAGCAUUCAUGCAUUCCCCAUGAAUUUAUGAACAAAAUAAACACACCUUUUGUUGUGUGAUCGUGUGAAUGUUAAUCCCUAUAUAUUAGUCAUGUAUAUUCAACAAAAAUAAAUAAAUAAAAAUUGCAAAUAUGAUUACCCAGAACGAAGCCAAAAAUUAUGUAAAUUUUCUUAAUUAAUUAUGUCGAGACACUCCUUAAUAAAAGCUGAUCGCAUCAUCCUCGUGCUUUUCUUCUCUCUCUUUUGUUCUUUUCAAUUAAUGUGUUCAUCCCAUUGAGAAAGGGGAUUAUGCAUGCCGCUCUGCUCGAUGAUAAUUGCACGAGUGUGGAUUUACAGGGAGGGAGGGAGGGAGGGACCAAACUCUUUAAUUAUUAUUGCACAAUAAUUAUUAAUUAUUACUGCUGCAAUUAUUUGUGGGGGAGUUAAGAAACAAUAAAAAUAAAUUACGCAACAUGUCGUGGCGGACACGGGCAUUUGCGCGCGUGUCUCGCCGUAUCUGUCAGACAGAGCCGGUGCUCAAGAGGGUUGGACCAACCACCUCCCGUUGACUUUGAUCCAAGCAGCUGCUGGCCAGUGGGAUUUCGCCACGGCAGCCGUCUGUUGACCUGCGGUAGCAGGAGAUCCGGGCCUGCGCGUGCUAGGUCGCAGCCUCUCCACAGACAACAGCUUUUUACCUGCAAACAUACGCUGUAUACCGUGAAUUAAAAAGCUUUGCGUAUGACAGACGUCCGAGGACCACAAAGAUGGUUUUUAAAUGGGACCAUACGGUAGUAACUUUUUCUUUUUCUUUUUUCCAUUUUUUUUAUUAAAGAGAUAAGUCAUAUGAAAAUCCAAAAUGUGUCCUCUGACAUAUUCAUUUCAAUAAUUUUUUUUGUGACAUAAAAAAUUCUAAAUUUGCAUUUAUGUCACACAAUUACACUCCGUUAAAAUACCAUUAGAUGAUUUUUCAACUAAAAUAACGACGUUUUUUUUUUCUUUACAUAAAUUACGUGGGCGUGUCAGCAUUUUGUUGUCAUAGAAAAAUGUUUAUGAUAAAUAUAUUACAAUGGACAAAAUUUAAGUUAUUAUUGUGAUGUAGAGGAAAUGUUGCAAUUUCUAAUAUAUUGUCUGCUUUUGUGAUAUGUAUACUUAAUAUUUUGAAAAUAGAAUAUUUUCUCGUUAAAUGUAAUUAGCAAAUGCACCAAAAGCACGUGUGCCUUAUGAUACUCAUUAGACAUAUUGACUUUGGAAUGAUUUAGUUUCGACACAUUAUGUGGUAUAUCACUAGAACGAUUAAUGCAUUGGAAACUACAUGAUUUCGAAAAUCAAUUAUUUAAAAAGUGCUCCGUAAACCCUAGUAAACCAAAAUCUUUAUCAUUAUACCGAUAGUGUGUAAAAUUAAGCUUGUUAAGUAAAUUACUUCUAGAGAGAAAGUGAACGUUGAUUUGAGCUCCAACGAGCGCAUUUUCUUGGAAGCCACUCUUUAGGAUCUGUUUGGUUACGUUUUUGUGUCAGGGAUCAAUUUGUUUUCAAAAAUAGUAUUUGUCUAUUUCUAUUCCCCAUAACAAUUUAUGAGUAAAAAAUGCAUUUGGUAACUAUACAGAAUUACUAUUCUAAGAAUGGAAAAAUAUUAAGAAUGCAUUUGAUAUGAUUCACAAUUUUUUUAUAACAUAAAAUUUCUUUGAAUUUUUUAAUAAUAUUUUGAUAAUUUUUUUCUUUUUUUCUUUUGCUAUUCUUCCUUGUUGCUAUUGAUCACUGGCCAUAGGCCGCUGCGGCCGAUCAUUGCUGCUUGCUAGCCAAAGGUCAAUGGCGACUGACAGUGGCCGAACAACAACAAACAAUGGUGGGGUUCAAGGAGAAAGAAAAAGAAAAAAGUAACUUAUUUAUAAAAAUUGUUCAUGAGAACAAGAAGUUACUUUUUUUUUUUUUUACUUUUUAUUUCUAUUCCAAAUCUAUUCCUCCGUCACUUUUCUAUUUCAGAAAAUAGAAAAAUUAGUUGACGUUACCAGACGAAUUUUUUUUUUUGGUUAUGUUCUGAGGAACGAACGAACAUAAAUUGGAAUAAAUAGAAAUGUUAUCAAACGAAGUCUACUUGGUUGGUGUUUUUAGAAAUCAUAUCACCUCAAAUGAUUCAUUCAGUUGAAUCACGUCCCUAUGGUAAUGUUUGGAUGCCCUUUACCUUGUUUUAUUCAAUUUAACUUGAUCCGAUUGUGCACCACUUAGGAAGUCGGUUCGACGUCCGGCCGUAUUUUGGAGACAUUGGUUUCAAGGGUCUCUUGUCCUGAUAUUUGUCUAGUAGAUGAAUGAGGUGUGUGAUGAUAUUUUUACAGGCCGGAGCAAGUGCUAAUUUUCAGGUAUGAUCUCGGCCCAAGAGGCCUACAAGAUGAGCCGAACGUGUUGGAGUGGGUGAUAAAAAUACCUUUGCGGAAGUAUAGGGCCUGUUUGUUUUCACUUUUUUUUUUUUUUCUGUUUAAAAAUAGUUUUUUUAUUUUUUUGUUCCUGGGAACAAAAAAGAAACAGAAACGCGUUUGUUUGCGUUUUUGUUCCAAAUCUAUUUUUUUGUUCUCAGAAACACAUCUGGAACAGAAACAAAAAACAAAAAAAAAAAAAAUUGUUUCUUGUUUCUGGAACAAAAUUUAGGAAUACUUUUUCUCUCUAUUCCAUUUGCUUCUCUCUUUUUUCUUCUUCUUUUUUCUUUCUUUUUUCUUUGGCUGGUUGACGGCCUCGGCCAUGGCCGGCGACCGGCUGUCAAGGGCCAGUGACCUCGCCGGAGCGUCGCUGGCCCCCGGCGAGGCCGAGCGUCACCGGCCCCUGGCGAGGCCGAGGGCCGGCAAGCCUCGCCGUGGCUAGGCGAGGCUGCUGGCCCUCGUCGGCUGGUCACCGGCCAUGGCCAAGGUCGGCGACCGGCCAAAAGAAGAAAAAAAAAAAGAAAAAAGAAAAAAAGGAAAAAUAAAUAAGAAAAAUAAGAAAGAAAAUAGAAAAAAUAAAAUAAAAAUAUUAAAAAAUGAAAAGAAAUAAAAAAAAUUAUACAAAUUUACCAAACAUGUUUCUAUUCUUUUUAUAUUUAUGGAACAGAUUUACCAAACACAUUUUUUUGUUCAAAAAUUAUUUCCUGAAGCAAAAAUACUUUUUUCUAUUUCUGUUCCCAGAAACAAUUUUUAAACAGAAAUGUUACCAAACGAACCCAUAGUUAUUUUGGUUGGACAAAUCAAGUCAUUAGUCAUCAAGUUGUCUAAUAGUUGACUAUAAAUGGAACUUAACCCUAACGAUUAGUUUAGUCGGUUGAGGGUUUUGGAAGUUACGGUUCAAAAAUUAGAAAAUAUUUUCUUAAAAAUGAUCAAUUAUAUUAUUUUCAAAAAUGAGUCAACAAAAUAUAUUUUCAUCAACAAUAGCGAUUUAUGUUUGAAUAUUUUCAUAAAUGACGAAACCAGUAUAGGAUGAUUCUAAAUUAUUGAGUUUUUGUAAGACAAACGCACCAGCCAUCUAACUUAGAAUCAUUCUUUUUUCUGUUCGUUUGUUUUUGGGGUUCGGUAUAAGGGAGUUGAUAUGUCAGGAAGCUAUCUCACUAGCUAUCCUUCCCAUCAGAUGCUUUAACGUACGAACACCAUGUUAAAUCUUUUUUUUUUCCAAGACUUACAUUAAAUCACUUUCCAUGGAAUUAAAUCGUAAAAAUUAGAGCCCCUUUAAAAUAUCGUCACAUUACAUUUUAAUGUUGGGUCGACACAUUAAAAACCCAAUACACUUAUCAUGAAAGAUUGUUAAGGGAAAACUCAAAUAUGAAUCCAUUAACUUAUUCGAUUUGAUCCAUUUACACUCAAAACCUUUGGUCAAUGAAUUAUAGCUAAGUUAGAUAUGUUAAAUACUCCAUAUUACAGCACAUCCUUGUAUGAGAGUUCGAUAGCUUAACAUUCUCGUGCAUGCACGUAGACAAUUUCCCCCUUCACACGUGCAAGCCACCGAUGUUAGGCUCACUCCCCCUCAAUCCUAAUAUCCUUCUACACCAACAUUGUCUCAACUCGAGAAUCUUUAAUCUUUACCUUGGCUUGGUCAAAUUUGCAUAUACUGGUGAGGACCGUGGGUAUCUUUCAGAUUCCACCUUAAUGUCUUCCCUCAACCAAGCUUGUCGAGAGUAGAGGGACACCAUUCAUCACCUCGAUUAAGGGGCCACAUUUGAGAUUUUCCUUCCUUGAAAUAUUCACGGGCACUUAUACAUAUUGGGAUCCAGCCACGAAUCAACACUGACUCUAAUACCAUUUUUAGAUUGACACAGCAGAAGCUCAGUACAUUUGAUGAGAUCACCAAGAGGAAGCACUAGUCAAAGCCCAUGAAAAUACCUAGUUGGACCCAAUUUUACUCAAAAACUUUAGUUAAUCAAUUAUGAAUCAGCUAAAAUGCAUCAAUUGCACAACAUUUACUUUGUGGGAUUUCUCUCAGCUAACAUCCGUGCACAUGCACCUUAAAAAAUACUAAAUGCAAUCCGAUUCCUCAUGUGUCAAAGGUACCCCUUGAAGCAUCAAAUACAACGAUAGGGUUUGCGUAGCUUUCUUGUUGUAGUAGAUUUUCUCUUGAUUACUACCUUACCAGCCCUUAGUGUCACGCCCCGAUCCUCGAUCACAUGCCCAUCCUUCAUCUUUGGUCGGUUUUAAAAUGCAAUAUCCCAGGACUACAUAUCGCCGGUCCUUUCUUUUUCAAUAGCACAUGCAGAAGCAGUUAUAAAUCCCCAAACAAUAAAACAAUGGGAUAGAAAAGUAGGGCUAUAAUUUUCAUACUGAAAUUCACAACCACACUUUUAUACAGGCGCCUCAUAGCAUAUAAUGCAAUACUAUUAACAGGGGUCUGAUCUAACACUUAUCCACAUAUAAUCAAGGUCUGACAAAACAAGAUAGGAUCUCAGUCCUCAUCCGGAUCGUACUCAGGAUCCUCCUCAUGGUCAUCUUCUUCUCCAAAAUCUUCCUCCUCAUCUAGUUCCGCAUUAGGGUUCUCCUCUUCAGAUUCCUCCUCCUCAGGCUUCUCAUUAGGGUCCUGAAAAGGUUAUUUAAUAACCAUUGAAACCAUGUCUCAACAAGUUCUACUUCAUAAGACUCGAUUAGUAAACCAAUAUGCUAACUGAGCUACCUAUGCACGCAUGGGUCAGAAGACUUACCUUGACCUCAGAUUCCACCUGCAUAUUAGCACAGUUCAAUAGGCAUCCAAGCAAUCACAUCACAAAUCGAUAUCUCGAUCAAUUGACCUAGUCGAUUUCAUGCCAACCAGACCAUUCAUCGGUCAUUUCAAUUCAAUCAAUCAAUUCACGACAUCAAAUCAAAGUAAUGAUCAAUCGACCUAGUCGAUUACAUGUCAUCUCGACCCUUUCUUGGUCGGAUCAUCUCAUACUAUCUAUAAGUCCGUUCAUAUCAGGAUUGCUCACUGCUAAGCUGAUAAAUAGAUAGUUUAGCUCACUUUUGAGAUGAUCGGGUAUACUGCUCUCUACUAAGCUGCCAUAUCGAUCGCAUGCUGAUAUAGUAUACUGAUAGAGCUCAAUCUAAGCUAAUAAGGUAUAUUGCUCUCUACUAAGCUGCCAUAUCAGAGCUCGUAGGAUGAUAUAGUAUACCGACAUAUUCAAUAUAAACUGAUAAGAUAUACUGCUCUCUGCUAAGCUGCCAUAUUGCCCUUAAGCUGAUAUAGUAUACCGACAUUCUCGAUCAAAACUCAUAAGGUAUACUGCUUUAUGCUAAGCUGACAUAUCGCCCCUAGGUCAAUAUAGUGUACCAUCCCAAUCGUACAAUUAAUUCCAUCUUUUUAUCAUUCUCGAUAAAGUAGCUGUGUGUGGGGACACGGUUAGUCUUAGCCAAAAUAUAAUAUUUUUCUUUACAUAAAUCCCACAUUUUCUGUAGUCCACUCAAAUAUUUUUGGCAUUAUCAACCGAUGCUCGGUUAUUUUUCAAUUAAUAACCAAAGAUUAUUCAAUUAAAGAAUAAUUCCCAAUUUCACAAAUAACUCAAUUCAACACAAAAUAAAGCUCAAUUAAAUAAAGAGACUGCGCCACGACCAUCAGCAUAAAAUUCCAGUUGUCGGCUAUCCCUGCCUAAUUUCGAAAAAUAAAUAAUUAAUUAAAUUAAUUUCGAAAAAUAAUCAAUAAAUACUAUAAAUCCAAUUUAGGCCUGUAAUGCCAAAUUGAAGCCUGAUAAGGGUCAGGAAAAGUCCCGAGAUUCAUUCAAUAUAUAAUAGGAGCUCUCUACUUGCUAAUGACUAUGUCUAACCACCUAACAUGCAUCAUUAAGUCACUAAUUUAAUUGUUCUAAACUAAUCUAACCACCUAUUUACACUGAAUUAAAUCUAACCAACCCUUAAGCAUAAUUAGCAAACUAAUAAAGCAUUAGUGAGUAAAACUCACUUGGCAAAGCGAAGAUCGGAACACUAUGAUGACAACGCGAUGACGGCCGAAAUCCAAACUUUCGGCGACGUCGAUGAAACCUUAGGCCGGGCCCAAAGACCUUGCCUCACGGCUUGGGCUUCAAAAGAACUUGCUGGACUUGGGUCUUGCUGAAUUUGGCUGAAGACUCAACUAAUGGGCUGUUCUAGCUGGGCCUCACUGACAUACAAAUGAUGCUGGGCUUGACUUCACGGGUUGAGUUCAAUUCUAGGCCGGGCUAAACUACUGAAAUGGCCCUCAAUUGGACUGAAUUUUGCUGGGCCCGGAUUGCUAAAAGUGCCAAACUGAAGACACGGGCUGGAACAAAAGAAACCUGGGCUGCACUUGUGGAUUGGGUGGAUUUUGCACGGCCAGAUGAAUGCUGCAGGUUGGGCUUUGAGAGUGCUAGUAUGAACAAAAUAAAUGAGUUAGGGAAGAGAAUAAGAACACAAGAUUUAUAGUGGUUCGGCUUAAUCCAAGCCUACGUCCACUCUCCCAUGAUAACAGCCUUCUUGGCUGGAUUCCACUAUGCAAUCAACAAGAGAUUACAAGUUCGAGUGCAAACACUUAGUAGUAGAUCACACUAUCUCACUAAGUCACUCUUUUGGUAUUUCUCUCACGAUUACAAACGUUUAAGCUCUCAAGAGACAAGUAUAUGAUCGAAAGUCGCUCAGACUUUUGAAUUAUAAAUUCUACGCUCCGUCUCUUACUUGCUCAUCGGUCCAUGAUCUCCUUAAAUACUCCUCCACUUCCAAACUACCCGUUGGACAGUAUCCCGGAGAAUCGUCUUCCAAUAUACCCAUUGGACAGCUCUGUAUCUAGAAGAUUUGGUAACCGUUGAGUGACAAAGGUAGAAUCCCAACUUGAUUCCGAUCGCCCAUACAAACGGAAUCUUGGUUUCCAUAAGUAAAGCUUCUUCGUAUAGAAAGAUCUUGUCUUCAACAUCCAAUUGUCAAUCAAAUAGAUUGAGUCAAUCAAAUCAAUCUUGAUGUGGAAUCCAAACCAGAUCACUAGCCGUUAUAUGAUUGGGCUUGAAUUACGUUCUGUCGAAUCUGGAUGUAAAGUCUGAUGGCUAUCAUACUUUACAAUCUGAGUCUGAGUUUGGCAGUCUUUAGACUUUGAGUCUUGAGUCUGGCAGUCUUCAGACUUUGACAUAGAAGUCUGGAAAUCUUCAAAAUAUACUUUGGACAUGUGUUACGUUCAGUCUUCUGGUCGUCUUCUGACUUUGAUAAUAUCCUUUACAUGUUCUAUUAUCUGCAUGGUCUAUUACUCAACCAUUAAACAUGUUAGUAGCCUUUGAUUUAUUUUGUCAUCUUCAAAACAUCAUAAGGGAUUUCCCUAACAGGCUUCACUUCGCGCCUCCCAACGAAAGCACGAAGAAGGUGAUGCUGAAGACGUGCAGUUCGGUGGGGUGUGGAGUUGCUUCGUGGACUUCACUAGCCACUGGAUGGAACCGAAGAAACGAUGAAGACUGACGUGUGGCGCGGCUGCUGCUUCUGUCUUCGUGCACUGGAAAAUCCACGCGACGAGGGGUAGCAAGCGACUGGGAAAUGUUCCUGUUGUUGACCGUGAAGACGCAUGACUGGUUGCAAGCGACAAAGUAGAAAUGGAUUCACAUGAACUGAUGGAUCAACACCAGCUACAGGAGGAUUCAAGGCUAAGGGGAGCUUCGGUUGACUGGCUUCGUGGAAGUGGGUUGACUCACUCGGUGGACGCAUGGAUCUUGGACGGUGCUGCUGUGGUGGCUCAUGCGGAGAAUCAGUAGGGGCAGAGGUCGGUGGAGCAGCAGCGUGAGAUGAGUGCUGGAGUUCAAACGGUGGAGGAGAAGGGCAGCAAGAAAGAGAGAGAAGGUGGAGUGAGUUACACCGAGGGAAAAUGAACAAGAAGCGGCGUCCGUGGAGAGCAGCUGGUCUUGCAUGCUCAAAUGGAUUGGAUCAAAGCUUAAAGUCGACAAUUAUUAUCCAUUGCAUUAAUAGCUUUGUCCCCUAAUACUUUCUAGAGAGAUAAUCCAUAAUUAAUUUAAUUGAAGCCAAAAUUGCAGCCCUCUUAGCCAAGGUUCCGAAUUUCACUUAAUACUCUCCAAUUUCUUCACCGACUCUCCGAAUUGGGGUCCGAUUUCGCUGAAGGAAAAUCCCGAACAAUUUUCUGCAAGUCCCCGACACCCAAAGGCUCGACUUGGAAGUCCAACUUUUCUUCAAUUUGGCCCAUCCGAAUUUCUGUAAAUUUUCCGCAACGUCCGAAUCCAUUUUUCAUAAAAAUCUCGGAAUCUCCGAAAAAUCUUCUGAGACUAAGUCAACGUUCCUAAAAUAGCUCGUGACAUCACAGAACUUUCAAUUUCUAAAAUUUGACUCGAAUUCACAGGUAAUUUCCAUUUGACGCGUUUUUAGCGUGACCUAGGUUACUAGGUAACUUUCAGGCAUUUUUAGUGUAAAUGAUUUGUGGUCGAUUUUCUUCGAGCCACUAUGAAACCACUUGACUCAUUGGCGACUCUUGAUUGUCGUAAAAAAACCUGAUGAUCCAAAUACGGACACAGGGUACCAAAACAAUAAGAAAAUCAGUCUAGUGUCUGUCGAUGAGAAUUUUUCAAUUUAGUGGUGUCACCCACGAUUAACCACACAUCUCUGUCGACUCAGCCUAUCUCUGAUUUCAAAUCGAUUUUAUAGUGUGCUGCAAUAGCCUCUAAAGACAGACACUGUCAAGAAACCGAUUUAUAGUCGAAUUCUCAAGUCUAUUUGCCUUAAAAUCCUUAUUGGUUUCCCCAGCUAACCUAGUUAUCUCAAGAGUGAUCAGCUUUGAGAACAGCCCUAUAGGCGCGUCAAUGAAAUGCCUGAUUUAUUCAGUAGAAAACAGAGUUGAAAAUCUAGGAUGUCACACUUAGCAUUGAGGUGACAGGCUACUGAUGCCGUAAUUAUUUGUAAUGUCGAUUCAUUGGAAGGUAAAUAUUAAUGAGUCAUGUUUUACUUAUUAUGUCUUUAAAAUGUACAAUUUUUCAUUGAAGCACAACUGAAUAUAUUAAAAUUCUCUUCUUUUACUGAUAUGUAUAUUUUUUUUUUGUAACCCAGGAAUAAACCUAGGGGGACACGUAAGCGGGAGGACCCACCACCCCCGGCGUCCCACUUAAGACCCCAAGUGACCGUAAGAGGAUUCAAACUCCUCCCCUUCGUGAGGGGGAAAGAGCCCAAACCAUUGUGGCCACCAGGGCGGUGGUUAAAUAUGUAUUUCUUUAAUUCUCAAAAUCUCUCAAAAAGCAUUCUUUCUAUUUUUAGUUAAUUUAAUCUAGGCAUUAGUUUUGACAUGAAAUGAAAAAGAAGAGAAUUGGAGGAAUUUCUUGUGCUCAUUAUGUAUUGUUUUUCAUUCUUACAUGUAUUAAUAAUAUAAAGUGUGGACAGCAAAAGGAAACAAUGUAAAAAUACAUAAUUAAUAUGGAUCACUUAUUGAUUCAGUCAAUCAAUCUAAAUCUUAGAUUAAUUCAAUUAUCUCUUCACCACAUAAAUCAUAUCUCCAACACUCCCUCUCAAGUUGGUGGCUUGUAUAUGUCCAAAACACCUAGCUUGUUUAACAAAUGUGUGUUGUCUUUGACACAAGGGUUUAGUGAAGAUAUCAGCAGGCUAUUUUGAGGUUCCAAUUCCCUUUAUCCUAUUAUUCCUUCUUGGAUCUUAUCUCGAGAGAAAUGAUAGUUGACCUCUAUUUUUGUUAUCUCAUGGACUAUAGGAUUAGCUGCAAGCUUUAGUGUUGCAUCAUUAUCACAAAAACAACGUAGUUGGCCUUUUAACCCGCACACCAAGGUCAAGAGGUAGACCUUGCAUCCAUACUAUUUCAUAAAUAGUCUUGGCCAUGGCUCGAUACUCAACUUUAGCCAAUGAUAAUGAUAUGGUUGUUUGCUUCCUCCUCUUUUAUUUUUUGUUUUUUAUUUUUUAUUUUUUUAUAACAAAAGGAUGUUCUGAGCUUAAUGCAAAAAAUCUAGUAAUGGAGCUCCAGGUCAUAGGACAGGUGGCAUGGUCUGUGUCACAAUAAUACGUCAUCUCCAUGUUGCACACUUGAGAAAGAAGUAUUCCAAAUCCUAGACAUUUCUUCAAAUCACAACUUUUAGAGCUACAUUCAUAUGUGAUUGUUUUUGGUUAUGCAUAAACCGACUCAACAUUAGCACUGUUUAGCAUAUGUUUGGUAUUGUCAUGGUGUGAUAAUCUUUCCUACGAGCCUCUGAUAGCUUGACGGAUCCUUGAGCAGUGGAUUAUUAGCAUUUGAUAGUGUUCCCACAUAAAAAAAAAAUGUGAUUAACUUGAUAUCUUGCUCGAUAGGAAUAGUAGCUAGCUUACAUCCUAACAGACUUGCUUUUGAUAUAAUUUCAAGGACAAAUUUCCAUUAGCUAAGAGGAGAUUCCCAGGUUCAAUUGGGCAAUUUUAAUUCCAAGGAAAUAUAUGGGAGGUCCUAGAUCUUUAAUGUGAAAGGUAUAGUGCAAAUAUUUCUUGAGAUUUUCAGUAGCAGCUUCAUCCGAUCCCAUAAUAAGUAUGAUAUCAAUAUAUAUCCUUCGAUAGAUAGAUUACGAACCUUUUCUCCUUAUAAAUUGUGCAUAAUCAUGUCUCAACUGUCUAAAGCCAGUAACUAUAAGUGCAUUUGUAAAUUUUGUGUACCACUAAUGAGAAGCUUUCUUAAGGCCAUAAAGUGAUAUGCAGAGACAACAUACCUUAGACUUCUCCUGUAUUCAUAAACCCGGUGGAAGAUCCAUGUAAAUUUCUUUGUCUAGAUCACCAUGGAGAAAGGCAUUGUAAAUAUCCAUUUGAUGUAGUGGCCAAUCCCGCAAGCAACAAUGCAUAGAAAGGAGCGAAUUGUGACUUUUUUUGCUACUGGAAAGAAUUUUUUUAUGAUAAUCGAAACAUUCUUUUUAUGUGAAACCUUUGGGUACUAAACGAGCCUUGUAUCGUUGGACUGAUCCAUUUGCCUUGUGUUUAAUUUUAUACACCCAUUUACAAUCAAUUGGGUUCCAAUGAGCAAGAAAGGACACAAUAUCCCAAGUUUGAUUUUUCAUUAAGGCACAUGACUCGGAGAUGUGCUCCCAACUUCUUAACACCCCCAAUCGAGGAUGGAGGAGGCAUGACAUAUGAGGAGACCAACCCUCAAUUGGCGUAGGUUUUGCUUUGCCUAUUUACUUUUCAUGUAGUAUGUUCAAUCGAUGCUUCUUCACAUUGAAUCAAAGGAAAAAAAUUCGAACCUUUGUCUUGACUAACUAAAUUUCAAAUAAAGCUCCAAACCCACCAACUAGACAUUUCUUCACCAACCAGCUUGCACUCGUAGCUCGCGUUCGAAAGUAAUUUAAUAGGAUAAGAUGAAUUUGUUUUCGAGCAUUUUGAAGGGGGGUUGGAAGGGAGAGACUUGGAAUACCGAUGAUAUCCCCGAUGACACAUCCACCAUGCCAGCAGAUGGAUGUGCGCCAAGCUUCUUAUCACCCCUGACCAAGUAUGGAGGAGGCACGACGUUUGAGGAGACCAACACUUGAUUAGCUUAGGUUUUGCUUUGCCUUGCCUAUUUACUACGGAUUCUAUUUCAUUCUUCAAUUUACUUUUCAAUCGAAGCUUCUUCAAAUUGGGUCAAAGGAUCGAAUGAAAUCAUCACUACUUUAGCCAUUGGAAUAAGCAUUAUUUGUUGCUUUGCCUAUUUUCUUUUUGUGUUUUAUGUACUUCUUCAAUUUACUUUUUCAAUCAACACUUCUUCACAAAGGAAAAAAAAAAUGAAUCUUUGUUUCGACUAACCUGUUGGAGAAAACUUCAUUAUCUGUUUUGAAGUUGACAAAACGUUUCCUUUCAUCAAAGUCUGAAGACCGCCAGACUCAAGAUUUAAAGUUUGCCCUCAUUAACAGUUCUAGACCGACGAAGAAAUCUUAUUUAGAUGCAAGUUUAUCUUUAAGGAUUUGAUAUGUUUAGUUGAAGAUUAUUUCACGGUUGGAGAUAGCAUCUAAAGAUCUAUUAUUCGUAUUGCAAAUAAUUUGAGUAAUUCAGAUUCAUUGAUUGGCAAAGUAAACUUAGAAAUUCUACUUAUGAAAACCUAGAUCCUGAUUGUUUGGGCGAGUAUGAUUGGUGGGCUAUCUUCAUUUUCCUUAAGUAACUCAAGAUCUCUCUAAUUGAUUAUGUCCAACGGUUAGAUUGGAAGAACUCAUUUGGAAAGUGCUAAUGGAUAUGAAGACAUAGAGGAAUAUAUAAGGAGGAUGCUCUAGUUAUUCGAGUGCGUGCGAGAUAGAAAAAUUUCAAAGUCUAAAGCUUUUAGUUCUUCACCGAUUUGUUUGUUGAGCAAAAACUUGUACUCAAGAGGGAUUAGAUAAUUGUGAGACCUUGAGGAAGUGUAGCAGAGUCUCUAUACUAUGGAAUCAAUGACGUGUGAUUGUAACAACUCUUUUGAUUCAUAGUGAAAUCCAGCCAGUUGGCUGUCAGUGCGGGAGAGUGGACGUAGGCUUGAUCUAAGCCGAACCAUUAUAAAUUAUCGUGUUUUCAAUUCUCUUUCCCUUAUCUUUUUACUUAGUUCAUAGUCUUAUAUAUAUCAUUGCAAAUAUUCUAUAUCUUAAGUCAUUCAUUGUUAUAUAAAUUGAAUUAAGUUGCUAAGUUUUACAAAAUUCGUUUUCACACCUAUUCACCCCCUCUAGGUGUUCAUACUAGCACUAUCAAUUGGUAUCAGAUCCUAUAUACUCAUUUAAUUGAAGUGUUUUUACUUCAUAGUUAAAGAUCCAUGGCUAGUAUGUUGGCUCCAAGUUUGGUUGAAGGGCAAAGCAACACCAGACCGCCUUAUUUUGAUGGGAAGGAAUACUACAUAUGGAAAAACAAGAUGAAAGCUUUUCUAAGAUCGAAAGAUUCUCUAGAAUGGGAUGUGGUAGACAAAGGAAUUAUUUCAAAAGUUACAACAGUCUUAGAAAGGGGAAAAGAAAUUGCAGAGGCUAGCGAGAUGACUCAAGAAGAGAUAACCAAGAGAUAAGCUCUUGAUGCAAAAGCAAUUUACUCCUUAUAUUGGGCAUUAUCUCCAACUGAAUAUAACAGAAUAUCUUCUUGUGAAAUAGCUAAAGAAGUCUGGGAUAGACUGCACAUUACGUAUGAAGGGACUGAUCGAGUGAAAUAAACUAGAAUCAAUAUUCUGCUUGGUCAAUAUGAAGCUUUCAAAAUGAAGCCAGAGGAAUCUAUCACUGACAUGUUUAGUCGUUUUACAGAAAUGAUGAAUGGUCUUGAGUAUCAAGGUCAACCAAUCUCAAGACCCAUGAAGGUUAACAAAUUAUUGCGUGGACUUUCCAAAGAUUGGAAUCACGUAAAGACAUCAAUAAAGGGAGACACAAAGGAUCAUGCCACUCUCCGUUGAUGAAUUGGUUGGCACUAUUCAAUCUUAUGAAGUGGAGCAAAUCAAUGAAGAUGUAGAUCCCAAAGGUAAAAAAUCUAUUGCCUUAAAAUCUAAUGAUGAUUCUAAUGUUACAGAUUUUGAAGAUGAUAUGGACGAUGAAGAGCUUGCUCUUAUGAUAAAAAGGUUCAGAAAACUGAAAAAAGGGAAGAAGAUUCAAUUGGAAGAAAAAAAACUCUCAAAGAUUUCAAAACAAAUCAGCUGAGGAUGACAAAUCCAAUAAAUAUGUGAUUUGCUUUGAAUGCAAGAAAAAUGGACACAUCAGACCCAACUGUCCCUUGGUGAAGAAAAAGAAAGGAAGAGCUGAGAAAUACAAAAAGGCACUCAAAGCAGAAACUUGAAGUGAUACUAAAUGCGAAAAAAGUGAUGAUGAUUAUGCUAAUAUUUAUUUAAUGGCAAAAUCAGAAUCAAAUUCAGAUUCAGAAAUCAAUAUAGAUUCAGAUUCAGAGAGUGAAAUCGAGGUAAGUAACUUUCAAAUUCCUAUUAAGGUCUCGAAAUAUAUUAAUGAAUUGUGUCUUAAUUUCAAAACCUCUCUCAAGAGGAUUUCCGAGCUAAAAAUGGAGAAUUCUAUACUGAAGCAAUAAGAAAUUUUAUAGAAAGAAAAGUUUGAAAAUCUAGAUACAAGUUUUAUUACUUUAAAAGAAAAUGCAAAAUCUCUUUCAAAAGAAAACACACUUUUGAAAAAUGAUAUUUCAAACAUUUCAAAAAGGUUUUCCAUGGGAUCUGAGAAAUUGGAAAAGAUUCUUUCAGUGCAAAGACCUUACUUUAACAAAUCAGGCUUGGAAAUGACAUUUGAAACUAUUUCUUUAAUUGAAUUUUCAAAAGUAAAGGAAAGAAUCAAACAAAGACCUACAAAAGCCUUUUAUAGAAAUCAUAUUCAAAAAUUCUUUAUAAAACCUGUUGGCUGAAGUGCUCUUAGAUGUUCUAAGUGUAACAGCUCAAAACACUUUGAGAAAGAAUAUCCUAUGGUUUGGAGGCUUGUUAAGAAGGAUAUGGCAAAGACUGUAUAUUGCACUAACUCCACUAGACCCAAGAAAGUGUGGGUACCAAAGAAAGUGUGGCUGUUCAAGGCAUAUGAUUAGAGAUUCAAAUUGUUUUAUUAAAUUUAAACAAGUAAUUUGUGGAAAGGUCUCCUUUGGCAUAAACAACAAGGGAAGAAUUUUUGGAUGUGGAAUUGUAAAGAUAGGAAAUCUCACAAUCAACAACGUCUCCUUAGUGGAAGGACUCAACUACAACUUGCUCAGCAUAAGCCAAUUGUGCGACACUGGGUUCAAGAUCAAUUUUCAAGAAGGAAUAUAUUCGGGCACUAGUAAAGAUCUUUCACAAUCCUUUACUGGGUGAAGACAUGGAAAUAUCUAUCUUUUAGAUAUCAAUCCAUAAAGAUAUCAAUGUCUAAUUUCAAUUCAAGAUGAAGAAAAUCUCUUGCAUUGAAGGCUUGGCCAUAUCAACAUGAAGCAAAUUGCCAAGAUCUCUUCAAAGAAGCUUGUUCGUGGACUACCCAACCUGAAGUACCAAAAAUCUGACUUAUGCACACCAUGUGUAUUGGGAAAACAGAUGAAGGAAUAUUCCUUGGAUACUUAACAUCCAACAAAAAUUACAGAGUAUAUAACAAGAAGACUCAGUUUAUGGAAGAGUCAAUGAAUAUCAAAUUUCAAGACUCUAUACAAAAUCAAUCGAUCCAAACUCAACCUGAAGAAUUGGAACGUGCUCCAAACUCUACAAAAUCUACUUUCCCUUAAGCAGCUCAGACUACAAAAGAACAACAACGAACAAAUAUUGAAGAAUCAACUAAAGAAGAAGUUCAACAAUCUGUCAGACCAACCAGCAACUGGAAGCACAAGUCCAGUCAUUCUAAAGAACUCAUUAUUGGUAGCAUUGAUGAAGGAAUUCGCACAAGAUCCAAAAGGCAUGAAGAGUUUAGCGAUGUUGCUCUUAUUUUUGAAAUAGAACCCAAGAGCAUAAAAGAAGCUUUAACUGAUGAAAGCUGGAUCAAAGCCAUGCAAGAAAAGCUCAGGUAAUUCAAUGUUAAUGAUGUUUGGGAACUAACUCCUAAACCAAAAGGUAAAUCUGUUAUUGGAGCUAUAUGGAUUUUCAAGAACAAGAUGGACGAGAAAGGAAAAGUUAUAAGGAACAAAGCAAGACUUGUGGCCAAAGGAUAUACACAAGAAGAAGGGAUAGACUAUGAUGAGACUUACGCACUAGUAGCAAGGUUAGAAGCAAUUAGAUUAUUACUUGUUUUUGCUUGUUAUAAGAAUUUCAGGUUAUUCCAAAUGGACGUCAAAAGUGCAUUCUUGAAUGAAUUUAUCCAAGAGGAAAUCUAUGUGGAACAACCUCUUCGUUUUGAAGAUCCAAGGAAACUAGACUCUGUAUUCAGACUGAAGAAGGCUCUAUAUGGAUUAAAGCAAGCACCUCGAGCUUGGUAUGACAAGUUAAGUAAAUUUUUAAUCAAAAGUGGUUUUGUCAAAGGUAAAGUCGACACUACUCUGUUUAUUAAAAGGGAAGGUAAAAACUUUUUACUUGUUCAAAUUUAUGUUGAUGAUAUAAUAUUUGGAUCAUCUAACGAAAGUCUAUGCAAUAAUUUCUCUAAGUCUAUGCAAGAAGAAUUCAAGAUGAGCAUAAUGGGUGAAUUAUCCUUCUUUCUUGGACUACAAGUAAAGCAAUUAAAGGAAGUAAUUUUUAUUCACCAAGAAAAAUAUGCAAAAUAACUUGUUAAAAAGUUCAGUUUAGACAAUUGUAAAAAGACUGAAAUAUCAAUGUCUAGUUUUUCGAAACCGGAUAAAGAUGAAGGAGGAAAGAAAGUUGACCAAAAAUUUUACAGGAGUAUUAUUGGUUCACUUAUUUAUCUUACUGCCUCUAGACCUGACAUUUUGUUUAGUGUUUGUAUGUAUGCCAGAUUUCAAUUAGACCCAAAAGAGUCUCAUAUAAGUGCUGCAAACACAUCAUCAAAUACGUUGCAACAACCUUGAAGAUAGGUUUAUGGUAUCCCAAAGAGGGAGACUUUACUCUCUUUGGAUAUUCUGAUGCAGAUCUAGCAUGUUGUCGAGUUGAAAGAAAAAGCACUUCCAGUACUUGUCAAUUGCUUGGUAACAUGACUGUAUCAUGGUUUUCAAAGAAGCAAAGCACAAUAGCUCUUUCAACAGUUGAAGUAGAAUAUGUGGCUCUUGGAAGUUGCUGUUCUUAAAUCUUGUGGAUAAAACAACAACUAAGAGACUUUGGAAUCAAAGAUUCGUGCACUGAGAUCAGAUGUGAUAACACUAGCGCAAUUAAUCUCACCAAGAAUCCAAUUCUUCAUUCAAGAGCAAAACAUAUAGAGAUUCAACAUCAUUUUAUUAAAGACCAUGUUAAAAAUGGAGAAGUUAUAAUCCAAUUUAUUGACUCAAAGAAUAAACAGGCGGAUAUAUUUACAAAGCCACUGGAGAAAAGUCUAUUUGAGUCUAUUCGCACCAGACUGAACAUUCUUUAGAGUUUGGAUGUGCACAAGACUCAAAAGGUAAAGUCUGAAUGUGUUCAGACUCAGAAAAUCAAGAGUUACAACGGUAAGUUAUUUCUAAAUUUGAAAAGGUAUGGUUGUUUAUUAAUCGCUAAUUGAUUGAAGUAAUCUUUCAAGUUUUCUUACUUUUUCAAAAAGGCAGUUAUUAAUUUUGAAAAGACAGUUAUUUUCAAAAAGGGAAGUUAUCUUUUUCAAAAAACUAUUUUUAUUUUUCGUUUACGAUGUUUCGUUUACCUCGUUUCACUUGCUUUAUAUACUGCCAAAACUUGUCUUCUUCGUUUUUACAUUGAAACCCUAAAAUACAAAAUUCCUAUUUGCUUUCACUUUCAUUCUUGAUUUGUCAAAAAGUUAUCUCCUUUUUCAAGCAAGUGGUGAAUUCCUCCCUUGAAGCGACAAUGUCUUCGAGAAAGUCUUCGAGAAUUGCAAGCAGGGGACCACAAUCUAUGCCUAAGGGUCCUACCCAUUUUGACUUAACUGAGAAAGAAGAUUCUUCUCCACCACUGCGUCUGAGUCAACAACAACCUUCUCAACAGCGUCAACCUUCUCCACCGACUCAACUUGAAGAUCAAGUCAUAGAGGAUACUGAAACUGUAAGAACUCUGACUACGAAGGUUGCUUAUAAGCUCUACUCUAAUCUGAAGAAAGGAGGAACAUCGAUGUUCUUAAUCGAUGAAUUCUUAAAAGAUAGAGGAUUCAAGAAUGAAACCUUGUUUUUGAGGGAUUUGGAAAAAUUGGGAGUUGUAGAGAAAGGAACGGCUGACCAAACGUUUGAGAACAUACCGAGUGACCCGUUCUAUGGCUUUGCACAUCAACCUCAGGACGAUGAUGAACGGUUGUUUGCUCAUUUUCAGCCUAGAUCGGGUGUGGCUACAAACGUUACUGAUGGCUCUAAUUUGUUUAGAUCGAAGGGGCACAAGAAGGUUUAUUUGGAACUUCUAAAGGGAGGGGUUAUGAACCCUAGAACUGUUGAUUUUGACUUUCUUGAUUCGAUAAAGGUCAAUCUUCGCGAGAAGUUUGCCUUUCUACAACCGGAACGUUUUUGUUUUGAAUCCACUACUGCUUUUCCAGAACUCACCGCAUACUUUUAUUCGAACUUAUCUUUCUUGAAUGCAAACAGUUUUAUUUCACUGUGAAGGAAAAAGAGUUUUUGGUGGAUACAAACACACUAGCCAACAUAAUUGGGGUGGAAAGAUCAAGUUUUCAACCAAUUAAUGUAUAUAUUGCACAUGUUAUUCUGUCAUUGGUAAGAGAUAGGAAUGUUGAUGGCAAGAUUUCUUACUCAAGGAUGAGUGCCUCUAACAUUUUGCUGCACAAGAUUGUGAUAAAUUGCAUUCAUCCUAAGUCAACAUCCAAGAUAGAUAUUUCUUGAUCGGAAACUAAGUUGAUGUGUGCCAUUAACUCUAGAUAUAAAUUCCCUUUGCCUCACACCAUAUUGUUUCAUAUGUACCGCACCGUGGAAAAAGAUAAGGGACAACUCCCUUAUUCUGCUCUUAUCUCAAGACUCUUUCGGCACUUUAAAAUUCACAUCUCUGCACCAUUAUGCUUGUCAACCAUUUCUUCUAUGGUAAUUGGUUCAAAAUUGUGACAAAUAUGAGAUUGAAAGAGUUGAACAAAGUGUUGGAGCAUGUGAAGGAAAAGUCUCCCACAAAAGCAAAACAAGACUCUGCUGCUGCGAAGAGGAAAGGCAAGGAGCCCAUGGUUGCUAUUGUGAAGAAGAAGAAAAGAAUCUCAUCUUGCAAGAUGAAGAAGAUGAAGAUGAACUAACCAUAACAGCUUCGAGAAACUUAAGGAGUUUUGUAAGCUUUCGUGAGACAAGAGAAGGGCCAGGAGAAGAGGAAAGAGAGAGAGGAAUCACAGAGGAAGGAAGAAGAGAAGCAGAAGAGGAAGAAGAAGAAGAGGAAAGAAGAGCAGAAGAAGAAGGAAGAGAAGAAGAGGAAGGAAGAAGAGAAGUAGAAGAGGAAGAGGAAGAGGAAGAAAAAGGGAGAGACGAAGAACCAGAUCAGGGUCAAGAGGACUCUUUCGAGCCAACCUUGGCUAUCUCUCUAUCUAGUGCGUUAGCAAAUGAGGAAACUUCACCUACUCCACCUGAGGGCAUCAAAACAGGGGGAGCUGUUGAUCCAAAAGGUAUUUCUUCAUCUUUGCGUGCUAGUGAUGUGAGUCGUUCUACCACAAAUCCUGAGGAUGUGUAUGCCUCACACAAUCCAGAAGUCAGUCAUGAUGGACAAUCUGCUGAAGAUCCAUCGAUUCUCAAAAUCCCCAUCCUUGACUCAGAUGGUCCUAGUGAUGCAUCUGCUCAGACAACAGACUUUUCAAGAUUGAUGGAAAUUCUUUUGGACAUCAGAAAGCAGCAAUAUGCCAUGGGAUUUUAGAUGCAGGAUCUCAAGAAUGUUUUUAAGGCCACUUCAGUAUUGUUGCAUGAACAAUUGAAUGCCCUGAAGCUUCAAGUUCAGUCUUUGCAGGGUGAAGAUUUUCCGUUACUGAAGCAGAGUUUUGACAGGCUUGAAAAGACAGUGCAUUCUAUGGGAAAUUCACGCUUGUUUGCCUGCCCAAACAACCUUGACUUUAACUCCAUUUUCUAUCCAUCUUUUUAGUCUAUUCUCCACUUUUUGCUGUUGACAAAAAUGGGGAGAGGUUUUAUGCAGAUUUGAUUGACUUGACUCUAUCUUUUUGACUUUAUGUUUUGGACUUGAACUUUUGUUUGGUGUGGUUUUGAUUCAGACUGGUUUGGACUGAUGAUGCUUGCAACUUAAGUUUUUAUUGAUUACAUUAAAUAUAGUUGUGUUUACAGGACUAACAUGUUUUUAGUGGUUGCAGAAUUACCUACUAUCUCUAUCGUAAUCUCUAAUUUUCAUCUAUAAGAAAUCUUGGUUUGCUUUAAGUGUUGUCUUGUAGGUCAAAGUAUCCAAAUCUGUGGAAAAGUUUUGUUACCAUAAAAAAAAUGGGGAGAUUAUUGGAGAAAACUUCCUUAUCUGUUUUGAAGUUGACAAAACGUUUUCUUUCAUCAAAGUCUGAAAACCACCAAACUCAAGAUUUAAAGUCUGCCCUCAUUGACAAUUCUAGACCGACGAAGAAAUCUUAUUCAGAUGCAAGUUUAUCUUUAUAAAUUUGAUCCGUUUCGUUAAAGAUUAUCUCAUAGCUGGAGAUAACAUCUAAAGAUCUAUUAUUCGUAUUGCAAAUAAUUUGAGUAAUUCAGAUCCGUUGAAUGGCGAAGUAAAAUUGGAAAAUUCUACUUAUAAAAACCUAGAUCCCGAUUGUAUGGGCGAGUAGGAUUGAUUGGCUAUCUUCAUUUUCCUUAAGUAACUCAAGAUCUCUCUAAUUGAUUAUGUCCAAUGGUUAGAUUAGAAAAAUUCAUUUGAAAAGUGCCAACGGAUAUGAAGGCAUGGAGGAGUAUAUAAGGAGGAUGCUCUAGUUAUUCGAGUAUAUGCGAGAUAGAAAAAUUUCAAAGUUUGAAGCUUUUAGUUCUUUGCUUAUUCAUUUGUUGAGCAAAAACUUGUACUCAAAGGAGGGAUUAGAUAAUUGUGAGACCUUGAGGAAGUGUAGCAAAGUCUAUACAUUGUGGAAUCAAGGACGUGUGAUUGUAACAACUCUUUUGAUUCAUAGUGAAAUCCAGCCGGUGGGCUGUUAUUGCGAGAGAGUGGAUGUAGGCUUGAUCUAAGCCGAACCACUAUAAAUCAUCGUGUUUUCAAUUCUUUUUCCCUUAUCUUUUUAAUUAGUUCAUAGUCUUAUAUAUAUCAUUGUAGAUAUUCUAUAUCUUAAGUCUUUCAUUGUUAUAUAAAUUGAAUUAAGUUGCUAAGUUUUACAAAAUUCAUUUUCACACCUAUUCACCCCUGUAUAGGUGUUUAUACUAGCACUAUCAUAACCGAGUUUCAAAUAAAGCUCCAAGCCCACCGACCAAAUAAUUCUUCACUGGCUAGCUUGCACGCGCGGCUCAACGGGCGAAAGCAUUUUUUUAGGAUCAAAUGAAUUUGUUUUUGAACAUAUGAGAGAGAGAGAGACUUGGAACACCAACGAUGUCCCUGACAGCACGUCCAUCACGCGAGUAGAUGGAGAUGUGCUCCAAGCUUCUUAUUACCCCCAACCAAGGACAAAGGUAUGAUGUUCGAGGAGACCAACACUCGAUUGGCUUAGGUUUUGCUUUGCCUUGCCUUUUUACAAUGUGUUUUAUUUCCUUCUUCAGUUUAGUUUUCAAUUGGCGCUUCUUCAAAUUGGGUCAAAGUAUUGAACCAAACCAUCACUACUUUAGCCACCGAAAUAAGCACUAUUUAUUGCUCUGCUUAUUUACUUUUUGUGUUUUAUUUACUUCUUCAAUUUACUUUUUCAAUUGACACUUCUUCACAAAAGAAAAUAUUUAAAAUCUUUGUCUCAACUAACCGAGUUUCAAAUAAAGCUCAAAGUCCACUAACCAAACAAAUCUUCACUGGCCAGCUUACAAUGCAACUCAUGGGUAGAAGUAUUUUCAUAGGAUCAAAUGAAUUUGUUUUUGAACAUAUCAAAGAGAGAGAGAGAGAGAGAUUUGGAACACCGACGAUGUCCCCGAUGGCAUGUCUCGGAGCACCGACGAUGUCCCUGAUGGCACAUCCAUCACGCCAAUAGAUGGAGAUGUUGUUGGAGAAAUCUUCUUGAAGUGUUUUGAAGUUGACAAAUCGUUUCUAUCAGUCUAGUCUGAAGGCUUGCAGACUUUGCUAUUUAAAGUCUGAAGACCUCCGGACAGCCAGACUCAAGACUCAAAGUCUAUCCUCAUUGACAGUCUCUAAUCCGUUGGAGUAAGGUUAUCCAGAACUGGAUGUUUCGUUAAGGAUUUAACCUUAUCAACUGGAGAAGAUCUUGUGGCUGGAGAAGACAUAACGGAGUCCUUUGAUUGAUCGAAGAUUGACUUGAUAAUUGAAGAUCCGGUGAUUGCCUAAUUAUUAUUGAAAGGUUCUGCUUAUGGAAACCGAGAUCCUGAUUGUAUGGGCGAACAUGAUUGAUGGGCUAUCAACACGUUCCUUUGAUAGCUUAAACAAUCUUCCUAAUUGAUUCCGUCCAACGGGUAGAUUGGAGGAACUCCUUUGGUAAGUGCCAACGGGUAUGAUGGCAUAAAGGAGUAUAUAAGGAAGACUGUCUUAGUUGUUCAAGGUGUGCGCGAUAGAAGAAUUCCAAAGUCUGAAGCUCCUUUUUGUUUAGACAAAUCCUUUGAGCGAAUACUUGUAUACAAAAGAGAGUCUAUAUUUGUGAGAAACCUUGAGGAGGUGUGGUAGAACAUCUACACUGUGGAAUCAAGGCAAAGCUGUGCUGUAACUUCUCUUUUGAUCAUAGUGAAAUCCAGCCGGUGGGCUGUCAGUGCGGAAGAGUGGACGUAAGCUUGGAAUAAGCCGAAUCACUAAAAAUCCUGUGUUCAAUUUUCUCUUCCUCACUCUCUCUACCUCGAUCGUAUUUCAUUUUGUUAAUUAAGAGAGAUUUCCUUUCUAUCAUAUGCUAAGAAUCGCUUCCAUAUAUCGAUAAAUUGUUUGUGCACCUAUUCACCCCCCUCUAGGUACUCAUACUAGCAAUAUCAAUUGGUAUCAGAGCCUGUGUACUUACUUUAUUUGAAGUGUUUUACUUCGUAGUAAAAGAUCCAUGGCUAGUAUGCUAGCACCAGGGCUGAUGGAAGGGCAAAGCAAUACCAGACCACCCUACUUUGAUGGAAAGGAUUACAACAUCUGGAAGAACAAGAUGAAAGCUUUCCUACGAUCAAAGGAUCCUCUGGAAUGGGACGUUGUAGAAAAAAGAAUUACUCCUACCACUGAUCAGUCUCUGAAAGAGGAAAAGAAACUGAUGAAACCAGCGGAAUGUCUCAGGAAGAAAUAAUCAAGAGACAAGCACUCGAUGCAAAAGCAAUUUACUCCUUAUAUUGUGCUUUAUUACCAACUGAAUAUAAUAGAAUAUCUUCUUGUGGUACAGCAAAAGAAGUUUGGGACAUAUUGCAUAUCACCUAUGAAGGAACAGAUCGAGUGAAGGAAACAAGAAUCAACAUUCUUCUCGGUCAAUACGAAGCCUUCAGAAUGAAACCAGGAGAAUCAAUAUCUGACAUGUUUAGUCGUUUUACAGAUAUUGUGAAUGGUCUUGAAAAUCAAAGUCAACCAACUUCUGAUCCCAUGAAGGUAAACAAGCUACUGCGUGGACUCUCCAAGGAUUGGAAUCACAUAAAGACUUCGAUAAGAGAGACGCAGAGAAUUAUGCCACUAUCUGUCGACGAGCUAAUUGGAACUCUUUAGUUUUAUGAAGUGGAACGGAUCAAUGAAGAUGAAGAUCCAAAAGGUAAGAAAUCCAUUGCAUUAAAAUCUAAUGAUAAUUCUGAUGAUACAGAUUCUGAAGAAAAUAUGGACGAUGAGGAGCUUGCUCUCAUGAUAAGAAGAUUCAGAAAACUGAAUAGAAAAGGAAGAAGGUUCAACUCAAAGAAACAAAGCUUUCAAAGACAGCAGACCAAGUCUGUUGAUGAUGAGGAACCAAACAAAGACAUAGUCUGCUUUGAAUGUAAGAAAAAGGGACACAUCAGACCCAACUGUCCUCUUCUGAAGAAGAAGAAAGGAAAAGCUGAAAAAUUUCGAAAAGCUCUUAAAGCCGAAACCUGGAGUGACACAGAGUGUGAAGAAAGUGAUAAUGAAUAUGCCAAUCUAUGUCUGAUGGCACAAUCAGACUCAGACUCUGGAUCAGACUCAAACAGUGAAUUUGAGGCAAGUAAUUUUAAAAUUCCUGUCAAAGUUUCUAAAUACAUUGAUGAACUGUGUUUUAGUCUUAAGACUUCUCUCAAAAGAAUUUCCGAACUGAAAAAGGAAAACUCAGCUCUAAAGCAAAAGGAAAAUGUUUUAGUAGAAAGAGUUAAAAGUCUAGACUUGACUGUUUCCACUCUUUAAAAAAAUGAAGAUAAUCUUUUAAAAGAAAAUACUUUUUUAAAAACAGACUUAUCAAAUAUUUCAAAGAAAUUUUCAAUAGGGUCUGAAAAACUUGAGAAAAUUCUUUCAGCUCAAAGACCUUACUUCAAUAAGUCCGGUCUAGGUAUGACAGCAGAAACAAUUCCCUUGAUUGAUUUUCCUAAAGUAAAAGAAAGAAUUAAGAAAAGACUCUCGAGAGAGGCUUACAAAAAUCACUUCAAAAAGGUUUUUGUAAAAUCUGUAGGUAGAAAUGCUCUCAGAUGUUCAAAAUGCAACAGUCCGGAUCACUUUGAAAAAGAGUGUCCUAUGGUUUGGAAACCUGUUAAGAAAAUAUGGGCUAAUACUGCUUAUGUUACUAACACCAAAGGACCCAAGAAAGUUUGGGUACCAAAGAAAGCUUGAGACUCUUUUUUAAAUGCAGGUCACCGUAAAGAAAAAUGUAAAGUGGUAUCUUGACAGUGGAUGCUCAAGACACAUGACAGGAGACUCAAAUUGUUUUAUAAAGCUUGCUCAAGUAAAUGGUGGAAAAGUUUCAUUUGGAGGAAACAGCAAAGGAAGUAUUGUGGGAUUUGGAACUGUGAAAAUUGGAAAUCUCACAAUAAGUAAUGUUUCCUUGGUGGAGGGACUCAAUUACAAUCUUCUCAGCAUUAGUCAACUGUGUGAUACUGGUUUCAAGAUCUUCUUUCAAGAAGGAAUAUGUUCUGGAAUCAGUAAAGACUCUACUCAGUCUUUCAUGGGUCGAAGACAUGGAAACAUCUAUCUUCUGGAUGUGAAACCAAAUGAAUCGCAAUGUUUUAUCUCAAUUCAAGAUGAAGCAAGCUUAUGGCACAGAAAGCUUGGUCAUGUCAACAUGAAGCAAUUAGCCAAAAUCUCAUCAAAACAGCUUGUUCGAGGAUUACCCAGAUUACCUUAUCAAAAGACUGAUCCAUGUACUCCAUGUAUUCUGGGAAAACAGGUAAGAAAUUCAUUUAAGCCAAUAAAUAAUGUCUCUACUAAUCAUGUACUACAGUUGCUGCAUAUGGAUCUCUUCGGACCAACCAGAACACAGAGUAUUGGAGGUAAGAAAUAUUGCCUAGUAAUUGUGGUCGAUUACUCCCGUUUUACUUGGGUAUAUUUCCUUGCAAGUAAGUCCGAAACCUUCUCGUAUUUUGAAAAGUUUGCUAAAAAGGUUCAAAAUGAAAAAGGAUGUGUUAUCUCAUGUAUAAGAACAGAUCAUGGAGGUGAAUUUGAAAAUCAAGAUUUUACAAAAUUUUGUGAUGAAUCUGGCUUUAAUCAUGUGUUUUCUUCUCCAUAUACUCCUCAGCAAAAUGGAGUUGUGGAAAGAAAGAACAGAUCUCUUCAGGAAAUGGCUAGAACUCUUUUAAUUGAAAGCAAGAUUUCUUCACGAUUUUGGGCUGAAGCUGUUUCAAUAGCUUGUUAUAUCAUUAAUAGAGUCUUCUUAAGACCUAUUCUAGAGAAAACUCCUUAUGAAUUGUUCAAAGAUAAGAAGCCUAUUGUUUCAUACUUUCAUGUAUUUGGUUGCAAAUGUUUUAUAUUGAAAAAUGUAAAAGAUCGAGUUGGUAAGUUUGAAGAAAGAUCAGAUGAAGGUAUCUUCCUUGGAUAUUCUACAUCAAGCAAAGCCUUCAGAGUCUAUAACAAGAAGAGCCAGUAUGUGGAGGAGUCAAUGAAUGUCAAAUUUCAAGACUCAACACAAGAUGAAUCAAGUCAGACUCAUCAAGAAGAGUCUGAACCUGCUCCAGACCUUCCAAAGCUUACAACUCAAGAAGCAUCUCAGACUCUGGAAAACCAGCAUCAGGAUGUUCGUGAAGAUCCAAACAAAGAAAGAGAUCAUCAACCAGACAAAUCAACAAGUAACUGGAAGCAUAAGUCCAGUCAUCCCAAAGAUCUUAUAAUCGGCGAAAUUAAUGAAGGAAUUCGCACCAGAUCCUAAAGGCGAGAAGAGUCUAGUGCUGUGGCUCUUGUUUCUGAAAUUGAACCAAAAAGCAUAGAAGAAGCUUUAUCUGAUGAAAGCUGGAUUGAAGCUAUGCAAGAAGAGCUCAGACAGUUCAGCAUUAAUGAUGUUUGGGAAUUGACAUCCAAACCAAAAGGUAAAACUGUUAUUGGAGCUAAAUGGGUGUUCAGAAACAAGAUGAAUGAGAAAGGAAAAAUCGUACGAAACAAAGCAAGACUCGUGGCCAAGGGAUAUACGCAAGAAGAAGGAAUAGACUAUGAUGAGACUUACGCUCUAGUAGCAAGGUUAGAAGCUAUUCGACUAUUACUUGCGUUUGCUUGUUAUAAGAAUUUCAGGUUAUUCCAAAUGGACGUCAAAAGCGCCUUCCUAAAUGGAUUUAUCCAUGAGGAAGUUUAUGUGGAACAACCACCAAGGUUUGAAGACCCAAAGAAGCCAAACUCAGUCUUCAGACUGAAAAAGGCUUUGUAUGGUUUAAAGCAAGCACCUCGAGCUUGGUACGACAAAUUAAGUAAGUUUUUAAUACAAAAUGGUUUUGUCAAAGGUAAAGUAGAUACGACUUUAUUUAUCAAAAAUGAGAUCAAAAGUUUCUUACUUGUUCAAAUAUAUGUGGAUGACAUAAUUUUCAGAUCUUCUAAUGAAAAUAUGUGCAAGAAAUUUUCUAAGUCUAUGCAGGAUGAAUUUGAAAUGAGUAUGAUGGGAGAGUUAACAUUCUUUCUUGGUCUUCAAAUAAAACAAUUGAAGGAAGGAACUUUUAUUUAUCAAGAAAAAUAUGUUAAUGAUCUUGUCAAAAGAUUUGGACUGGAAAAGUGCAAAAAGACUGACAUACCGAUGUCAAGUUCUUUGAAGAUAGACAAAGAUGAAGAAGGGAAGAAAGUUGAUCAAAAGCUGUACAGGAGCAUCAUUGGUUCACUUCUUUAUCUUACCGCUUCUAGACCUGACAUUUUGUUGAGUGUUUGCAUCUGUGCUAGGUUUCAAUCAGAUCCUAGAGAAUCCCAUCUCAGUGCUGCGAAACGCAUCAUUAAAUACGUGGCUUCAUCAUCAAGCAUCGGUCUUUGGUAUCCUAAGAAGGGAGACUUUAAUCUUCUGGGAUAUUCAGACGCAGAUCUGGCCGGUUGCAGAGUUGAUAGAAAAAGCACUUCGGGAACCUGCCAGUUGCUUGGAAGUAGGACAGUGUCUUGGUUUUCAAGGAAACAAAGCACUGUGUCCCUUUCAACAACAGAAGCAGAGUAUGUAGCCCUGGGAAGCUGCUGUUCGCAAAUUCUAUGGAUAAAACAACAGCUAAGAGACUUUGAAAUUGAAGACUCAUGCACGGAGAUUAAUUGCGACAAUACCAGCGCUAUCAACCUCACCAAAAAUCCAAUUCUCCACUCAAGAGCAAAGCAUAUAGAGAUUCGACAUCACUUUAUUAGAGACCAUGUUCAAAAUGGAGAUGUUUCAAUUCAAUUUGUUGACUCAAAGAAUCAACUGGCGGAUAUAUUCACAAAGCCUUUGGAGAAAAAUCAAUUUGAGUCUAUUCGUUCCAGACUCAACAUUUUAAGGUAUGAGGAUAUCAAAGUCUAAAGACUUUCAGACUCAGACUUACAAGACUUUAUCUGAAAGACAGUCUUGGUACGUCCGUUAGACUGUAAGUCUUUCUCCCUUGAAUCUCAUAUUGAAAAGGUACGAUCGUCAGACUAUGUUUAAAUUGUUGCUAUAUUUAAAUUGACGAAAAUAUUGCAUCGUUUCAUUUUCGAAAAGGAAGUCAUUUUUUAAAUGGCUAUUUUUGCGGAAAAAGACAGUUAUUUUGAAAAGGCAUAUUUUUAUUUCCUUUGUGACGGUUCGUUUAUCCCUCUUUUUAACCGAUUGUGCACUGUCGAUUCCUCUUCACUUUUCUCUCAAAAACCCUAGAAAGCAUCGAUCCUCCAUUCCCGUUUGUCUUCUUCGUUCAAUCCUCAAAAAGUUGUCAUCUUUCCUGGGAAAGUCAAGCAAGGAAUCUUCCAAAAAACUGAGAAAGAUGUCAUCUUCAAGAAAGUCCUCAAGAAUUGCAAGCAGGGGACCACGGCGGAUGAGUGAAGGGCCUACGCACUUCGAUCUUACUGAAGAUGAAGUGACUCCAGAACAGCAAGCGAGCCCACAACAUUCUCAACAGCGUCAUUCUCCUCCAUCUAGUCCUCAAGGCGUUGAUCAUCAACAACAGGAAGAAAUCAUCGAGGAUGCAGACCCUGUAAGAGUUCAAAAGCCCGCUUAUAUUUACCAGUUAUAUCGUGCCCUAAAAGGAAUUCGUACUCCUUUGAAAUACAUUGAUGAUUUUCUUAAAGACAAAGGACAUGGGAACGAAUAUAUCUUUCUGAAAAAAAAUGGAAAGUUUGGGAAUUGCUCGAAAAGGGGUGGCUGAGGAAACACUUGCAAAUAUCCCAAGUGAUCCUCGUGACUGGGGGCCGAAUCCUGUAGAUGGGAAUGAUGAUGAUAAAUUAUAUAGUCAAUUUCAACCGAAAAUGGGUGUUGCGGUUGAAAAUCAAGGAAAAAAGGGGAGAUUUGUUCAGAUCAAAGGAGCAAAAGGAUCUGUACUUGAAAUUGCUGAAGCGUGGGCUAAUAAAUCCUAGGAGUGUGGAUUUUGAUUUUCUGGAUGCAGUGAAUGUGAACUUGAGGGAAAAGUUCAGUUAUCUUCAACUUGAAAAGUUCUGCUCUGACUCUACAUAGGCAUAUGCUGAAUUAACUGCAUAUUUCUAUUCAAAUCUAAGCUUUUUAGAUGCGAAUAGAUUCUUUUUCAGCGUUAAAGACCAAGACUAUGUUGUGGAUAUGAAUAUGCUGGCAGAUGUGUUAGAAGUCGAAAGAGGAAGAUAUCAAACAAUCAAAGUUUCCAUUGCUCGGGCCACACUUGAACUAGUGAAGGACAGGAGAACAGAUGAAAAGAUCACCUACUUAAGGAUGGGUGCAUUCAACAUCUUGCUUCACAAUAUUAUGAUUAAUUGCCUCCGACCGAAAUCAACCUCCAAGACUGAUGUUUCAAGUUCAGAGGCCAAGCUGAUGUAUGCCAUUCUCUUUGGAAAAAGGUUUUCUCUCCCUCACACUGUGAUGUUUCACAUGUAUAGAGCAAUGAUGAAGGACAGAGGUCAACUCUCUUACCCAAGCCUUGUUACGAAGUUAUUCAGACAUCUAAAUAUUCAGCCUCCACAAAUCUUUUGUGUUCGACCAUGUGAUCAUAUGGUGGUAGGACUGAAAAUGGUGACCAAAAUGCGUCUGAAGGAACUGAGCAAGGAGUUGGAGAAAUUCAAGGAGAAGACUCCUGCAAAAUCUCAUCAAAUAUCUUCUGCAGCUAAAAGAAAAGGGAAGGAGCCCAUGGUUGCUCCAUCCAAGAGAAGAAGAGCUCUCCUCGUUGAGGAUGAAGAUGAUGAGGAAGACAUCACCAUCUCUGCAUUGGCUUUGAAGAAUUUAAGUCGUCUUGUUCCACAGCAAGAAUCGGAACAAAUGACAAAAGAAACAGAGGAGGAAAGACCAGAAGAAGAAAGAAGAGAAGAAGGAGAACCUGAAGAACACUCUUCUCCACCUGUAGGCAUGGAAACAGGGGGAGAUUAGGAGAAAGGAGUGAAGUCUUCAUGUCCAGAUGCAAGUGAAGGAGUCAGUCGCUCACCAGCAGACCCAGAGGAUGUUUAUGCAUCUCAGUUUCCAGAAGAAGGUCAUGAAGUUUCAUCGCCAAACCUGCAAGAUUAUGCUGAUCUACCAUCAUCUGCAUUUACUCCAUCAGAUCGAGCCGAAGCAAGUACUCAGACUGAUAAUGGAGCAGAUUUUCGCAGAAUCAUGGAUAUUCUUUUGGAGAUGUGAGGUCAGAUUUAUGCCUUGGGAUGCGAAGUUCAAAGCUUGAAAAAUGAAGGUCAAGCUUCUUCCUGUUCAUUGAAUGAUAAGAUGCAAGCCCUCUUUGUUCAGAAUCAGGCCAAUGCCAAGAGUGAGGAGAUUGCACAAUUAAAGGAAGACUUUAAAAGGCUGAAAGGUAUCGUUCAGUCUAUGGAAGAUUUCCAGCUUAUCCGCGUUCCCAAGCAAUCUUGACUUCAUCUCAUCCUUUUUAAUGAUGACAAAAAGGGGGAGAGAUGCAAGAUUUGAUCAAAAACUAAACUUUUUAUUCAUUAAACUUUUAAUUGUUUGUUGGAUUGUUUUGUGGUUUGAACCUGUUUGGUUUUGUGGUUUGAACCUGUUUGACUUUAGUUUGUGUCUGGAUGAGAAUUGAACUAGACUUGGACUUGACUGCUUCUAUUAACCAAUAUUGAUAUCUUAUGAAUGGCUUCAUCAUAUACUGGACUAACCUAUUUUCUGUGGUUGCAGAUUCUAGUGUUAUUCUAUUAGCCAUUUAUCUCUAUAAGAUACGCAUAUGUGUUUGAGAAAUGUUUUGCAGGUCAAAGAUAUCCAAAUCUGCAGGAAAGUUUUGUCACCAUCAAAAAGGGGGAGAUUGUUGGAGAAAUCUUCUUGAAGUGUUUUGAAGUUGACAAAUCGUUUCUAUCAGUCUAGUCUGAAGGCUUGCAGACUUUGCUAUUUAAAGUCUGAAGACCUCCGGACAGCCAGACUCAAGACUCAAAGUCUAUCCUCAUUGACAGUCUCUAAUCCGUUGGAUAACUGGAUGUUUCGUUAAGGAUUUAACCUUAUCAACUGGAGAAGAUCUGGUGGUUGGAGAAGACAUAACGGAGUCCUUUGAUUGAUCGAAGAUUGACUCGAUAAUUGAAGAUCCGGUGAUUGCCUAAUUAUUAUUGGAAGGUUCUGCUUAUGGAAACCGAGAUCCUGAUUGUAUGGGCGAACAUGAUUGAUGGGCUAUCAACACGUUCCUUUGAUAGCUUAAACAAUCUUCCUAAUUGAUUCCGUCCAACGGGUAGAUUGGAGGAACUCCUUUGGUAAGUGCCAACGGGUAUGAUGGCAUAAAUGAGUAUAUAAGGAAGACUGUCUUAGUUGUUCAAGGUGUGCGCGAUAGAAGAAUUCCAAAGUCUGAAGCUCCUUUUUGUUUAGACAAAUCCUUUGAGCGAAUACUUGUAUACAAAAGAGAGUCUAUAUUUGUGAGAAACCUUGAGGAGGUGUGGUAGAAUAUCUACACUGUGGAAUCAAGGCAAAGCUGUGCUGUAACUUCUCUUUUGAUCAUAGUGAAAUCCAGCUGGUGGGCUGUCAGUGGGGAAGAGUGGACGUAAGCUUGGAAUAAGCCGAAUUACUAUAAAUCCUGUGUUCAAUUUUCUCUUCCUCACUCUCUCUACCUCGAUCGUAUUUCAUUUUGUUAAUUAAGAGAGAAUUUCCUUUCUAUCAUAUGCUAAGAAUCGCUUCCGUAUAUCGAUAAAUUGUUUGUGCACCUAUUCACCCCCCUCUAGGUACUCAUACUAGCAAUAUCAGAUGUGCCCCAAGCUUCUUAUCAUCCCUAACCAAGGACGAAGGAGACAUGACGUUUGAGGAGACCAACACUUGAUUGGCUUAAGUUUCGCUUUGCCUUGCCUCUUUACUAUGUGUUUUAUUUCCUUCUUCAAUUUACUUUUCAAUCGAUGUUUUUUCAAAUUGGGUCAAAGGAUCGAACUAAACUAUCACUACUUCCACUGGAAUAAAUACUAUUUAUUGCUUUGCCUAUUUAUUUUUUGUAUUUUAUUUACUUCUUCAAUUUGCUUUUUCAAUCGACGCUUCUUCACAAAAGAAAAUAUUUCAAAUUUUUGUCUUGGCUAAUUGAGUUUCAAAUAAAGCUCUGAGCCCACUGACCAGACAAUUCUUGACCAGCCAGCUUGUACGCAUGGCCCAUGGGUGGAGACAUUUUUAUAAGGAUCAAAUGAAUUUGUUUUUAGCAUAUGAGAGAGAGAGAUAGAGAGAGAGAGUUGGAACACUGGCAAUGUCCAUCAGGCCAAUAAACGGAGAUGUGCUCCUAGUUUCUUAUCACCUCCGAUCGAGGAUAGGGGUGAGCGGUUCCAGGUUCCGGUUUGGUUCCGCCUGGAACCUGGAACCUGGAACCUACCCAUCACAGGUUCCAGGAUCGGUUCCAGGUUCCAACAGGUUUUUUUUUUUUUUUUUUCAUUUUUAGUUUUAAAAAACGAAAAUAAACACAACAAUAAUAAACAAUCUUAUACCUCUUAAUCCUCACUUUUUUUUGAGCUUAUCCUUCAAAUCAUGAUUAACACAAAAAAAUAGUUUGAACUCAACAUAACGGGGUCCAACACCUUGACAAUCCUUCAAGGAGCAGUACUCCAAAACUGUAGAUGUCUAAUUUUUGUGUGGGUUCCGAAGUUUUCAUGACUUCGAGAACCCGAUAACCUGCACUUCUAGUUCUAGGAGGCACUGUAGGAGUGCGGAUCAGAGGAGUCAGGCCAAACUCUAAGAUGCAACCUUCAAGAUAUGUUGCCAUGGAUAAACCUCCCGCCUCUGGCUGAAUGGAUAUGAGCAAUGCCUUUAGCCACUCCUAGAGAAAUCUUCACCCGCAAUGCCCAGUCCAAUGGUUGUCUCCCACCUUAUGCAAAUCAUUAUCAGAAGGUAACCGUCAACAAUGCAGCGAAUAUGAGACAACCUACACUUCUUUCGACAAACCUUCCCCAUGUAUCCCACCUCACAUUGUCGUGGUCGGGAUAAUCAUCCGCAUAUGACAAGUCUCCAACAUACAUAGUCUGUCCUUUCUGCGGAUUAUGCUCAUAAUGGGCGAGUGUUCGGUUUGAAUCAAAAGUCUGACCAAGAUCCCCUGCAAUGGUCAUCGGCAUGCUGAGCACAGAAAGAAGUAGAACCAUGGAUGCAUGUAAAUUACCGGCAUAACUAAAUUUGUUGCGACUUAUUGAUGAAAAUGAUUAUCAAAACUAAAUGAUUCUGCAAAGACUCAUUGUACAUACACAGGAAUGAGCUUUUGAAGCUACUUCGAGUCAUUGACUAUCUAUGCAUGACAAUAUGAUUUACUUUUCCUAUGAGACCGAAAGUAUAUGGAACAUCAGGACCAACCUCUGGAGGAGUAAUGAACUAGAACUGUUGGACCGUGUGUCCAAUUCCAACUUCAUAAUAGUAUUUAGUGUGUACUGCAAGUAAACGGAAUAAACAUCAGCUACAUUUACCAAAUUUUGCAGACCAGGCACCAACAAAUUAAUAUUUCUGGAGGAAUUUAGAAAUUUACCAUCAAGUUUUUCAGGGUGCAAUGGUGGAUGUAACCAGAAGUAUAAUUGUAGAACUUAUAAUGAUUAACUUUGCCCUUUGCCUUUUUCUUGUGCUUGCUGUUUUCACUCCAGUAACGCAGUGCACUGGACCCAGGUUCAUCCGGAGUCACCCAUGACACAAUCACUCCUUUUCCCACAUGAUCUCCUUGGGUAAUAUGUACCUAAAGACUCGCGCCAAAAUCAAAACCAAAUCAAAAAGCACAACGGAAGUGCUGGUCUUCCCUCCAUUGCACAAAUCAGCCCCAUUCAAAACCAGAACAAGAACAGCCCCAACAAUAGCCACUGAACAGCAAGAUGAAGAUCCCAGAACAGCUAUCUUGGUCUUAUUUUAGGAUAUGGAAGAACCUACGUGACACAACCCCACAAAUUCCCUUCCCUCACUAUGUAUGUACUUGGAUCAGGGCACACAAGCAUGACACUCACAUCUCAAAAAUCGACCAAAUAAAGCAGCUAAAAUGUUAGAUUAGAUCUAACAGUUAAGAGAAGAAACAACAAGAGUUUAGACCCGCGAUUGAAGUUGCAGGAGGCGAGUUUCUUCGGUGUUGAGGGCGGCGAGCGGUAUCAAGGGACGUCAGGCGGUGUUGAGGGGGUCGAGCGGGCGUUGAGGGGGCCGUGCGACAUUGAGGGGCCGAGCGGCGUCGAGGGGGCGUCGAGGGGCCGAGCGAGCGUCAAGGGCGUCGAGGGGGUCGAGGGGGUCGAGCAGCGUUGAGGGGCCGAGAGGCGUUGAGGGGUGGCGCGGACGGCGCAACAGCUCGUCGGGCUCAACGGCUCGUCGGACGAGCGGUGGGUGGUGGUGGUUCGGUGGCGAAGAGGUGGUGGUGAGUAGGGAGUGGGGUGGCGGUGCGGUGGUAGGUGAAGCAGCAGUAGCAAGAGGAAGGAAGAAGAAGAAGAAGAGGAGAAGAAGGGGGGGUUCGGCCGAGAGGGGGAAAGAGGAGAGAGAAAGAAAAGAAAAAAGUUGGGGGGAGGAAGUGACGUGAGGAGGAAAAUGUGGAGAAAAGAAAUAGAGAAAAAGAGAGGAGAAGGGAGGGAAAUCCGUUGGGGGAAGUGAGGGGCUAGGUUUUUUUUUUCUUUUAAUUUUGAUCGGUUCCUAGAAAAAGGGAACCGGCAACCGGAACCGGUCUCUUUAGAACCGGGAACCGACCCUCCGGUUCGGUUCUCCGAUUUCCGGUUCUACCCGGAAACCGUGCUCACCCCUAAUCGAGGACGGAGAAGGCACGACAUACGAUGAGACCGACACUUAGGUUUUGCUUUGCCUAUUUUACUUAUAGUGUUUUAUUUACUUAUUCAAUUACUUUUUUAAUUCACACUACUCACGUAAGGUCAAACGAAAAUUUUUUGAACCAAAGCUUUAGCCAUUGGAAUAAGCACGCCCAUGCAAAUCGACCAUUUGAUUGGCCGUUGAGCUCAGGAACUCAAAUGAGAUUAACUAGUAAGCUUUAAAUUUCUUAUUUAAAACAAAAUUCACUCGAAAUCCUCUUUCGAGGAAAAAAAAAGAAAAUCCCUUUUUUUUUCUGUUUUAAUUUGGAAUAUUCAUUAAAACGAGAUGAGAAAACCAAAACGGCACGGAACCAUCCCUCCCUCCAGCCAAAUCCGGGGGGGCGCUCCGCUCCCCCCUCCCCAUGGCGGCCCCCGACGAGCCCCCGCCGCCGCCCGACUGGCUGGAGCUCCCGCGGGAUAUCGCGACGACGAUCUUGCUGAAGCUCGGCGCCGUCGAGAUCCUCACGACAGCGGAGUUGGUGUGCACCGACUGGCGCGCCCUCUGCCUGGACUCCACCAUGUGGCAGACCAUCGACAUGCGCAACGACGGGGACCUGCCGGACGACGACCUCGCCGACAUGUGCUGCCGCGCCGUCGACCGGAGCGACGGCGGCUGCCUCGACCUCAACAUCGAGUACUUCGGCGACGACGAGCUCCUCCAGUACGCCGCCGACUGGUAACUCGCCGAUUCCCGCUUGAAUGAAUUUCGCGCGGUUUUGUUCCUCGGUCUGGUUUUGGUGGGCCUCGGAAUGAUCGCUGAUGGGCGAGCGCGACGCGUGGUCCGGUUCUUUUGUGCGUACGCCGUUGUUGGAGAGAAUUGAGAUGAUGGUUAGUCGCCGAAGAUGAGCUUGUUUCGGCAAUUGGCUGAUCGGUCGUUGCGAUUGUGUAGACCUAGAUUGCGGCGGUAGCAAGUGCGUGUGUAUACCGUUGAUUUCUCUGGGCUGAAGUUGUGCAGGAAUCGCGAAAUUGUGUAGGAAUGAAUCGUAUUGAGCACGAGUUUACUUCUCUUAUUCACCAUGGCCUCAUCACGAGGCGGAGGUAUAAAUGUGAGGCGUCGAGUAGUCCUCAGGAAGUGAACAUUCUGCACACUUGAAAAGUCCCUUUUUCCCCCUUGUCCUCAAGAAUUGGAAAUGAAAAAAAAGAGAAGAUGGACACACCAGAUGAUGAGAACAGAUUGUAUUUGGAAAACUUUGAUCAGCUACAUGUUCUGGAAACUAACUGAUGAAAAUAUCAUGCGUGGAAAUUGAGUUCUGAUCCUGAAAUAGCUCCCGAGAAUGAGGGUAGAGAUUUUUUACGUGAAAGGAUGCCACCUUUGUUACUUUCUCUCUCCUUAGGAGUUCUCAAAUGGCUUCUUUACUCUGUCUCUAUGUUCCGUAUGUUCAGCCUCAGUAUCUUUCAUUUUUAGCUGUCAUUUGAACAUUAGGAUGAGGCAAAAGUUCAACCCAAUUGAAACCAUGAAGGAGCAUUGAACUGAGGUUGUGAAAAGACUGAUACAAUGCCGUCUGUUGAGUAUCGGGCAUUACUAAAUGAAAUGAGGAACAUGAACUGUGACAGAGCUUCCAUAAGUGCUUGAUAUGGCAGAAGCACUUCUAUUUUACUUCACUCUAGGAUCUUCUUUCCCCUAUGUGCUUUUUUUCCUUUUGAUCAGUUUAUGCGACGCAUUUACUCUCCUGUUUGCUAAUAGUUAUGGGGAGAUAGGUGCUAUAGAAGGUAUAUAACUCAACAAAAUAGGGUAUAGCCAUGUAGCUCCAUCACCUUCUCAGCCUUGGACAAUUGUAGCUUUAUCCCAUGCUUGCCAAAACACUUGAGUAUGCCUCAGGUUCCAGUGAUAUCAAUCUUAAACUGUUUUUUCCCCUUAUUUUGUUCAGCAAAGAAAAUAUUCUAGUUUAAUUCACCGCUGGAUUUGUCUUCUAUUUCCUGGUCGAGACUCCGCGCUCAGUCUUCAUCAUUGCGUUUUCAUUGAACUUGCAGAGACAGGUUAGGUACAUUUGAUGGCAUUUUUGCAGGUCUUGGAUAGGUACAUAAUUGUCUUGAUCUGACCAGUGGAUGGCACUGUCAGUGUUUUGAUUCCACAGUAUACAACUGAAGUUACUGCUUGAGUUAUGGCAUGGAAGUUUUACGUUUUGGAGUCUUUUCGGUUCUUAAAAUGAGUUUCAGAGUCUAAUAGUGUUAUGUUUGCUUUUGUUGAUAAAAUUCCUAUGAUGAAGGGUUUUAUGAGGAGACUUUGUUAAUGGGUGCCUCUGGUAUAGUUGUUAACCACACAUAAUAAGGAAAUGUAAUUACUCUAAUUAUAUAUAACAUGAGAAAUAUGGUGCAUAAAAAUCGACAAACUCUUUUUAUCGAGGUGUUAAAAAAGUUCCCAUGGACACAUAUUGAAAAAAAAAAUGAUCAGAUUAGCUCUCUUUAUUGACUUAAGUUUCUCUCUUUCAUGGUGUUUUUCUUCCUUUUACUGAGCAUGAAGUCCAGAACAGAGCUUUUGGAUUGUGUUUGAUUGUUGACUGCUGGAUAUAUUAUGUUUAUUAUGGAACUUUUAUUAUAGUUUGAGGCUGGAAUAGAACAUAAUUUCCAUUGAUUUGAUUAGGUUUUGAAUUUGAUCUUACUUUUCUUGACGUCUUGAUUCAUUAACUUUAUAUUUGUUUUCCUUCUACACAUAUUUUGUGUAAUCUGCGUCUUAUUAUUAUUUCGGAUAAAUAUGGCAGUCUUGCUUAUUAAAAGGCUAUUCUGAUAGGUCAAAAGUGGACCAAGCAUCGCAUCUCUCAAUUGCAUAGAUCUCUGUUUAGUUUACAUUCUUGUGAUGCCAUGGGUAUGCAAAGGCGGACUUCAUUAACAAAUGUGGCAUAGUUGACCUUUUUUAACAUGACUUGAAAGAAUUCCAAUCAAGGCCGCAACAGUAGAGAAUUCUUGAUCUAGGGUUCUGGCUGAUUUUAUCAUAUUUCCGUAUUUAUUGACAUGUCUCAUUAACGAGUGCCCGUAGGGCAUUUAUUAAACAUACUGCAUGAGGAAAGUUCCAUUGUCCGCAACACUAGUUACACACUUCACUAGAACAAUUGUGGAUUAUAACUUGUGGUGUUCCUUAAUUAGCCACUAAGAAGUGCCCAAGGGAUACUGAUUAACAAAUUAAUGUUGUUGAAAUACAAUUACUUUUUGGCCGAUGAAAAUAAUCUCUCUACACACCCCUUGCUCUAGAUCAAUAAGCUCUCAGUUCCUUAUCUUAGUGGUUAACAUUAUUAUUGCUAGCUACAACAAGUCUGCUUUUCGGUUGAACCAUCGUUGUUCUCAUGCAUUUCUUAUUCCAUUGCAGGUGCAAUCAUAUUAGACGGCUACGACUUGUAGAUUGCGGUAACAUUUCGGAUGAGGGUCUGUGUGAAGCAGCCUCAAAACUUCCUAUGCUGAAGGUCCUUGAAUUAUCUUAUUGCUCAUUCUCAAAGGAAGCCAUAGAGACUGUUGGACAAUGUUGUCCCCUUCUGAAAUCCUUCAAAUUGAAUAGCCGGGUAUAUAGAUGUCCACACAUAGAAUGUGAUGACGAGGCACAAGCUAUAGCGAAAAACAUGCAUGGAUUACACCACCUCCAACUCUUCGGGAAUAAGAUGACAAAUGAAGGUCUGAAGGCGAUUCUCGACAGUUGUCCUCAUCUUGAGUAUCUCGACUUGCGCCAGUGCUUCAAUGUUUAUAUGGGGGGUGAUUUGGGGAGAAGAUGCACCGAACAGAUCAAAGAUUUAAGGAAUCCAUAUGACCCCACAGAUGACUAUGAAUUUGAUGCUGCAAUUCUCGAUGAUGAGUCCUUUGAUGAUGAUUACCCAUCUGGGUUUUCUGACAUUGAUUUGUCUGAUUAUGAUAACUACUAUGACUUCUCUGAUUAUGAUGAUGAAUUCUCUGAUUAUGACGAUUUCUCUGUAUAUGGGUUUGAGGAGGAUCAGUGAUUUGCUGGUUGACACGCAUGCAUGGUGAGGAACCCUUUUCUUGCUUUAAGUCGCAGAAUAAUUUUACUACAUGGUUCUACGUAGCUCUUCGUGGCAAUCUGUUGUGAUGUACUAUUUCUGAUUAUUUUGGUCUGGAUACGCAGGUGAAGAUUCUUUAUGGUUGCUGAGACUCCAUAUCAUGCUUCGAGGCAGAGAUGGUUAAGCGACCAUCAUGCACGCCUUCUGGUGUAGCUUUUGACCUGAACUUCGCAAGUGGGAGUCUUUCCUAUUUUGUUGAUGAAGAGAAGCACUCAUAGAUCGGCGCUCCCCUUGAAGUGCAUUCUUUUGUUCCUUUCGUUCUAGUCUCUGCAUCUUUAUCUCCAGAACAUGUUUUAUAGCUAUGAGCUUCUGCAUAUAUAGUUCUAGUGCCUAGUCUUAUUUUGUUAUCUGUGACUUUGGUGUGCUAACUCCAGCUGGCCAUGAUAAUGAACUUCAUAGCUAAUAAACCAAUAUCAGGCUUCACUGUGCGGUUUUGCAUAAAAUUCACAAUGCUGUUACCUAAAAUGUUAUUCAGAAAAUCGCUUUAAUCGUUCCCAUCUAUGAGGAUCUUGUAGUGUCAAAUGUAGCAGCAAGUUGCUUUGCUUGUCAAGCACUUCCAUUUUCAACUAGUAGAUCGCAUUUCCAUGAUGGUGCAAAAGAAUGAAUAUUUGACAUCUUUUAAUGUCAAGGAAAUAACGUACUGCCUAUCAUAUAUUUUAUGUUAAGGGAGUCGUGUACAUUUCACGCUAGAAGAAUAACCCUAGUAUGGGCAAAGCAGGAGGUUUUGGCUGUGUUUUUGGCAAUCGGCAGUCAAAUUUACAAGUGGUUAGCCAAUGCACUAUCACUUUGUCGAUUAUCAAAGAGGCCGCAAGCUCAUACAGGUUGCUUUCUCUUUAUGUUUGGAUCUUCACCUGAAAGUUGCAAAACAUCAACGUGGGAAAUCCGGUACAAGGUCCUUUCGAUGUGGUUUCAAAGAAAUUCACGUGGAAUAUUGAAAACUUUAAAGAUCCUAGACGAAGAGAAUGGGACUGAUCCGAAGCUCUCAUGACCUUAUAGUUUUCAAGAAGAAAUGCCAUACGAUUAUUCCCACGCGUACCACGCCAUUAAAGACACCAUCUACCAGGCGUUAGAUUUGUACAAGCGGGAUUAGCCAAACCAAUGUAUUUUUCCCAAAACCCAUGGGCUUUGGGAGAAUCUUAUCUUGAAGUCACGUGACAACCAGAUGUUAGCUCUAACGAAGAUCCUGAUAUUGGCCAUAUCAAUCAGUAAAAGGAUAAAAAAAAAUGUGUUGGGAUGGCAUGCAUGUCUCAAAUCUCCAUUAAAUUUGUAAAAAUUGUUCCAAGACAAUUGUAAAGCAAUGAAAUUAGGGAAUAUUUUAAAUUUACAUGCAAUAACAAUGUUCAUAGUGUAUGUAUGAUUAAUACUUUGAUAUAUACUCAUUAUUCAUGUCCCAUCGAAUAUAAUUGUGGCAUCCCAGAAAUCCAAGACAACCUCUAGAUGUAUUAAAGCCUAUGAUUAGGUAAUGAAAUUACCUUUGGUUUAUGCUUUAGCCAUUGGUUUUCUUUUAAGACCAAGUGUUAUGUAUCUUGUGUUCAUGAGUUAUUAAAAUUAGUAUUAUAGGAUGAGUUGAUAAGAAAGAUUGUUCUUGACUAUGCACCUCAUAGAUUUGAUCCCUAUAGUUUAAAUGUUACAAGAUUUAUGGCCAUAUGAAAUUGAGAAUUUGAAAUCUAUAAAAGAGAGAAUUAAAAAUGGAUUAUUAAAAGUGAAAUUGGGAUUUAUUAGGAUUUAACUUUAGGCCCAAGGGUAUUGGACCUAAAGUGGGCCAAAUUGGAUUGGCCCAUGAAGCCCAUGAAGAAGGCUGCCGUCGACCACAAGGGGGAGAGGCUGGCCCAAUCUCCAAGCCCAUCAUGCAUGGGAUUUGCCAAGUGGCAAAAAGGGGGCUUCACCUAUUGGCCAUUUUGGGUGGCUCCUAAUGAUGGCUAACGAUUGUAUUGAGGGGGGAAUAAAAGGAAGGAGUGACCGGUUUAGGGGGGGCUUUCGACCAUAAGGGAGAGAGAGAGAGAGGGCUGCCGAGAGAGUGAGGAACUGAGAGAGAGGAGGAAGAAGCCGUGUGUCCGUCUGUUUGCUCGUCCGUCGCUUGCCGCCCGUGCGUCCACCGUUUGCCGCCGUCGUGCUCGUUGUAGCUCGGUACAAAGGCAAGUUGGGAUCCAUAUUCUGCUCUUGCAUGUUGUAUCUUGCAUAUGUGUUUGAAUGGUGAUGAAUCUCGGACGUUUAGGGUGUGAGAAACUGAAGCUUUGAGUGUGUUGUUUUUGAAAUAGCAUUCUGUUUUCAAGUAUACCGCCUGACCCAGAAUGUUGUAGAGGCUUGCAUGCGGGGUUUGAGUCGGAUUUUGGUUUGGACUUCUUCACGAAAGUUGUAGGAAACAUCCUGAAGACUAGCAUACUCAAAUUUGAGGUAAAACGAACAAGUGUAGCCUAGUGAAACGAUUUUUGCUUUGAAGAUGAUAGAUCUGGAAGUAUUGUACUGGACACUAGCGACUUCGUGAACUAUAAAGUGACUAUCCUUUGAGAAUCUCACCUAGAUCCCUUAAUGAAAGUUGUAUUGGACCCCUUGAGGCAAAACAUAUAAAAAAAUUCAGAGGAAAUGAAGGAAGAUAAGUAGGUGAAACCUUGAUUUUUCGGAGACAGCUAAAUUGGACUGUUCGGUACUAGGAACAGGGGCUUCGACCGUCCAUAGUUAAUUAUCUAGGACGAAUCUGGCCUUGAUUUCUUCAUAAAAAAUCUACCUUAGGGUUUCUACUAUAACCUGGUAAAAUCUCAUAAUUUUUUAAGGUCAUUCGGGUAUUUAAAUUGAAAUAUUUCAAGAACCGCGCAAUCUGAUGUGUUCGAAUUUUGCAAGCUGUAAUGUGUGAGCUAUAUCUUUUUGUGUGAAGUUCUUUUGGGCAUGUGUUCUUCAUGGAGUUCCUACCUUUGUGUCUUGACUAUGGCCCCGUUUGGUUCAACUUUGGAGAAAUGGCUUUGCAUUUCCCCAAGUACCUUUGAGAGAAUGAGCAUUUUGGGAAUGGAGUUGUGUUUGGAAACCAAAUUUUUGUGCAUGUUUUGCAAAGCUAUUUCAAAGUAAAAUGAAAAAUGAAAAAAUGAAAAGAAAAGGGAGGAGGAGAUCGCGUGGUGAGGGGAAAAUUGUGGGGGAGCAGCUGGUGGUGGUGAGGAGGUGGCUGGCGGCGGCAGCGGCAAUGGCGGGGGGGAGGGAGGCGUCGACCUCAGGUGUUGCGCAACCCAGCCGCUUGAGGCCACGCAACCUCAGGCGGCGACCCUGGCCUCAGGCGACAACCCAGGCGACACCGCCUGAGGUCGCGCGGCCUCAGGCAACGCCGCCUGGGUCGCGCCUGAGGUCGAGCGACCCAGGGUGUUGCUUGAGAUCGCGAGGCCUCAAGCGCGCGGCCAGGCGGUGUCACCUGGGUCGCUUGACUCAAGCGACGCUUGAGGCCACCUCGCCUAAGGUCACGCGGCCUUAGGCGAGGCUUUUCGGCGGCCAGAUCUGACUGCUCGCGACUGAGCGCCACCCACCGCGAAGCUUGGCCGAGCAGCAAGUCCACGGAAGUCCAUGGAAGUCCAAGGAAGAAGAUGAACAGUGUUUUGGAGGGUAGAAUGGAAAAAAAAAAAAAACAAUUAUCGGUAAGGGCAAUAUUGGAAAGAAAAAAAUUCAUUAAACCCUAAACUAGCAUUCCGAAUGCUGGCAUUUAGGAAAUGUAAGCUCAAAAGUGUAAACCAAACACCAAAUUGAAAGCCCCUUGGGAAAGCUGAACCAAACACCCCCUACCACAUGUUCAGAUUUUAUAAUUUUUGAAGGUCAUAAAGAUAUUUAAUUUAUAUGUUUUCUGAAAUUGUGCAAGUUGGAAUUUGGUAAAUUUCAAAAAGUCAUGAUGUAUGGAUUAUUCUAAGUUGUAUGGACCCCAUGGAUUGUGUUGUCAUAAGUGAUUGGAUCUUACUGCAUAUAUGAUGAUGAUUGGAAAUACAUAUAAGAAUCAAAUGUUGAAAAUGAUCUUGUUGCCAUCAUAUUAUAUGCCAUGUUGAAAGUGAGCUAUAAUUGUGAAUGUGAACUAUGAUAAAUGAGAAGGCCGUCAGAGGUGUGAGCCAACGAUGUCCCGGGAGUGUCGGGAUGCCCGGCCAGGGAGUGUAAAUGCCGGAUGCCCAGUGGCCUAGUGGCGUAAUUCUGGAGGGUCCUCGGGAGUUUUGAGAUGCCCGAGAUGUGGGGGUGCUGGAAGCCCGGAGGUGUGAGCCGAGGGAUACCUCAUGAUGCUAGUUGGGGUACGAGAUGCCCGGAGUGUGUGUGCCGGAUGCCCGGAGGUGUGUGCCGGAGGUUCCUGGCGAUGUCAGGAUUGGGUGCGAGCGAUAAAUGUGGGAUGCAAAUACUGGUCUUGGGAAAGAGAAAUGUGGCGGCCCAAAAUGAAAGAAUAAAAUUGGGAAAUUGAAAUUGAAUUAUGCAUGGUAUGGUAACAUGUAUGCAUGAAUGCAUGAAUGUAUGUGAUGGUACAUGUGUGACAUGAUGAUGGUGAGUGCAUGGAUGUAUGUGCACCUAUGGCAUGAUGGUAUAUGUGACAUGAUGAUGGUGAGUGCAUGGAUGUAUGUACACCUAUGGCAUGAUGGUAUAUGUAUGACAUGAUGAUGGUGAGUGCAUGGAUGUAUGUGCAUCUAUGGCAUGAUGGUAAAUGUAUGACAUGAGGGUGAAAGUUAUAUGAGGAUGUAUGUACAUGUGGUAUGAUGACAUAUGCAUGGCUUCAAGGUAAAUUAUGCAUGGAUGCAUGAAUGACAUGUGUUAUGCUAUGAUUGUUAUGAUUGUAUUGUGUGAUGCAUUGAGUAGUUUAUUGGGUCUUUUACCUGCUGAGUGGCUGUACUCACCCCUUCGGGGACCAACAUUUCAAAUUAGAAAUAUACCGCUCCCUACUGUCACGCGGGGCGUCUUUUAUGGCCUUCCUUCGGACGUGGAGGUCGAGUGUGUGGAGAUCGACUGUCUCACCAUCCCUGGUCUGACGUUCAUUCGGGUUCGUGCAUUAGUGAUGUAUGACGUGGGCCUGGCUGAUGGCCAGAUCAUUCAGGAGUUCAUAUAUGUUCACGUUCGUCGAGACGGAGUGAUGCGGGGGAUGUUGCUGCCGCCACCGCCUGACGCACCGGGAUGGGUGUGACGGCCCAUGAUUGAGGAGUAGGAGCUACUACUUUUUCGACAAUAGCCGACACUAGUAGAUGGAGGAUUUUGCAUGAUCGACAUAGAGGGUCGAGUUGUCUCUUUUUGGGGUUAUGGCCGAGUGUAGUUAAAAGUCUUGGCCUUUCUUUUGUUGUACCGACCUGAUAAAAAUCCAUCAUGAAAAUAUGUAAAUAAAAGUGUCUUGACUUUAUCUUUUUAUAGUGUUUAGUGGUGUGCAUUGUAUCAUGAUUGUUGGGGGGGAGAAUUGGUAGGACUUGAUUAUGCUUCCGCAAAUAAGAUGCGUUGGGACCGUUGUAAAAAAAAAAAUGCCUAGGAACUAAAGUUCUUCUUUGGUAUCUGUGGUGACCUUAGGCGCUUCGGGGUGCCACAAUAAUUAACGUCACAUGUGCUAAAGAUUUUUUAUCCCAAUUUCGUUGAAAAAUAUCUCUAGGGUGCUUUCUCUUUUGUUGAAAUUUGGGGCACAUGUUAAACAAUAAAAAGUUAGCCAUCAAUGCACAACUUCUCUUAAGUAACGAAUCGUGAAUGCUUUGAAAAUCGAAACAUUCACUAUAAAAUAUAAUUGACACUAAUAAGAUAGGUCAUCUAUGAUAUACCUGUAUCUCCAUGCAUGUAUGCAUAUGCAAUGAAUACUCCGGAGAAUAUCAUAUGCUUCAUUAAGUGCACUUAAUAAAUGCUCCAAAGGUACUUGCUAAGGAAAUCCUUUACAAAAGCAUUCAUGCAUUCCCCAUGAAUUUACAAACAAAAUAAACACACUUUUCGAUGUGUGAUCGUGUGAAUGUUAAUCCCUAUAUAUUAGUCAUGUAUAUUCAACAAAAUAAAAUAAAAUAAAAUUACAAAUAUGAUUACUGAGAUCAAAGCAGAAAAUUAUGUAAAUUUUCUUAAUUAAUUAUGUCGAGACACUUCUUAAUAAAAGCUGAUCACAUCGUCCUCGUGCUUUUCUUCUCUCUCUCUCUUUUGUUCUUUUCAAUUAAUGUGUUCAUCACAUUGAGAAAGGGGAUUAUGCAUGCCGCUCUGCCCGAUGAUAAUUGCACGAGUGUGGAUUUACAGAGAGGGGGGGACCAAACUCUUUAAUUAUUAUUGCACAACAAUUAUUAAUUAUUACUGCUGCAAUUAUUUGUGGGGGAGUUAAGAAACAAUAAAAAAAUAAAAAUUACGCAACAUGUCUUGGUGGACACGGGCAUUUGCGCGCGUGUCUCGCCGUAUCUGUCAGACAGAGCCGGUUGCUUCGACCAACUACCUCCCGUUGACUUUGACUUGAGCAGCUGCUGGCCAGUGAGAUUUCGCCACGGCAGCCGUCUGUUGACCUGCGGUGGCAGGAGAUCCGGCCCGCGCGUGCUAGGUCGCAGCCUCGCCACAGACAACAGCUUUUACCUGCAAACAUACGCUGCAAAUAUAAACUGUGAAUUAAAAAGCUUUGCGUAUGACAGACGUCCGAGGACCACAAAGAUGGUUUUUAAAUGGGACCAUACGGUAUGAUCGGAGGCGGAGGAACCGUGCGCCGGACGAAGAAAGCUCGGCUGAUUUACAGAGCCGGGCACGGGGAGCCUGGCUGCGAACCCACCCCCGUCGCAACCCAGAGGCACGAGCAGUUGAGGUAUGGAGAACUCAGGCAAAAAGUAGAUCUGCAAACCCAGAGAUUGAUUUGCCCCAGACAUGGAUUCCACCGAAAGCAGGAGUGUUGAAGAUAAAUAUAGAUGGAACAUAUGUGCAUGGUUCGUUGAAGAACUCCAUUGCUUGCAUUAGCCGUGAUUCGGAAGGGAGGUUGUUGGGAGGAGUUGCAAAGGAAAUAAGGGCCUCUUCCCCCUUAAUGGCAGAAACCUUAGCUCUCUGGGAAGCCCUCCAGUUUCUCUUCCCUAUACGACACGAAGUAAUACUUUUGGAGUCAGAUAGUUUGCAACCGGUCAAAGCCAUGAACAGUUCACAACAGUUAAGUUGGGAAGUACAGCCUAUCAUCAGCAAGUGCAAGGAAAUAUUGAAGGCCUUUUCAAAAGUCCAAAUAGCCCAUUGUUCAAGACAGGCCAAUUUUGUUGCAGAUUGGGUAGCUAAAGCCCACUGGAACAAUUACUUACCUAUGAAUUGGGUCUCAUCCCCUCUACAAACUUUGUUGGACCUCUUAUGUAAUGAAGCCCAUUUAUCGGGCCUCUUAUCCUUGCGUACUUAAUGAAAUAUUUCCGUUUUCGACCAAAAAUAAAAAAUAAAAAUGGGACCAUACGGUAGUAACUUUUUCUUUUUCUUUUUCUUUUUCUUUUAUUUUUCUAUUUUUUUUAUUAAAGAGAAAAGUCAUAUGAAAGUCCAAAAUAUGUGUCCUCUCACGUAUUCAUUUCAAUAUUUUUUUUUGUGACAUAAAAAUUCCAAAUUUGUAUUUAUGUCACACAAAUACUCUGUUAAGAUACCGUUAAAUGAUUUUUCAACUAAAAUAACGUCUUUUUAUUUAUUUAAAUUACGUGGGCGCCAUGUCAGUGUUUUGGUGUCAUAGAAAAAUGUUUAUAAUAAAUAUAUUACAAUGGACAAAAUUUAAGAUUUUUUUUUUGUGACUUUUGCCCUUAUUAUUAUGAUGUAGAGGAAAUGUUGCAAUUUCUAAUAUAUUGCCUACUUUUGUGAUAUGUAUACUUAAUAUUUUGAAAAUAGAAUAUUUUCUCGUUAAAUGUAAUUAGAAAUGCACCAAAAGCACGUGUGCCUUGUAAUACUCGUUAGACAUAUUGAUUUUGGAAUGAAUUAGUUUCGACACAUUAUUUUAUAUAUCACUACAACGAUUAAUGCAUUGGAAACUACAUGAUUUGGAAAAUCAAUUAUUUAACAAGUGCUCCAUAAACCCUAAUAAACCAAAAUCCUUAUCAUUAUAUUGAUAGUGUGUAAAAUUAAGCUAGUUAGGUAGAUUAUUUCGAGAGAAAUGAAUGUUGAUUUGAGCUCCAACAAGCGCAUUUUCUUGCAAGCCACGCUUUAGGGUCUAUUUGGUACAUUUCUAUGUCAAGAAUCAAUUUUUUUUUUCAAAAAUAGUCUGUCUAUUUCUAUUCCCCAAAACAAUUUAUGAAUAAAAAAAUGCAUUUGGUAACUAUACAAAAUUAAUUUUCUUAAAAUAGAAAAGUAAUAAAAAUGCAUUUAAUGUGAUCAACAAUUUUUUUUAUUACAUAAAAUUUCUUUUAAUUUUUUAAUAAUUUUUUUUCUUUUUUUUUUCUUUUGUUAUUCUUCCUUGCUGCUGCCAAUCGUUGGCCACAAGCCACCGCGGCCGAGCCAAAGGUCAAUGGCAACCGACAGUGGCUGAACAACAGCAGAUAGUGGUGGGGUUCAAGGAGAAAGAAAAGAAAAAGUAACUUAUUUAUAAAAAUUGUUCAUGAGAGCAAUAAGUUACUUUUUUUUUUCUUUUUAUUUCUAUUCCAAAUCUAUUUUUCCGUCAAUUUUCUAUUCCGGAGAAUAAAAAAAUUAGUUGAUAUUAUCAUAUGGAUUUAUGUUCUUUUUUUUUGUUCCGAGGAACGAAAGAACAGAAAUUGGAAUAAAUAGAAAUGUUAUCAAACGAAGUCUACUCAGUCGGUAAUUUCAGAAAUCAGAUUACCUCAAAUGAUUCAUUCAGUUGAAUCACGUCCCUAUGGUAAUGUUUGGAUGACCUUUACCUUGUUUUAUUCGAUUUAACUCGAUCCGAUUGAGCACCACUUAGGAAGUCGGUUCGACGUCCGGCCGUAUUUUGGAGACAUUGGUUUCAAGGGUCUCUUGUCCUGAUAUUUGUCUAGUAGAUGAAUGAGGUGUGUGAUGAUAUUUUUACAGGCCGGAGCAAGUGCCGAUUUUCAGGUAUGAUCUCGGCCCAAGAGGCAUACAAGAUGAGCCGAACGUGUUGGAGUGGGUGAUAAAAUACCUUUGCGGAGAGUAUAGUUAUUUUGGUUGGACAAAUCAAGUCAUCAGUCAUCAAGUUGUCUAAUAUUUGACUAUAAAUGGAACUUAACCCUAAGGAUUAGUUUAGUCGGUUGAGAGUUUUGGAAGUUACGAUUCAAAAAUUAGAAAAUAUUUUCUUUAAAAUGAUCAAUUAUAUUAUUUUCACAAAUGAGUCAACAAAAUAUAUUUUCAUUAACAAUAAUGAUUUAUGUUCAAACAUUUUCGUGAAUGACGAAACCAAUACAGGAUGAUUCUAAAUUAUUGAGUUUUUGUAAGACAAACGCACCAGCAAUCCAACUUAGAAUCACUCUUCUUUUUUUUGUGCGUGUGUUUUUGGGGCUCGGAAUAUGGGAGUUGAUAUGUCAGGAAGCUAUCUCACUAGCUAUCCUUCCCAUCAGAUUCUUUAACGUACGAACACCAUGUUAAAUCUUUUUCUUCUUUUUUUCAAGACUUACAUUAAAUCACUUUCCAUGGAAUUAAAUCGUAAAAAUUAGAGCCCCUUUAAAAUAUCAUCACAUUACAUUUUAAUGUUGGGUUCACACGUUAAAAACCCAAUACACUUAUCAUGAAAGAUUGCUAAGAGAAAACUCAAAUCUAAACUCGUUAACUUAUUCAAUUUGAUCCAUUUACGCUCAAAACCUUUGGUCAAUGAAUUAUAACUGAGUUAGAUAUAUUAAAUACUCCAUAUUACAGCACAUCCUUGUAUGAGAUUUCAAUAGCUUAACAUUCUCGUGCAUGCAUGUAGACAAUUUCCCCCUUCACACAUGCGAGCCACCAAUGUUAGGCUCACUCCCUCUCAAUCCUAAUAUCCUUCUACACCAACAUUAUCUCAACUCGAGAAUAUUUAAUCUUUACCUUGGCUUGGUCAAAUUGCAUAUACUGGUGAGGACCAAUAGGUAUCUUUCAGAUUCCACCUUAAUUGUCUUCGCUCAACCAAGCUUGUCGAGAGUAGAGCGACACCAUUCAUCACCUCAAUUAAGGGGCCACAUUUGAGAUUUUCCUUCCUUGAGAUAUUCAUCGGGCACUCAUACAUAUUGGGAUCCGGCCACGAAUCAACAUUGACUCUAAUACCAUUUUCAGAUUGACACAACAGAAGCUGAGUACCUUCAUUUGAUGAGAUCACCAAGAGGAAGCACUAGUCAAAGCCCAUUAAAUUACCUAGUUGGACCCAAGUUUACUCAAAAACUUGAGUUAAUCAAUUAUGAAUCAGCUAAAAUGUAUCACUUGCACCACAUUUACUUUGUGGGAUUUCUCUCAGCUAACAUCCAUGCACAUGCACCUUAACAAAUACUAAAUGCAAUCCGAUUCCUCAUGUGUCGAAGGUACCCCUUGAAGCAUCAAAUACAACGAUAGGGUUUGCGUAGCUUGCUUGUUGUAGUAGAUUUUCUCUUGAUUACUACCUUACCGGCCCUUAGCAUUGAGGUGACAAGCUACCAAUGCCGUAAUUAUUUGUAAUGUUGAUUCAUUGGAAGGUAAAUAUUAAUGAGUCACGUUUUACUUAUUAUGUCUUUAAAAUGUACAAUUUUUCAAUGAAGUAACUGAAUAUAUUAAACUUCUCUUCUUUUACUGUAUUUAAAUAUGUACUUCUUUAAUUCUCAAAAUCUCUUAAAAAGCAUUCUUUCUAUUUUUAGUUAAUUUAAUGUAGGAAUUAGUUUUGACAGGAAAUGAAAAAGAAGAGAAUUGGAGGAAUUUCUUGUGCUCAUUUUGUAUUUUUUUUUUCAUUCUUUAUAUGUAUUAAUAAUAUAAAGUGUGGAUAGCAAAAGGAAACAAUGUAAAUAUACAUAAUUAAUAUGGAUCACUUAUUGAUUCAGUCAAUCAAUCUAAAUCUUAGAUUAAUUCAAUUAUCUCUUCACCACAUAAAUCAUAUCUCCAACACUCCCUCUCAAGUUGGUGGGUUGUAUAUGUCCAAAACACCUAGCUUGUUUAACAAAUGUGUGUUGUCUUUGACACAAGGGUUUAAGUAAAGAUAUCCGCGGGCUGUUUUGAGGUUCCAAUACCCUUUAUCCUAUUAUUCCUUCUUGGAUCUUAUCUCGAGAGAAAUGAUAGUCGACCUCUAUAUGUUUUGUUAUCUCAUGGACUAUAAGAUUAGCUGCAAGCUUUAGUGUUGCAUCAUUAUCACAAAAACAACAUAGUUGGCCUUUUAACUCGCACACCAAGGUCAAGAGGUAGACCUCGCAUCUAUACUAUCUCAUAAAUAGUCUUGGUCAUGGCUAGAUACUCAACUUUAGCCAAUGAUAAUGAUACGGUUGUUUGCUUCCUCCUCUUUUAUUUAUUUAUUUAUUUAUUUAUCAUAACAAAAGUAAGGAUGUUCUAAGCUUAAUGCAAAAAAUCUAGUAAUGGAGCUCCAGGUCAUAAGACAGGUGGCAUGGUCUAUGUCACAAUAAUCCGUCAUCUCCAUGUUACACGCUUGAGAAAGAAGUAUUCCAAAUCCUAGACAUUUCUUCAAAUCACAACUUUUAGAGCUACAUUCAUAUGUGAUUGUUUUUGGUUAUGCGUAAACCAACUCAGCAUUAGCACUCCUUAGCAUAUGUUUGGUAUUGUCAUGGUGAGAUAAUCUUUUCUACGAGCCUCUAAUAGCUUGAUGGAUCCUUGAGCAGUGGAUUAUCAGCAUUUGAUAGUGUUCCACAUAAAAAAAAAAUUGUGAUUAACUUGAUAUCUUGCUCGAUAGGAAUAGUAGGUAGCUUACAUUCUAACAAACUUGCUUUUGAUAUAAUUUCAAGGACAAAUUUCCCAUUAGCUAAGAGGAGAUUCCCAUGUUCAAUUGGGCAAUUUUAAUUCCAAGGAAAUAUAUGGGAGGUCCUAGAUCUUUAAUGUGAAAGGUAUAGUAGUGCAAAUAUUUCUUGAGAUUUUCAGCAACAGCUUCAUUAGAUCCCAUAAUAAGUAUGUCAUCAAUAUAUAUCAUUAGAUAGAUAGAUGACGAACCUUUUCUCCUUAUAAAUUGUGCAUAAUCAUGUCUCAACUGUCUAAAGCCAGUAACUAUAAGUGCAUUUGUAAAUUUUGUGUACCACUAAUGAGAAGCUUUCUUAAGGCCAUAAAGUGAUAUGCAGAGACAUCAUACCUUAGACUCCUCUUGUUUUCGUAAACCCGGUGGAAGAUCCAUGUAAAUUUCUUCGUCUAGAUCACCAUGGAGAAAGGCAUUGUAAAUAUCCAUUUGAUGUAGUGGCCAAUCCUGCAAGCAACAAUGCAUAGAAAGGAGCGAACUGUGACUUUUUUUGCUAUUGGAAAGAAUGUUUUAUGAUAAUCGAAACAUUCUUUUUAUGUGAAACCUUUGGGCACUAAACGCACCUUGUAUCGUUGGACUGAUCCAUUUGCCUUGUGUUUAAUUUUAGGGAUAAGUGCACUAGGAGUCCUAAAACUUAUUACAAAAGUGCAUUUGAGUUCUAAAACUUGCAAAAAGUGCAUUUACGUCCUAAAACUUGUCAAAAUGUUUCAAACGAAUCCUAAAAUCGAUGCCGUCUAAUUUCUUAAUGGAAAAAGCUAACGUGGCCCCCGCAUGGCUUUUUUUAAUCGUUUCUCUCUCCUUCGUUGCGAAUAGAUUAAAAAAAAAUGCCAUGCAUCCAAAACGACGUCUUGUUCUCCUUUCUUUUUCACCAUUGUGUUACCUUCCCUCCAUCUGUACGUCUUCUUCACCGUCGUCUUCCCUCUCCCCCCUCCGUCUCUACGAUUGCUUUCACUAUUCCGAGCGAACCCUAAGCCCCAAAUCGAAUUCGUCCAAAUUGCAAUUCUCUUGCAAUUUGGGUCCUCAUCGACCUCAAGUUCGACGCUCGUCGUGAGUUCGUGUUCUUUCCUUUGAUGAUCGCGAGUUCGUGCGAAGUCCUCUCCUGUGGGAGUCUCGACAUCUCAGCAGAGAAGCGAUUGGCAUCGGGGACGACGACAAGGUCCGCGACGGCGAUGGCAACUCCUCCUCACACAGGUAUCGUUCUUUGCAUUAUAGCAUUUUGGGUAUCUCGUGGUAAUGCUACGAUAUCUUUUGUUUUGCUACGAUUUCUUUUAUUUUGCAAAGGUGCUUUAAUCUCUGCAUUAUGCAAAACGAUGUCAGUUGGCGUCCUCAUUUCUUCAUUAUUUGGAGUUCAGAGAGCUCGAGUUUGACACACAUCGACUUUAUGUUAUCUUCUUUGACGAUUGCAAGUUUGUGCAAAGACGUGUCUUGCGGGCAUCUCGGCGUCUCAACAGCAGAGCAAGCGGCAUCAGGGAUGACAAUGGCCAUCUCAGCGACGGAGCAAGCAACAUCAGGGACGGCGAUGGUGACUCCUCACGCAGGUAUCACUCUUUACAUUACAGCAUUUGGGUAUGUCAUGGUAAUAUUACGAUUUUUGUUUUUGUUUUACGAGGGCGUUUUACUCUCUGCAUUAUGGUUUUUUUGCAUUUUCCAAUUGUUGCGAUAAAUUAGAACAUUGUUGCAAAUUAGAACAUCGCCUACCGAAAGGCUGACAAUAGGUCCCUCGCUCUCACUAUUGAUCAUGUAGUUGCAUUGUGAUUGUAAAGCACAUUAUGCUAAUUUGCUGUUUCUGUAUUGAUUAUUAGUCUUUUAACUUGAACAUUGCUUCAAUAAUUUGAUGAUGGAAAGUACUCUGCUCUUUUUUUUGUUCUCUUGUAUGUUUCUAUUCCAUUGUAGGUUCAAUUGCCGAGAAUAAAGUUUAUUUCACUGUUCGCUAUGGAGGUAAAUUUAAAGUCGGCCCACCAUUGGAAUACAUAGGUGGAAGAGCUAAUCUUGUUGAAAUAAGUUUAAGUAAGAGUUCACUGUCUAGUAUAAUUGAAGCUAUUGAGGCUUUGGGUGUGUGUAAAAUAGAGAAACUCUUUUAUAGAGUUUCUGGAAGUACGACUCUUGUAGACGGCAUAACACUUAGGUAUUUGUGGGAUAGCUCUGAUGUGAUGGAUCUAUUUUAUCAUCAUUUGUGCUCUGAAAAUAUUAUGCUAUAUGUUGAGCAUGUUGAUGAGAAAAAGAAAGGAGCUGAGAUGAGGGGUGUUGAGAUGGAAACUGGAGGUAUGUCUAAUGUGAUUAGGAAUAUUGAUGAUGACGAUGCCAAUAGGGAUCUAGAUGAGGAAGAGGAUGAUGAUGCACAUAAUUUGGUGGAUGUGGAACAGUCGAGUGACGAUGAUAAUUUUGAACUGGUUGAUGCAAGGAAAAAAUUAAAGGAAUUUUCAGCAAGACACAAGCUCAAAAUUGGCGAUUAUAGUGAGGCAACUGGUACUUCCCAACCAUUGAUUGUGGAUGAGGCUCAAUCAUUACAUGAUUCUGGGUACGAAACAGAGUAUGAUGAUUCAGAUGAGGAAGAUAGUCUUCAAUCAAUUUUAAAUGAUGAGGGUGACAAAGAGGUUGAUGUUAUCUCAAAGAGGAGAAGUAGAUUCCCAUCAUAUGAUCAAAGUGGUACAAAUCCAGUAAUUAUUGUUAGCAUGACAUUUGAGGAUGCAACUGAGUUCAAAAAUGCAAUUUUGAAGUAUUCUGUGGCUAAGCAAAGAGCAAUCAAAUACACUAAGAACACAAAAAGCUUUGUAAGAGCCAGGUGUGUCCAGGAAAAUUGUAAGAGGAUGAUCUAUGGUGCUAUUGAUAGCAAAACUAGAUCAUUUCAUUUGAGAAAUUAUAUAAAUCAGCAUAUAUGCAGUAUCACUUUCGAGAAUAAGAGAGUGUCUAGUAAUUAUUUAACUAAGCACUUCAUGAUUCUCAUUUUUGCAAUGCCUAAAAUCAAAGCACUAGAGUUAAAGAAAUUAGUCAAAGAACAACUGGGAGUAAAUGUCACUUUCAGUCAGUGUAGGAGAACAAAGUUGAAAGUAUUGAAGGAACUACAAGGUAAUUACAAGAAGGAAUAUGCACAGAUGUACGACUACUUGGGAAAGCUUUACACUGCAAGCCCUUCAAGCAAUUUUAAAUUGAAAGUUGAAAGGCCAUUGCUAAAUUCUCUACCAUUAUUUGAUAGGGUUUACAUUUGCUUUGAUGCUUGCAAGAAAGGUUUUUUGGCUAGAUGUAGGAAGAUCAUUGGAUUAGAUGGAUGUUUUUUGAAGGGUUUGAUCAAGGGCGAGUUGUUAUGUGCCGUAGGAAGGGAUGGCAACAAUCAAAUGUAUCCAGUGGCAUGGGCAGUGAUAAGAAUCGAGAAUAAGGACACAUGAACUUGGUUUAUCGAAUUGUUAAAGUCAGACCUCGAUAUGUGUAAUGGUGACGGAUGGGCUUUGAUAAGUGACCAACAAAAUGUAUGUUUUUCUUUUUGUUUUCAUUUGUAAAUUGAUUGUGACAUUACAAUGCUUUUCUUUCUGUUUUCAUAUAUAUUUUCUUUUUUUGGGUAAUUGUCAGGGUCUCGUCUAAUCUGUAGCUGAACUUUUGCUAAAUGCAGAGCAUAAUAUGUGUGCAAGGCACAUAUAUUCCAACUUGGGUAAAAAAUACAAAGGAAAACAGUUGAUGAGACAAUUUUGGAGAUGUGUCAAGAGUAAUAAUAUGUCAGAUUUCGAGGUGCAUAGAUAGAGGUUGAAGGAAAUGACUCAAGAAAGUCAUGAUGAUUUAUUCCGUAUUGAGCCAAAACAUUGGUGCAAAGCCUUAUUUGACACCAACAUUAAAUGUUAUGCCGUUGAUAAUAAUCUCAUUGAAGCUUUUAAUGGCAGGUGUGUGGAAGCUAGGUGCAAGGCCAUUGUGAGUAUGCUGGAGGAUAUUAGAAUCAUGGUUAUGAAUAGAAUGCAUACUCAGAGGGAUGGAUGUGCUAAGUGGACUGGAAAUUAUGGUCCAAGGAUUCUACAUAAGUUACAUGAGAAUACAACUGCUAGUAGGUAUUGUCAUUUGAUAUGGAAUGAAGACGAAGGAUAUGAGAUUACGGAAGAUGGUGACAAAUAUGUUGUUGAUUUGAAUUUAAAAACUUGUAGAGCUUGGGAACUUAGUGGAAUUCCAUGUUGCCAUACCAUUUGUGCAAUACACCAUAAGAGAAAUUACCCGAUUGACUAUCUAGCUGAGUGUUUCAAUAAUGCAAAGUAUCUAAGUGCUUAUCAAUUCAUGAUGUCUACAGUGAGAGGACAGAAAUUUUGGAAUAAAACCAAUAAAGAAGCUCCUCAACCCUCACCAAUGAAGAACAUGCCUGGUAGGCCAAAAAGGAGUAGAAAAAAGCAACCAAUUGAGCUUGUAAAAGGUGAUAGAAUGACUAAAAAUGGUAAGCUAAUGACUUGUUCUACUUGCAAUGUGGUUAGACAUAACUGCAAGGGAUGUCCUUUAAAAAAUGUAUUUUCUCAACUAACUGAUCAUCUAAAUGUUGGGCAUGUCACUUUAACAUGUUGUUAAUCAAUGCUUAAUAUGUGCUUCUCAGGCCAAUACUUGGGCCAAUGUAUGUACAUUCAAUGCUCGGGCCAAUGUAUGUACAUCCAAUGCUCGUGCCAGUGCAAGUACAGCUGAAGUUCAUGCUCAAUCUCAAGCUAAUUCCACUAGAACAAGGCUCGGAAAAAGACAAGUAAGUUGUCAUCUAACAAUUAUUAUAACUUUUAUAUGUCAAGGUUUCAAUUCAGUAAUUAUGAAUAUAUAUUCAGGCUAAAGCUAAAGCAAUGACAAGCAUAACUGGAGGAGGAUUCGAAAGCCAUGCCAAUGCUUCUGCAAAUGCCAAUUCAAUAGGAGACAAUAGUGGGCAUGUUAAUGCUUCUACUCAGGCUAGUGCAGAUGUAAGAGGGUGUAGUGCUCGUGCAAAUGUAAGAGAAUGUACUGCCACUGCUUCUGCUCAGGCUAGUGCUGAUGUUAGAGGAUGUACUGAUGUGGCCAAUACUGUUGGUAAAGUUCGUCCUGAUCAAGGGGAAGGCGUUUAUUGUACACCGGCCAAUAUAAUGGCUAAGCAUAGACCUGAAAAAAAUUUCAGUGAGUAAUAUCUCAAUCCCCAAGCAUACAUGUAUUGUGACUACAUUCUCAUGUUCAAUGAAUUUUUUAUUAUUUUAGAUUAAAAGACUUGCCAUUGAAAAUAACAUGAUACAAAGAGAAUCACAGGCCAAGAGGAUGAAAAUGGUAGGGUUGGGUGUUGACGCAAAUCCUAUGACAAACCUUCAUAUUCUUAAGGUGAGUAAUAUUUCUAAAAUUUUCUAAUAGCAAUUACUUAUCUCCUUAAGCUAAAAACAUGCUCAUUCUUAUGUAGCCUAAUACAACUGGUGCAAGAAUCUUUAACCUACCAGACAAAGGGGUAGUUUCAAGAGCUACAUCAACAAUAAAGGUGCAUUCCCAGGUCAGUGCACAACCUCAGUCAUAUCAUGUAUCAGCAACUUCUUGAAAACAAAUUGCGGUGACGCCGAAGCCACCAUUACAACCCAAGGCCAGUUCCCAACCUCAAUCAUCUCAUGCAACAGUAGCUCCUUCAAAGCAUGUUGCAAUGAAGCCAAAGACACUAUCGCAACCUGAGGCUAGUUCCCAAGCUCAGUCAUCUCAAGCUACAAGAGCUCAGAAGCAUCUUAAUUUAAAAUGAAAGGCACCAUCACAACCAAAGGCAAGUUCCCAACCUCAAUAAUCUCAUGCAACAUUAGCUCCUCGAAAGCAUGUUGCGAUAAAGCCAAAGCCACUAUUGCAACUUGAGGCCAGUUCCCAAGCUAAGUCAUCUUAGGCUACAAUAGCUCAGAGGCAUCUUGGUUUAAAGUGAAAGACACCAUCACAACCCCAGGCAGCUCCUCAAAGACACAUUGCGGUGAAGCUGAAGCCACUAUUGCAAGCUCAAUCAUCCCGGGCUCAGUCAUCUCAAGCUACGACAACUCCUCCAAAGCCUAUCGCUUUAAGACCAUAUAUAAGGAAAAGUGCUAGAAUUAUGAAUCAAGUGAAGGCUGGACCUACUGGAUCACUGGAGACCAUCAUAUUGGAUUGAUAUGUUUGCUGAAAUUGGUGUUGUUAGGUGAAUUUAUGCCAAUCAUUAGCUGGUUUUCUAUAUGAGACAUGUAGCAUUUGUGCAUAAGACCUUUUGUGUACUGAAAGUGCAUAUUUUGUUGAAAAGAACCUUUUGUGCAUUGAAAGUGCAAGCAUUUUGUUGAACAAAGCCUUUUGUGCAUUGGAAAUGUAAGUAGCAUGUUGCUUUGUCAAUGAAUCGUGUUUCAACAAGUUAUGUGGGAUGCUUGGUUUUGGUUUGGAUAAUGCACGAAAGUGGUUGCUCUUCAGGAUUGUUAAUAGAUGAUUACUGAAAUUGUCCAUGAAGAAUUUUCAUUCUUCCAAUACUUUUGUCAUCUUCUUUCCCAUUUAUUGUUAAUAGGAUUGUUAAUAGGUUCCAAAUUCAUUCUGAUAGCAAUAACUCAUAUAGUGCUAUUGACAAGCACACAAAUCAAGCAACAUUUUUCAAUGCGAAAGUAAUUUCUCACAUGGCAAGCAACCGGUCUUGCAAACUACAAACUCACAUCAGAUUUCAUUCAUAUCUCAAUUAUCCACAACUAGUGUUCAAACUUACAAACUUAGAAAUAAGGUACUAUGGAAGACUUAGAAAAUUCUCACCGACUUUCACAUUACAUAUAACCAAUACAACAAUAUAACACAUGCAUAUAAUGAAUGCCAAUUGAUAUAGCAUCUUUCCUUUCUUUAUUCGUGCGAGCUCUUCCUUUAAACGUCUAUUUUUCGCCUUUUGAGUCUUCAUUUCAGCUAGCAAUGAGCUCACAUCGACUUCGUCACGCCUCGAUUGGCUUGAUUCACACAAUGCUUGAUUUCUUUCAAGUAGGUUAACUAUCAUGUCCCUCACAUGAUCUGGUAUCUUUGGAUCAAGCUACAUGAAGAAAUCGCAGCAACUUGGACUAUUAAUCUUAGCACAUCCAUGGAACCUUCUUCCUGCGUUUUUCCUUGUCUUUGCCAUAAGAAUUGGCGAUUGAAGACCACAAUAACAUGCUGGCUCCGAGUUGACCUCAUUACGAGUUACGCCACUUGAUUCAAAUGUUGGCGCCCUCAUUCUUCUAGGCUUCGUAUUAUAGGAACAUAAUAGAAGUAUAUUAGAAUGGAAAAUAACAAAAUGCUAUAAUGCAGAGAGCAAUACCUACUUGAGGAGGAGUCUCCAUUGCCGUCGCUGACCCUGUCGUCGUCCCCGACACCAAUCUCUUCGCUGCUGAGAUGUCAAGACUCCCACAAGAGAGGACUUCGCACGAACUCGCAAUCGUCAAAGGAAAGAACACGAACUCACGACGAGCGUCAAACUCAAGGUCGAUGAGGACCCAAAUCGCAAAAGAACUACAGUUCGGACGAAUUCGAUUUUGGGCUUAGGGUUCGGACGAAUUCGAUUUGGGGCUUAAGGUUCGGAUGAAUUCGAUUUGGGGCUUAAAGUUCGCUCGGAAUAUCGAAAGCAAUCGUAGAGAUGGAGGGGGGAGAGGGAAGACGACAGUGAAGAAGACAUACAGACGAAGGGGAGGUAACACGAUGGUGAAAAAGAAAGGAGAACACGACGUCGUUUUGGAUGCGUGGCAUUUUUUUUUUUAAAAGCCACGUGGGGGCCACGUCAGCUUUUUUCAUCGAUAAAUUAGACGGCAUCGAUUUUAGGACUCGUUUGAAACAUUUUGACAAGUUUUAUGACUUAAAUGCACUUUUGCAAGUUUUAGGAUUCAAAUGCACUUUCGUGACAAGUUUUAGAAUUCUUGGUGCACUUAUCCCUUAAUUUUAUACACCCAUUUACAACCAAUUGGAUUCUAAUGAGCAAGAAAGGACACAAUAUACCAAGUCUGAUUUUCAUUAAGGCACCUGAUUGGAGAUGUGCUCCCGACUUCUUAUCACCCCCAAUCGAGGAUGGAGGAGGCAUGACAUAUGAGUAGACCAACCCUCAAUUGGCUUAGGUUUUGCUUUGCCUAUUUACUUUUCGUGUAGUAUAUUUAAUCGAUGCUUCUUCACAUUGAAUCAAAGGAAAAAAUUUCGAACCUUUGUCUCGACUAACUAAAUUUCAAAUAAAGCUCCAAACCCACCAACUAGACAUUUCUUCACCAACCAGCUUGCACUCGUAGCUCGCGUUCGAAAAUAAUUUAAUAGGAUAAGAUGAAUUUGUUUUCGAGCAUUUUGAAGGGGGGUUGGAAGGGAGAGACUUGGAAUACCGACGAUAUCCUCGACGACAAAUCCACCAUGCCAGCAGAUGGAGAUGUGCGCCAAGCUUCUUAUCACCCCCGACCAAGGGCGGAGGAGGCACGACGUUCGAGGAGACCAACACUUGAUUGGCAUAGGUUUUGCUUUGCCUUGCCUAUUUACUAUGGAUUCUAUUUCCUUCUUCAAUUUACUUUUCAAUCGAAGCUUCUUCAAAUUGGGUCAAAGGAUCGAACGAAAUCAUCACUACUUUAGUCACCGGAAUAAGCAUUAUUUGUUGUUUUGCCAAUUUACUUUUUGUGCACCCAGGCCGCCCAUGCAAAUCGACCAUUUGAUUGGCCGUUGAGCUCAGGAACUCAAAUUAGAUUAACUAAUAAAUUUUAAAUCUCUUAUUUAAGACAAAAUUCACUCAAAAUCCUCUUUCGAGGAAAAAAAAUCCCUUUUUCUGUUUUAAUUUGGAAUGUUCCUUAAAAGAGAUGGAAAAACCAAAACGGCACGGAACGAUCCCUCCUCCAGUCAAAUCCGCUAUCGCCCCCGGGCGCUCCGCUCCCCCCUCACCGGCAAAUGGCAGCCCCCGACGAGCCGCCGCGGCCGCGGCGGCCGCCGCCCGACUGGCUGGAGCUCCCACGGGAGAUCACGACGACGAUCUUCCUCAAGCUCGGCGCCGUCGAGAUCCUCAAGACAGCGGAGCUGGUGUGCACCGCCUGGCGCGCCCUCUGCCUGGACCCCACCAUGUGGCAGACCAUCGACAUGCGCAACGACGGGGAACCGCCGUACGACGACCUCGCCGACAUGUACCGCCGCGCCGUCGACCGGAGCCGCGGCGGUUGCCUCGACCUCAACAUCGAGUACUUCGGCGACGACGAGCUCCUCCAGUACGCCGCCGACGGGUAACUCGCCGAUUCCCUCUUGAAUGAAUUUCGCGCGGUUUUGUUCCUCGGUCUGGUUUUGGUGGGCCUCGGAAUGAUCGCUGAUGGUCGAGCGCGACGCGUGGUCCGGUUCUUUUGUGCGUACGCCGUUGUUGGAGAGAAUUGAGAUGAUGGUUACUCGCCGAGGAUGAGCUUGUUUCGGCGAUUGGCUGAUCGGCGCGAUUGCGGCGGUUCGCAAGUGCGUGGGUAUACCGUUGAUUUCUCUGGGCUGAAGUUGUGCAGGAAUCGCGAAAUUGUUUAGGAAUGAAUCGUAUUGAGCACGAGUUUACUUCUCUUAUUCACCAUGGCCUCAUCACGAGGCGGAGGUAGAAAUGUGAGGCUUUGAGGAGUCCUCUGGAAGUGAACAUUCUGCACACUUGAAAAGUCCCUUUUUUUCCCUUGUCCUCAAGAAUUGAAAUUGAAAAAAAGAGAAGAUGGACACGCCAGAUGAUGAGAACAGAUUGUAUUUGGAAAACUUCGAUCAGCUACAUGUUCUGGAAACUAACUGAUGAAAAAAUCAUGUGUGGAAAUUGAGUUCUGAUCCUGAAAUAGCUCCCGAGAAUGAGGGUAGAGAUUUUUUACGUGAAAGGAUGCCACCUUUGUUACUUUUCUCUCUCCUUAGGAGUUCUCAAAUGGCUUCUUUACUCUGUCUCUAUGUUCCGUAUGUUCAGCCUCAGUAUCUUUCAUUUUUAGCCAUCAUUUGAACAUUAGGAUGAGGCAAAAGUUCAACCCAAUUGAAACCAUGAAGGAGCAUUGAACUGAGGUUGUGAAAAGACUGAUACAAUGCCGUCUGGUGAGUAUCGGGCAUUACUAAAUGAAAUGAGGAACAUGAACUGUGACAGAGCUUCCAUAAGUGCUUGAUAUGGCAGAAGCACUUCUAUUUUACUUCACUCUAGGAUCUUCUUUCCCCUAUGUGCUUGUUUUCCUUUUGAUCAGUUUAUGCGACGCAUUUACUCUCCUGUUUGCUAAUAGUUAUGGGGAGAUAUUGGUUAAAGUUUGGUGCGGUAGAAGGUAUAUAACUCAACAAAAUAGGGUAUAGCCAUGUAGCUCCAUCACCUUCUCAGCCUUGGACAAGUGUAGCUUUAACCCAUGUUUGCCAAAACACUUGAGUAUGCCUCAGGUUCCAGUGAUAUCAAUCUUAAACUGUUUUUUCCCCUUAUUUUGUUCAGCAAAGAAAAUAUUCUAGUUUAAUUCACCGCUGGAUUUGUCUUCUAUUUCCUGGUCGAGACUCCGCGCUCAGUCUUCAUCAUUGCGUUUUCAUUGAACUUGCAGAGACAGGUUAGAUACAUUUGAUGGCAUUUUUGCAGGUCUUGGAUAGGUACAUAAUUGUCUUGAUCUGACCAGUGGAUGGCACUGUCAGUGUUUUGAUUCCACAGUAUACAACUGAAGUUACUGCUUGAGUUAUGGCAUGGAAGUUUUACGUUUUGGAGUCUUUUCGGUUCUUAAAAUGAGUUUCAGAGUCUAAUAGUGUUAUGUUUGCUUUUGUUGAUAAAAUUCCUAUGAUGAAGGGUUUUAUGAGGAGACUUUGUUAAUGGGUGCCUCUGGUAUAGUUGUUAACCACACAUAAUAAGGAAAUGUAAUUACUCUAAUUAUAUAUAACAUGAGAAAUAUGGUGCAUAAAAAUCGACAAACUCUUUUUAUCGAGGUGUUAAAAAAGUUCCCAUGGACACAUAUUGAAAAAAAUAAAAAAUAAAUCGAUCAGAUUAGCUCUCUUUGUUGACUUAAGUUUCUCUCUUUGAUGGUGUUUUUCUUCCUUUUACUGAGCAUGAAGUCCAGAACAGAGCUUUUGGAUUGUUUUUGAUUUUUGACUGCUGGAUAUAUUAUGUUUGUUAAGGAAAUUUUAUUAUAGUUUGAGGCUGGAAUAGAACAUAAUUUCCAUUGAUUUGAUUUAGGUUUUGAAUUUGAUCUUACUUUUCUUGACGUCUUGAUUCAUUAACUUUAUAUUUGUUUUCAAAAACUUUCUAUACAUAUUUUGUGUAUUCUGUGUCUUAUUAAUAUUUCGGAUAAAUAUGGCAGUCUUGCUUAUUAAAAGGCUAUUCUGAUAGGUCAAAAGUGGACCAAGCAUCACAUCUCUCAAUUGCAUAGAUCUCUGUUUAGUUUACAUUCUUGUGAUGCCAUGGGUAUGCAAAGGCGGACUUCAUUAACAAAUGUGGCAUAGUUGACCUUUUUUAACAUGACUUGAAAGAAUUCCAAUCAAGGCCGCAACAGUAGAGAAUUCUUGAUCUAGGGUUCUGGCUGAUUUUAUCAUAUUUCCGUAUUUUUUGACAUGUCUCGUUAACGAGUGCCCUUAGGGCAUUUAUUAAACAUGCAUAAGGAAAGUUCCAUUGUCUGCAACACUAGUUACGCACUUCACUAGAACAAUUGUGGAUUAUAACUUGUGGUGUUCCUUAAUUAGCCACUAAGAAGUGCCCAAGGGAUAUGAUUAACAAAUUAAUGUUGUUGAAAUACAAUUACUUUUUGGCCGAUGAAAAUAAUCUCUCUACACACCCCUUGCUCUAGAUCAAUAAGCUCUCAGUUCCUUAUCUUAGUGGUUAACAUUAUUAUUGCUAGCUACAACAAGUCUGCUUUUCGGUUGAACCAUCGUUGUUCUCAUGCAUUUCUUAUUCCAUUGCAGGUGCAAUCAUAUUAGACGGCUACGACUUGUAUAUUGCGGUAACAUUUCGGAUGAGGGUCUGUGUGAAGCAGCCUCAAAACUUCCUAUGCUGGAGGUCCUUGAAUUAUCUUAUUGCUCAUUCUCAAAGGAAGCCAUAGAGACUGUUGGACAAUGUUGUCCCCUUCUGAAAUCCUUCAAAUUGAAUAGCCAGGGAUAUAGAUAUCCACACAUAGAAUGUGAUGACGAGGCACAAGCUAUAGCGAAAAACAUGCAUGGAUUACACCACCUCCAACUCUUCGGGAAUAAGAUGACAAAUGAAGGUCUGAAGACGAUUCUCGACAGUUGUCCUCAUCUUGAGUAUCUCGACUUGCGCCAGUGCUUCAAUAUUUAUAUGGAGGGUGAUUUGGGGAGAAGAUGCACCGAACAGAUCAAAGAUUUAAGGAAUCCAUAUGACCCCACAGAUGACUAUGAAUUUGAUGCUGCAAUUCUCAAUGACGAGUCCUUUGAUGAUGAUUACCUACCUUGGUUUUCUGACAUUGAUUUGCCUGAUUAUGAUAACUACCAUGUAUUCCCUGAUUUUGACGACUUCUCUGUAUAUGUGUUUGAUGCGUAUCAGUGAUUUGCUGGUUGACGUGCUUGCAUGGUGAGGAACCCUUUUCUUGCUUUAAGUCGCAGAAUAAUUUUACUUCAUGGUUCUACGUAGCUCUUCGUGGCAGUCUGUUAUGAUGUACUAUUUCUGAUUAUUUUGGUCUGGACACGCAGGUGAAGUUUCUUUAUGGUUGCUGACACUCCGUACCAUGGUUUGAGGCAGAGAUGGUUAAGCGACCAUCCAGCACGCCUUCUGGUGUAGCUUUUGACCUGAACUUCGCAAGUGGGAGUCUUUCCUAUUUUGUUGAUGAAGAGGAGCGCUCAUAGAUCAGCGCUCCACUUGAAGUGCAUUCUUUUGUUCCUUUCGUUCUAGUCUCUGCAACUUUAUCUCCAGAACAUGUUUUAUGGCUAUGAGCUUCUGCAUAUAUAGUUCCAGUGCCUAGUCUUAUUUUGUUAUCUGUGAUUUUGGUGUGCUAACUCCAGCUGGCCAUGAUAAUGAACUUCAUAGCUGAUAAACCAAUGUCAGGCUUCUUUGUGCGGUUUUGCAUAAAAUUUACAAUCCUGUUACCUAAAAUGUUAUUCAGAAAAUCGCUUUAAUCGUUCCUAUCUAUGAGGAAUCGUGAAUGCUUUGAAAAUCGAAACAUUCACUAUAAAAUAUAAUUGACACUAAUAAGAUAGGUCAUCUAUGAUAUACCUGUAUCUCCAUGCAUAUGCAUUUGCAAUGAAUACUCCGAAGAACAUCAUAUCCUUCAUUAAGUGCACUUAAUAAAUGCGCCAAAGGUACUUGCUAAGGAAAUUCUUUACAAAAGCAUUCAUGCAUUCCCCAUGAAUUUACAAACAAAAUAAACACACCUUUCAAUGUGUGAUUGUGUGAAUAAUCCCUAUAUAUCAGUUACGUAUAUUCAACAAAAAUAAAUAAAUUAAAAUUGCAAAUAUGAUUAUCCAGGACAAAACCGAAAAUUAUGUAAAUUUUCUUAAUUAAUUAUGUCGAGACACUCUUUAAUAAAAGAUUAUCACAUCAUCCUCGUGCUUUUCUUCUCUCUCUUUUGUUCUUUUCAAUUAAUGUGUUUAUCACAUUGAGAAAGGGGAUUAUGCAUGCCGCUCUGCUCCAUGAUAAUUGCACGAGUGUGGAUUUACAGAGAGUGGGGGACCAAACUCUUUAAUUAUUAUUGCACAACAAUUAUUAAUUAUUACUGCUGCAAUUAUUUGUGGGGGAGUUAAGAAACAAUAAAAAAAUAAAAAUUACGCAACAUGUCUUGGCGGACACAUCUGUCAGACAGAGCCGGUGCUUCGACCAAACUACCUCCCGUUGACUUUGACUUGAGCAGCUGCUGGCCAGUGAGAUUUCGCCACGGCAGCCGUCUGUUGACCUGCGGUGGCAGGCCCGCGCGUGCUAGGUCGCAGCCUCGCCACAGACAACAGCUUUUACCUGCAAACAUACGCUGCAAAUAUAAACUGUGAAUUAAAAAGCUUUGCGUAUGACAGACGUCCGAGGACCACAAAGAUGGUUUUUAAAUGGGACCAUACGGUAGUAAAUUUUUCUUUUUCUUUUUCUUUUCUUUUUCUAUUUUUUUUUUAUUAAAGAGAAAAGUCAUAUGAAAGUCCAAAAUAUGUGUCCUCUCAAGUAUUCAUUUCAAUAUUUUUUUUUUGUGACAUAAAAAUUCCAAAUUUGUAUUUAUGUCACACAAAUACUCCGUUAAGAUACCGUUAAAUGAUUUUUCAACUAAAAUAAGGUCAUUUUUUUUAUUUAAAUUACGUGGGCGCCAUGUCAGUGUUUUGGUGUCAUAGAAAAAUGUUUAUAAUAAAUAUAUUACAAUGGACAAAAUUUAAGAUUUUUUUUUUGUGACUUUUGCCCUUAUUAUUAUGAUGUAGAGGAAAUGUUGCAAUUUCUAAUAUAUUGCCUACUUUUGUGAUAUGUAUACUUAAUAUUUUGAAAAUAGAAUAUUUUCUCGUUAAAUGUAAUUAGAAAUACACCAAAAGCACGUGUGCCUUGUAAUACUCAUUAGACAUAUUGAUUUUGGAAUGAUUUAGGUUCGACACAUUAUUUGAUAUAUCACUACAACGAUAAUGCAUUGGAAACUACAUGAUUUGGAAAAUCAAUUAUUUAACAAGUGCUCCAUAAACCCUAAUAAACCAAAAUCCUUAUCAUUAUACUGAUAGUGUGUAAAAUUAAGCUAGUUAGGUAGAUUAUUUCGAGAGAAAGUGAAUGUUGAUUUGAGCUCCAACAAGCGCAUUUUCUUGCAAGCCACGCUUUAGGGUCUAUUUGGUACAUUUCUAUGUCGAGAAUCAUUUUUUUUUUUCAAAAAUAGUCUGUCUAUUUCUAUUCCCCAAAACAAUUUAUGAAUAAAAAAAUGCAUUUGGUAACUAUACAAAAUUAAUAUCCUUAAAAUAGAAAAGUAAUAAAAAUGCAUUUAAUAUGAUCAACAAUUUUUUUUAUUACAUAAAAUUUCUUUUAAUUUUUCAAUACAUUUUUUUCUUUUUUUUUUUCCUUUUGUUAUUCUUCCUUGCCGCUGCCAAUCGUUGGCCACAAGCCACCGUGGCCGAGCCAAAGGUCAAUGGCAACCGACAGUGGCUGAACAACAGCAGAUAGUGGUGGGGUUCAAGGAGAAAGAAAAGAAAAAGUAACUUAUUUAUAAAAAUUGUUCAUGAGAGCAAUAAGUUACUUUUUUUUUCUUUUUUUUUCUAUUCCAAAUCUAUUUUUCCGUCAAUUUUCUAUUCCGGAGAAUAAAAAAAUUAGUUGAUAUUAUCAUAUGGAUUUAUGUUCUUUUUUUUUUGUUCUGAGGAACGAAAGAACAGAAAUUGGAAUAAAUAGAAAUGUUAUCAAACGAAGUCUACUCAGUCGGUAAUUUCAGAAAUUAGAUUACCUCAAAUGAUUCAUUCAGUUGAAUCACAUCCCUAUGGUAAUGUUUGGAUGACCUUUACCUUGUUUUAUUCGAUUUAACUCGAUCCGAUUGAGCACCACUUAGGAAGUCGGUUCGACGUCCGGCCGUAUUUUGGAGACAUUGGUUUCAAGGGUCUCUUGUCCUGAUAUUUGUCUAGUAGAUGAAUGAGGUGUGUGAUGAUAUUUUUACAGGCCGGAGCAAGUGCCGAUUUUCAGGUAUGAUCUCGGCCCAAGAGGCAUACAAGAUGAGCCGAACGUGUUGGAGUGGGUGAUAAAAUACCUUUGCGGAGAGUAUAGUUAUUUUGGUUGGACAAAUCAAGUCAUCAGUCAUCAAGUUGUCUAAUAUUUGACUAUAAAUGGAACUUAACCCUAAGGAUUAGUUUAGUCGGUUGAGAGUUUUGGAAGUUACAAUUCAAAAAUUAGAAAAUAUUUUCUUAAAAAUGAUCAAUUAUAUUAUUUUCACAAAUGAGUCAACAAAAUAUAUUUUCAUCAACAAUAGUGAUUUAUGUUCGAACAUUUUCGUGAAUGACGAAACCAAUACAGUAUGAUUCUAAAUUAUUGAGUUUUUGUAAGACAAACGCACCAGCAAUCUAACUUAGAAUCACUCUUUUUUUUUGUGCGUGUGUUUUUGGGGCUCGGAAUAUGGGAGUUGAUAUGUCAGGAAGCUAUCUCACUAGCUAUCCUUCCCAUCAGAUUCUUUAACGUACGAACACCAUGUUAAAUCUUUUUCUUCUUUUUUUCAAGACUUACAUUAAAUCACUUUCCAUGGAAUUAAAUCGUAAAAAUUAGAGCCCCUUUAAAAUAUCAUCACAUUACAUUUUAAUGUUGGGUUCACACGUUAAAAACCCAAUACACUUAUCAUGAAAGAUUGCUAAGAGAAAACUCAAAUCUAAACUCGUUAACUUAUUCAAUUUGAUCCAUUUACGCUCAAAACCUUUGGUCAAUGAAUUAUAACUGAGUUAGAUAUAUUAAAUACUCCAUAUUACAGCACAUCCUUGUAUGAGAUUUCAAUAGCUUAACAUUCUCGUGCAUGCAUGUAGACAAUUUCCCCCUUCACACAUGCGAGCCACCAAUGUUAGGCUCACUCCCUCUCAAUCCUAAUAUCCUUCUACACCAACAUUAUCUCAACUCGAGAAUAUUUAAUCUUUACCUUGGCUUGGUCAAAUUGCAUAUACUGGUGAGGACCAAUAGGUAUCUUUCAGAUUCCACCUUAAUUGUCUUCGCUCAACCAAGCUUGUCGAGAGUAGAGCGACACCAUUCAUCACCUCAAUUAAGGGGCCACAUUUGAGAUUUUCCUUCCUUGAGAUAUUCAUCGGGCACUCAUACAUAUUGGGAUCCGGCCACGAAUCAACAUUGACUCUAAUACCAUUUUCAGAUUGACACAACAGAAGCUGAGUACCUUCAUUUGAUGAGAUCACCAAGAGGAAGCACUAGUCAAAGCCCAUUAAAUUACCUAGUUGGACCCAAGUUUACUCAAAAACUUGAGUUAAUCAAUUAUGAAUCAGCUAAAAUGUAUCACUUGCACCACAUUUACUUUGUGGGAUUUCUCUCAGCUAACAUCCGUGCACAUGCACCUUAACAAAUACUAAAUGCAAUCCGAUUCCUCAUGUGUCGAAGGUACCCCUUGAAGCAUCAAAUACAACGAUAGGGUUUGCGUAGCUUGCUUGUUGUAGUAGAUUUUUUCUUGAUUACUACCUUACCAGCCCUUAGCAUUGAGGUGACAGGCUACCAAUGCCAUAAUUAUUUGUAAUGUCAAUUCAUUGGAAGGUAAAUAUUAAUGAGUCACGUUUUACUUAUUAUGUCUUUAAAAUGUACAAGUUUUCAAUGAAGUAACUGAAUAUAUUAAAAUUCUCUUCUUUUACUGUAUUUAAAUAUGUACUUCUUUAAUUCUCAAAAUCUCUUAAAAAGCAUUCUUUCUAUUUUUAGUUAAUUUAAUGUAGGCAUUAGUUUUCACGGGAAAUGAAAAAGAAGAGAAUUGGAGGAAUUUCUUGUCCUCAUUUUGUAUUGUUUUUCAUUCUUUAUAUGUAUUAAUAAUAUAAAGUGUGGACAGCAAAAGGAAACAAUGUAAAUAUACAGAAUUAAUAUGGAUCACUUAUUGAUUCAGUCAAUUAAUCUAAUCUUAGAUUAAUUCAAUUAUCUCUUCACCACAUAAAUCAUAUCUCCAACACUCCCUCUCAAGUUGGUGGCUUGUAUAUGUCCAAAACACCUAGCUUGUUUAACAAAUGUGUGUUUUCUUUGACACAAGGGUUUAGUAAAGAUAUCCGCGAGCUGUUUUCAGGUUCCAAUUCCCUUUAUCCUAUUAUUCCUUCUUGGAUCUUAUCUCGAGAGAAAUGAUAGUCGACCUCUAUAUGUUUUGUUAUCUCAUGGACCAUAAGAUUAGCUGCAAGCUUUAGUGUUGCAUCAUUAUCACAAAAACAACGUAGUAAACCUUUUAACUCGCACACCAAGGUCAAGAGGUAGACCUCGCAUCUAUACUAUCUCAUAAAUAGUCUUGGUCAUGGCUAGAUACUCAACUUUAGCCAAUGAUAAUGAUACGGUUGUUUGCUUCCUCCUCUUUUAUUUAUUUAUGUAUUUAUUUUUUUAUAACAAAAGUAAGGAUGUUCUAAGCUUAAUGCAAAAAAUCUAGUAAUGGAGCUCCAGGUCAUAAGACAGGUGGCAUGGUCUAUGUCACAAUAAUCCGUCAUCUCCAUGUUACACGCUUGAGAAAGAAGUAUUCCAAAUCCUAGACAUUUCUUCAAAUCACAACUUUUAGAGCUACAUUCAUAUGUGAUUGUUUUUGGUCAUGCAUAAACCAACUCAGCAUUAGCACUGCUUAGCAUAUGUUUGGUAUUGUCAUGGUGAGAUAAUCUUUUCUACGAGCCUCUAAUAGCUUGAUGGAUCCUUGAGCAGUGGAUUAUCAGCAUUUGAUAGUGUUCCACAUAAAAAAAAUGUGAAUAACUUGAUAUCUUGCUCGAUAGGAAUAGUAGCUAGCUUACAUUCUAACAAACUUUCUUUUGAUAUAAUUUCAAGGACAAAUUUCCCAUUAGCUAAUAGGAGAUUCCCAUGUUCAAUUGGGCAAUUUUAAUUCCAAGGAAAUAUAUGGGAGGUCCUAGAUCUUUAAUGUGAAAGGUAUAGUAGUGCAAAUAUUUCUUGAGAUUUUCAGCAACAACUUCAUUAGAUCCCAUAAUAAGUAUGUCAUCAAUAUAUAUCAUUAGGUAGAUAGAUGACGAACCUUUUCUCCUUAUAAAUUGUGCAUAAUCAUGUCUCAACAGUCUAAAGCCGGUAACUAUAAGUGCAUUUGUAAAUUUUGUGUACCACUAAUGAGAAGCUUUCUUAAGGCCAUAAAGUGAUAUGCAGAGACAUCAUACCUUAGACUCCUCUUGUUUUUGUAAACCCGGUGGAAGAUCCAUGUAAAUUUCUUCGUCUAGAUCACCAUGGAGAAAGGCAUUGUAAAUAUCCAUUUGAUGUAGUGGCCAAUUCUGCAAGCAACAAUGCAUAGAAAGGAGCGAACUGUGACUUUUUUUGCUAUUGGAAAGAAUGUUUUAUGAUAAUCGAAACAUUCUUUUUAUGUGAAACCUUUGGGCACUAAACGCGCCUUGUAUCGUUGGACUGAUCCAUUUGCCUUGUGUUUAAUUUUAGGGAUAAGUGCACUAGGAGUUCGAAAACUUAUUACAAAAGUGCAUUUGAGUUCUAAAACUUGCAAAAAGUGCAUUUAAGUCCUAAAACUUGUCAAAAUGUUUCAAACGAAUCCUAAAAUCGACGCCGUCUAAUUUCUUAAUGGAAAAAGCUAAUGUGGCCCCCGCGUGACUUUUUUUAAUCAUUUCUCUCUCCUUCGUAGCGAAUAGAUUAAAAAAAAUGCCACGCAUCCAAAAUGAUGCCGUGUUCUCCUUUCUGUUUCACCAUCGUGUUACCUCCCUCCGUCUGUACGUCUUCUUCACCGUUGUCUUCCUUCUCCCCCCUCCGUCUCUACGAUUUCUUUCACUAUUCCAAGCGAACCCUAAGCCCCAAAUCAAAUUCGUUCAAACCCUAAGUCCCAAAUUGAAUUCGUCCAAAUUGCAGUUCUCUUGCGAUUUGGGUCCUCAUCGACCUCAAGUUCAACGCUCGUCAUGAGUUCGUGUUCUUUCCUUUGAGGAUUGCGAGUUCGUGCGAAGUCCUCUCUUGUGGGAGUCUCAACAUCUUAGCAGAGAAGCGAUUGGUGUUGGGGACGAUGACAAGGUCAGCGACAGUGAUGGCGACUCCUCCUCACACAGGUAUCGUUCUUUGCAUUAUAGCAUUUUGGGUAUCUUGUGGUAAUGCUACGAUAUCUUUUAUUUUGCUACGAUUUCUUUUAUUUUGCAAAGGUGCUUUAAUCUUUGCAUUAUGCAAAACGACAUCAGUUGGCGUCCUCAUUUCUUCAUUAUUUGAAGUUCAGAGAGCUCGAGUUUGACACACAUCGACUUUAUGUUAUCUUCUUUGACGAUUGCGAGUUCGUGCAAAGACACGUCUUGCGGGCAUCUCGGCAUUGAUAACCCACAGCAGAAGGCAUUCUACUCAAUAAGGCGGACACCUCAGAUCCUGCUUGGACGAAACAGAAGAUAUUGUCAAAAAAUAGAAGUACGUCUUGUUCAUUAACAUCUCAGAAAUAUUCCGCCAUAGUUAGGGCAGUCAAACCAACUCUCAUACGAGCUCCGGGGGGUUCAUUCAUCUGACCGUAGACUAGAGCGACCUUAGAUUCUGCAAUAUUUUGUUCAUUAAUUACUCCAGAUUCUUUCAUUUCCAUGUAAAGAUCAUUUCCUUCACGAGUACGUUCACCUACUCCUCCAAAUAUGGAUACCCCCCCCCCCCCCAUGAGCUUUAGCAAUGUUGUUGAUCAAUUCCAUUUAGUAGCAGAGCAAGCGACAUCAGGGACGACGAUGGCCGUCUCAGCGACGGAGCAAGCAACAUUAGGGACGGCGAUGGCAACUCCUCAUGCAGGUAUCACUCUUUACAUUACAGCAUUUGGGUAUGUCAUGGUAAUAUUACGAUUUUUGUUUUUGUUUUACGAGGGCGUUUUACUCUUUGCAUUAUGGUUGUUUUGCAUUUUCCAAUUGUUGCGAUAAAUUAGAACAUUGUUGCAAAUUAGAACAUCGCCUACCGAAAGGCUAACAAUAGGUCCCUCGCUCUCACUAUUGAUCAUGUAGUUGCAUUGUGAUUGUAAAGCACAUUAUGCUAAUUUGUUGUUUAUGUAUUGAUUAUUAGUCUUUUAACUUGAACAUUGCUUCAAUAAUUUGAUGAUGGAAAGUACUCUGCUCUUUGUUUCUGUUCUCUUGUAUGUUUCUAUUCCAUUGUAGGUCCAAUUGCCGAGAAUAAAGUUUAUUUCACUGUUCACUAUGGAGGUAAAUUUAAAGUCGGCCCACCAUUGGAAUACAUAGGUGGAAGAGAUGAUCUUGUUGAAAUAAGUUUAAGUAAGAGUUCACUGUCUAGUAUAAUUGAAGCUAUUGAGGCUUUGGACGUGUGUAAAAUAGAGAAACUCUUUUACAGAGUUCCUAGAAGUACGACUCUUGUAAACGGCAUAACUCUUAGGUAUUUGUGGGAUAACUCUGAUGUGAUGGAUCUAUUUUAUCAUCAUCUGUGCUCUGAAAAUAUUAUGCUAUAUGUUGAGCAUGUUGAUGAGAAAAAGAAAGGAGCUGAGAUGGGGGGUGUUGAGAUGGAAACUGGAGGUAUGUCUAAUGUGAUUAGGAAUAUUGUUGAUGACGAUGCCAAUAAGGAUCUAGAUGAGGAAGAGGAUGAUGAUGCACAUAAUUUGGUGGAUGUGGAACAGUCGAGUGAUGAUGAUGAUUUUGAACUGGUUGAUGCAAGGAAAAAAUUAAAGGAAUUUUCAGCAAGACAUAAGCUCAAAAUUGGCGAUUAUAGUGAGGCAACUAGUACUUCCCAACCACCGAUUGUGGAUGAGGCUCAAUCGUUAGAUGAUUCUAGGUACGAAACAGAGUAUGCUUUAGAUGAGGAAGACAGUCUUCAAUCAAUUUUAAAUGAUGAGGGUGACGAAGAGGUUGAUGUUAUCUCAAAGAGGAGAAGUAGAUUCCCAUCAUAUGAUCAAAGUGGUACAAAUCCAGUAUUUAUUGUUGGCAUGACAUUUGAGGAUGCAACUGAGUUCAAAAAUGCAAUUUUGAAGUAUUCUGUGGCUAAGCAAAGAGCAAUCAAAUACACUAAGAACACAAAAAGCUUUGUAAGAGCCAGGUGUAUCCAGGAAAAUUGUAAGUGGAUGAUCUAUGGUGCUAUUGAUAGCAAAACUAGAUCAUUUCAUUUGAGAAAGUAUAUAAAUCAGCAUAUAUGCAGUAUCACUUUCGAGAAUAAGAGAGUGUCUAGUAAUUAUUUAACUAAGCACUUCAUGAUUCUCAUUUCUGCAACGCCUAAAAUCAAAGCACUAGAGUUAAAGAAAUUAGUCAAAGAACAACUGGGAGUAAAUGUCACUUUCAGUCAGUGUAGGAGAACAAAGUUGAAAGUAUUGAAGGAACUACAAGGUAAUUACAAGAAGGAAUAUGCACAGAUGUACGACUACUUGGGAAAGCUUUACACUGCAAGCCCUUCAAGCAAUUUUAAAUUGAAAUUUGAAAGGCCAUUGCUAAAUUCUCUACCAUUAUUUGAUAGGGUUUACAUUUGCUUUGAUGCUUGCAAGAAAGGUUUUUUUGGCUAGAUGUAGGAAGAUCAUUGGAUUAGAUGGAUGUUUUUUGAAGGGUUUGAUCAAGGGCGAGUUGUUAUGUGCCGUAGGAAGGGAUGGCAACAAUCAAAUGUAUCCAGUGGCAUGGGCAGUGAUAAAAAUCGAGAAUAAGGACACAUGGACUUGGUUUAUCGAAUUGUUAAAGUCAGACCUCGAUAUGUGUAAUGGUGACGGAUGGGCUUUGAUAAGUGACCAACAAAAUGUAUGUUUUUCUUUUUGUUUUCAUUUGUAAAUUGAUUGUAACAUUACAAUGUUUUUCUUUCUGUUUUCAUAUAUAUUUUCUUUUUUUGGGUAAUUGUCAGGGUCUCGUCUAAUCUGUAGCUGAACUUUUGCUAAAUGCGGAGCAUAAUAUGUGUGCAAGGCACAGAUAUUCCAACUUGGGUAAAAAAUACAAAGGAAAACAAUUUAUGAGACAAUUUUGGAGAUGUGUCAAGAGUAAUAAUAUGUCAGAUUUCGAGGUGCAUAGAUAGAGGUUGAAGGAAAUGACUCAAGAAAGUCAUGAUAAUUUAUUUUGUAUUGAGCCAAAACAUUGGUGCAAAGCCUUAUUUGACACCAACAUUAAAUGUGAUGUCGUUGAUAAUAAUCUCAUUGAAGCUUUUAAUGGCAGGUGUGUGGAAGCUAGGUGCAAGGCCAUUGUGAGUAUGCUGGAGGAUAUUAGAAUCAUGGUUAUGAAUAGAAUGCAUACUCAGAGGGAUGGAUGUGCUAGGUGGACUGGAAAUUAUGGUCCAAGGAUUCUACAUAAGUUACAUGAGAAUACAACUGCUAGUAGGUAUUGUCAUUUGAUAUGGAAUGAAGACGAAGGCUAUGAGAUUACGGAAGAUGGUGACAAAUAUGUUGUUGAUUUGAAUUUAAAAACUUGUUCUUGUAGAGCUUAGGAACUUAGUGGAAUUCCAUGUUGCCAUACCAUUUGUGCAAUACACCAUAAGAGAAAUGACCCGAUUGACUAUCUAGCUGAGUGUUUCAAUAAGGCAAAGUAUCUAAGUGCUUAUCAAUUCAUGAUGUCUACAGUGAGAGGACAGAAAUUUUGGAAUAAAACCAAUAAAGAAGCUCCUCAACCCCCACCAAUGAAGAACAUGCCUGGUAGGCCAAAAAGGAGUAGAAAAAAGCAACCAAUUGAGCUUGUAACAGGUGAUAGAAUGACUAAAAAUGGUAAGCUAAUGACUUGUUCUGCUUGCAAUGUGGUUAGACAUAACUGCAAGGGAUGUCCUUUAAAAAAGGUAUUUUCUCAACUAACUGAUCAUCUAAAUGUUGGGCAUGUCACUUUAACAUGUUGUUAAUCAAUGCUUAAUAUGUGCUUCUCAGGCCAAUACUCGGGCCAAUGUAUGUACAUUCAAUGCUCGGGCCAAUGUAUGUGCAUCCAAUGCUCGUGCCAGUGCAAGUAUAGCUGAAGUUCAUGCUCAAUCUCAAGCUAAUUCCACUAGACCAAGGCUCGGAAAAAGACAAGUAAGUUGUCAUCUAACAAUUAUUAUAAGUUUUAUAUGUCAAGGUUUCAAUUCAGUAAUUAUGAAUAUAUAUUCAGGCUAAAGCUAAAGCAAUGACAAGCGUAACUGGAGGAGGAUUCGAAAGCCAUGCCAAUGCUUCUGCAAAUGCCAAUUCAAUAGGAGACAAUAGUGGGCAUGUUAAUGCUUCUACUCAGGCUAGUGCAGAUGUAAGAGGGUGUAGUGCUUGUGCAAAUGUAAGAGAAUGUACUGCCACUGCUUCUGCUUAGGCUAGUGCUGAUGUUAGAGGAUGUAUUGAUGUGGCCAAUACUGUUGGUAAAGUUCGUUCUGAUCAAAUGGAAGGCAUUUAUUGUACACUGGCCAAUAUAAUGGGUAAGCAUAGACCUGAAAAAAAAUUCAAGUGAGUAAUAUCUUAAUCCCCAAGCAUACAUGUAUUGUGACUACAUUCUCAUGUUUAAUGAAUUUUUUAUUAUUUCAUAUUAAAAACCUGCCAUUGAAAAUGACAUGAUACAAAGAGAAUCACAGGCCAAGAUGAUGAAAAUGGUAGGGUUGGGUGUUGACGCAAAUCCUAUGACAAACCUUCAUAUUCUUAAGGUGAGUAAUAUUUCUAAAAUUUUCUAAUAGCAAUUACUUAUCUCCUUAAGCUAAAAACAUGCUCAUUCUUAUGUACCCUAAUACAACUGGUGCAAGAAUCUUUAACCUACCAUACAAAGGGGUAGUUUCAAGAGCUACGUCAACAGUAAAGGUGCAUUCCCAGGUCAGUGCACAACCUCAGUCAUAUCAUGUAUCAACAACUUCUUGAAAACAAAUUGCAGUGACGCCGAAGCCACCAUUACAACCCAAGGCCAGUUCCCAACCUCAAUCAUCUCAUGCAACAGUAGCUCCUUCAAAGCACGUUGCAAUGAAGCCAAAGGCACUAUCGCAACCUGAGGCUAGUUCCCAAGCUCAGUCAUCUCAAGCUACAAGAGCUCAGAAGCAUCUUAAUUUAAAGCGAAAGGCACCAUCACAACCAAAGGCAAGUUCCCAACCUCAAUAAUCUCAUGCAACAAUAGCUCCUCGAAAGCAUGUUGCGAUAAAGCCAAAGCCACUAUUGCAACCUGAGGUCAGUUCCCAAGCUAAGUCAUCUUAGGCUACAAUAGCUUUGAAGCAUCUUGGUUUAAAGUGAAAGACACCAUCACAACCCCAGGCAGCUCCUCGAAGACAUAUUGCGGUGAAGCCGAAGCCACUAUUGCAGGCUCAAUUAUCCCAGGCUCGGUCAGCUCAAGCUACGACAACUCCUCCAAAGCCUAUCGCUGUAAGACCAUAUAUAAGGAAAAUCGCUAGAAUUAUGAAUCAAGUGAAGGCUGGACCUAUUGGACCACUGGAGACCAUCAUAUUGGAUUGAUAUGUUUGCUGAAAUUGGUGUUGUUAGGUGAAUUUAUGCCAAUCAUUAGCUGGUUUUCUAUAUGAGACAUGUAGCAUUUGUGCAUAAGACCUUUUGUGUACUGAAAGUGCAUAUUUUGUUGAAAAGAACCUUUUGUGCACUGAAAGUGCAAGCAUUUUGUUGAACAAAGCCUUUUGUGCAUUGAAAAUGUAAGCAUGUUGCUUUUGUCAAUGAAUCGUGUUUCAACAAGUUAUGUGGGAUGCUUGGUUUUGGUUUGGAUAAUGCACGAAAGUGGUUGCUCUUCAGGAUUGUUAAUAGGUGAUUACUGAAAUUGUCCAUGAAGAAUUUUCAUUCUUCCAAUACUUUUGUCAUCUUCUUUCCCAUUUAUUGUUAAUAGGAUUGUUAAUAGGUUCCAAAUUUAUUUUGAUAGCAAUAGCUCAUAUAGUGCUAUUGACAAGCACACAAAUCAAGCAACAUUUUUCAAUGCGAAAUAAACUCACAUCAGAUUUCAUUCACAUCUCAAUUAUCCACAACUAGUGUUUAAACUUACAAACUUAGAAAUAAGGUACUAUGGAAGACUUAGAAAAUUCUCACCAACUUUCACAAUACAUAUAACCAAUACAGCAAUAUAACACAUGCAUACAAUGAAUGCUAAUUGAUAUAGAAUCUUUCCUUUCUUUACUCGUGUGAGCUCUUCCUUUAAACGUCUAUUUUUCGCCUUUUGAAUCUUCAUUUCAGCUAGCAAUGAGCUCACGUCAACUUCGUCACGCCUCGAUUGGCUUGAUUCACAUAAUGCUUGAUUUCUUUCAAGUAGGUUAACUAUCAUGUCCCUCACAUGAUCUGGUAUCUUUGGAUCAAGCUACAUGAAGAAAUCGCAGCAACUUGGACUAUUAAUCUUAGCACAUCCAUGGAACAUUCUUCCUGUGUUUUUCCUUGUCUUUGCCAUAAGAAUUGGCGAUUGAAGACCACAAUAACAUGCUAGCUCCGAGUUGAUCUCAUUAGGAGUUACGCCACUUGAUUCAGAUGUUGGUGCCCUCAUUCUUCUAGGCUUCGUAUUAUAGGAACAUAAUAGAAGUAUAUUAGAAUGGAAAAUAACAAAAUGCUAUAAUGCAGAGAGCGAUACCUACUUGAGGAGGAGUCUCCAUUGCCGUCGCUGACCCUGUUGUCGUCCCCGACACCAAUCGCUUCGCUGCUGAGAUGUCAAGACUCCCACAAGAGAGGACUUCGCACGAACUCGCAAUCGUCAAAGGAAAGAACACGAACUCACGGCGAGUGUCGAACUUGAGGUCGAUGAGGACCCAAAUCGCAAGAGAACUACAGUUCGGACGAAUUCGAUUUGGGGCUUAGGGUUUGGAUGAAUUCGAUUUGGGGCUUAGGGUUCGGAUGAAUUCGAUUUGGGGCUUAAAGUUCUCUCGGAAUAGUGAAAGCAAUCGUAGAGAUGGAGGGGGGGAGAGGGAAGACGACAGUGAAGAAGACGUACAGACGAAGGGGAGGUAACACAAUGGUGAAAAAUAAAGGAGAACACGAUGUCGUUUUGGAUGCGUGGCAUUUUUUUUUUUUUAAAGCCACGUGGGGGCCAUGUUAGCUUUUUUCAUUGAUAAAUUAGAUGGCAUCGAUUUUAGGACUCGUUUGAAACAUUUUGACAAGUUUUAUGACUUAAAUGCACUUUUGCAAGUUUUAGGAUUCAAAUGCACUUUCGUGACAAGUUUUAGGACUCCUGGUGCACUUAUCCCUUAAUUUUAUACACGCAUUUACAACCAAUUGGAUUCUAAUGAGCAAGAAAGGACACAAUAUACCAAGUCUGAUUUUCAUUAAGGCACAUGACUGGAGAUGUGCUCCCGACUUCUUAUCACCCCCAAUCGAGGAUGGAGGAGGCAUGACAUAUGAGUAGACCAACCCUCAAUUGGCUUACGUUUCGCUUUGCCUAUUUACUUUUGUGUUGUAUAUUCAAUCGAUGCUUCUUCACAUUGAAUCAAAGGAAAAAAUUUCGAACCUUUGUCUCGACUAACUAAAUUUCAAAUAAAGCUCCAAACCCACCAACUAGACAUUUCUUCAUCAACCAGCUUGCACUCGUAGCUCACGUUCGGAAGUAAUUUAAUAGGAUAAGAUGAAUUUGUUUUCGAGCAUUUUGAAGGGGGGUUGGAAGGGAGAGACUUGGAAUACCGACGAUAUCCCCAAUGACACAUCCACCAUGCCAGCAGAUGGAGAUGUGCGCCAAGCUUCUUAUCACCCCUGACCAAGGAUGGAGGAGGCACAACGUUCGAGGAGACCAACACUUAAUUGGCUUAAGGUUUGCUUUGCCUUGCCUAUUUACUAUGCAUUCUAUUUCCUUCUUCAAUUUACUUUUCAAUCGAAGCUUCUUCAAUUGGGUCAAAGGAUCGAACAAAAUCAUGACUACUUUAGCCACUGGAAUAAGCAUUAUUUGUUGCUUUGCCUAUUUACUUUUGGUGUUUUAUGUACUUCUUCAAUUUACUUUUUCAAUCAACACUUCUUCACAAAGGAAAAAAAAGUGAACCUUUGUCUCGACUAACCGAGUUUCAAAUAAAGCUCUGAGCCCACUGACUAGACAAUUCUCGACCAGCCAGAUUGUACGCAUGGCUCAUGGGCGGAUGCAUUUUUAUAAGGAUCAAAUGAAUUUUUUUUUGAACAUAUGAGAGAGAGAGAGAGAGAGAGAGAGAGUUGGAACACUGGCAAUGUCCAUCAGGCCAAUGGACGGAGAUGUGCUCCCAGUUUCUUGUCACCCUCGACCGAGGAUGAAGAAGGCACGACAUACAAUGAGACCGACACUUGGGUUUUGCUUUGCCUAUUUACUUGUCGUGUUUUAUUUACUUACACCGUUACUUUUUCAAUUCACGUUACUCACGUAAGGUCAAACGAAAAUUUUUUGAACCAAUGCUUUAGCCAUCGGAAUAAAAGCACCCAGGCCGCCCGUGCAAAUCGACCAUUUGACUGGCCGUUGAGCUCAGGAACUCAGAUAAGAUUAACUAGUAAACUUUAAAUCUCUUAUUUAAGAUAAAAUUCACUCGAAAUCCUCUUUCGAUCGAGGAUAGGGGUGAGCGGUUCCAGGUUUCUUAUCACCUCCAAUCGAGGAUAGGGGUGAGCGGUUCCAGGUUUCGGUUUGGUUCCGCCUGGAACCUGGAACCUACCAUCGGGUACAGAUUCCUCAUAUUUUAGAACCUGGAACCUACCCAUCACAGGUUCCAGGAUCGGUUCCAGGUUCCAACAGGUUUUUUUUUUUUUUUUCAUUUUUAAUUUUAAAAAAUGAAAAUAAACACAGCAAUAAUAAACAAUCUUAUACCUCUUAAUCCUCACUUUUUUUUGAGCUUAUCCUUCAAAUCAUGAUUAACACAAAAAAAUAGUUUGAACUCAACAUAACGGGGUCCAACACCUUGACAAUCCUUCAAGGAGCAGUACUCCAAAACUGUAGAUGUCUAAUUUUUGUGUGGGUUCCGGAGUUUUCAUGACUUCGAGAACCCGAUAACCUGCACUUCUAGUUCUAGGAGGCACUGUAGGAGUGCGGAUCAGAGGAGUCAGGCCAAACUCUAAGAUGCAACCUUCAAGAUAUGUUGCCAUGGAUAAACCUCCCGCCUCUGGCUGAAUGGAUAUGAGCAAUGCCUUUAGCCACUCCUAGAGAAAUCUUCACCCGCAAUGCCCAGUCCAAUGGUUGUCUCCCACCUUAUGCAAAUCAUUAUCAGAAGGUAACCGUCAACAAUGCAGCGAAUAGGAGACAACCUACACUUCUUUCGACAAACCUUCCCCAUGUAUCCCACCUCACAUUGUCGUGGUCGGGAUAAUCAUUCGCAUAUGACAAGUCUCCAACAUACAUAGUCUGUCCUUUCUGCGGAUUAUGCUCAUAAUGGGCGAGUGUUCGGUUUGAAUCAAAAGUCUGACCAAGAUCCCUUGCAAUGGUCAUCGGCAUGCUGAGCACAGAAAGAAGUAGAACCAUGGAUGCAUGUAAAUUACCGGCAUAACUAAAUUUGCUGCGACUUAUUGAUGAAAAUGAUUAUCAAAACUAAAUGAUUCUGCAAAGACUCAUAGUACAUACACAGGAAUGAGCUUUUGAAGCUACUUUGAGUCAUUGACUAUCUAUGCAUGACAAUAUGAUUUACUUUUCCUAUGAGACCAAAAGUAUAUGGAACAUCAGGACCAACCUCUGGAGGAGUAAGGAACCAGAACUGUUGGACCGUGUGUCCAAUUCCAACUUCAUAAUAGUAUUUAGUGUGUACUGCAAGUAAACGGAAUAAACAUCAGCUACAUUUACGAAAUUUUGCAAACCAGGCACCAAAAAAUUAAUAUUUCUGGAGGAAUUUAGAAAUUUACCAUCAAGUUUUUCAGGGUGCAAUGGUGGAUGUAACCAGAAGUAUAAUUGUAGAACUUAUAAUGAUUAACUUUGCCCUUUGCCUUUUUCUUGUGCUUGUUGUUUUCACUCCAAUAACGCAGUGCACUGGACCCAGGUUCAUCCGGAGUCACCCAUGACACAAUCACUCCUUUUCCCACAUGAUCUCCUUGGGUAAUAUGUACCUAAAUACUCGCGCCAAAAUCAAAACCAAAUCAAAAAGCACAACGGAAGUGCUGGUCUUCCCUCCAUUGCACAAAUCAGCCCCAUUCAAAACCAGAACAAGAACAGCCCCAACAUUAGCCACUGAACAGCAAGAUGAAGAUCCCAGAACAGCUAUCUUGGUCUUAUUUUAGGAUAUGGAAGAACCUACGUGACACAACCCCACAAAUUCCCUUCCCUCACUAUGUAUGUACUUGGAUCAGGGCACACAAGCAUGACACUCACAUCUCAAAAAUCGACCAAAUAAAGCAGCUAAAAUGUUAGAUUAGAUCUAACAGUUAAGAGAAGAAACAACAAGAGUUUAGACCCGCGAUUGAAGUUGCAGGAGGCGAGUUUCUUCGGUGUUGAGGGCAGCGAGCGGUAUCAAGGGACGUCAGGCGGUGUUGAGGGGGUCGAGUGGGCGUUGAGGGGGCCGUGCGGCAUUGAGGGGCCGAGCGGCGUCGAGGGGGCGUCGAGGGGCCGAGCAAGCAUCAAGGGCGUCGAGGGGGUCGAGCAGCGUUGAGGGGCCGAGAGGCGUCGACGGGUGGCGCGGACGGCGCGACAGCUCGUCGGGCUCAACGGCUCGUCGGACGAGCGGUGGGUGGUGGUGGUUCGGUGGCGAAGAGGUGGUGGUGAGUAGGGAGUGGGGUGGCGGUGCGGUGGUAGGUGAAGCAACAGCAGCAAGAGGAAGGAAGAAGAAGAAGAGGAGAAGAAGGGGGGGUUCGGCCGAGAGGGGGAAAGAGGAGAGAGAAAGAAAAGAAAAAAGUUGGGGGGGAGGAAGUGACGUGAGGAGGAAAAUGGGGAGAAAAGAAAGAGAGAAAAAGAGAGGAGAAGGGAGGGAAAUCCGUUGGGGGAAGUGAGGGGCUAGGUUUUUUUUUUCUUUUAAUUUUGACCGGUUCCUAGAAAAAGGGAACUGGCAACCGGAACCGGUCUCUUUAGAACCGAGAACCGACCCUCCGGUUCGGUUCUCCGAUUUCCGGUUCUACCCGGAAACCGUGCUCACCCCUAAUCGAGGACGGAGAAGGCACGACAUACGAUGAGACCGACACUUAGGUUUUGCUUUGCCUAUUUUACUUAUAGUGUUUUAUUUACUUAUUCAGUUACUUUUUUAAUUCACACUACUCACGUAAGGUCAAACGAAAAUUUUUUGAACCAAAGCUUUAGCCAUUGGAAUAAGCACGCCCAUGCAAAUCGACCAUUUGAUUGGCCGUUGAGCUCAGGAACUCAAAUGAGAUUAACUAGUAAGCUUUAAAUUUCUUAUUUAAAACAAAAUUCACUCGAAAUCCUCUUUCGAGGAAAAAAAAAGAAAAUCCCUUUUUUUUUCUGUUUUAAUUUGGAAUAUUCAUUAAAACGAGAUGAGAAAACCAAAACGGCACGGAACCAUCCCUCCCUCCAGCCAAAUCCGGGGGGGCGCUCCGCUCCCCCCUCCCCAUGGCGGCCCCCGACGAGCCCCCGCCGCCGCCCGACUGGCUGGAGCUCCCGCGGGAUAUCGCGACGACGAUCUUGCUGAAGCUCGGCGCCGUCGAGAUCCUCACGACAGCGGAGUUGGUGUGCACCGACUGGCGCGCCCUCUGCCUGGACUCCACCAUGUGGCAGACCAUCGACAUGCGCAACGACGGGGACCUGCCGGACGACGACCUCGCCGACAUGUGCUGCCGCGCCGUCGACCGGAGCGACGGCGGCUGCCUCGACCUCAACAUCGAGUACUUCGGCGACGACGAGCUCCUCCAGUACGCCGCCGACUGGUAACUCGCCGAUUCCCGCUUGAAUGAAUUUCGCGCGGUUUUGUUCCUCGGUCUGGUUUUGGUGGGCCUCGGAAUGAUCGCUGAUGGGCGAGCGCGACGCGUGGUCCGGUUCUUUUGUGCGUACGCCGUUGUUGGAGAGAAUUGAGAUGAUGGUUAGUCGCCGAAGAUGAGCUUGUUUCGGCAAUUGGCUGAUCGGUCGUUGCGAUUGUGUAGACCUAGAUUGCGGCGGUAGCAAGUGCGUGUGUAUACCGUUGAUUUCUCUGGGCUGAAGUUGUGCAGGAAUCGCGAAAUUGUGUAGGAAUGAAUCGUAUUGAGCACGAGUUUACUUCUCUUAUUCACCAUGGCCUCAUCACGAGGCGGAGGUAUAAAUGUGAGGCGUCGAGUAGUCCUCAGGAAGUGAACAUUCUGCACACUUGAAAAGUCCCUUUUUCCCCCUUGUCCUCAAGAAUUGGAAAUGAAAAAAAAGAGAAGAUGGACACACCAGAUGAUGAGAACAGAUUGUAUUUGGAAAACUUUGAUCAGCUACAUGUUCUGGAAACUAACUGAUGAAAAUAUCAUGCGUGGAAAUUGAGUUCUGAUCCUGAAAUAGCUCCCGAGAAUGAGGGUAGAGAUUUUUUACGUGAAAGGAUGCCACCUUUGUUACUUUCUCUCUCCUUAGGAGUUCUCAAAUGGCUUCUUUACUCUGUCUCUAUGUUCCGUAUGUUCAGCCUCAGUAUCUUUCAUUUUUAGCUGUCAUUUGAACAUUAGGAUGAGGCAAAAGUUCAACCCAAUUGAAACCAUGAAGGAGCAUUGAACUGAGGUUGUGAAAAGACUGAUACAAUGCCGUCUGUUGAGUAUCGGGCAUUACUAAAUGAAAUGAGGAACAUGAACUGUGACAGAGCUUCCAUAAGUGCUUGAUAUGGCAGAAGCACUUCUAUUUUACUUCACUCUAGGAUCUUCUUUCCCCUAUGUGCUUUUUUUCCUUUUGAUCAGUUUAUGCGACGCAUUUACUCUCCUGUUUGCUAAUAGUUAUGGGGAGAUAGGUGCUAUAGAAGGUAUAUAACUCAACAAAAUAGGGUAUAGCCAUGUAGCUCCAUCACCUUCUCAGCCUUGGACAAUUGUAGCUUUAUCCCAUGCUUGCCAAAACACUUGAGUAUGCCUCAGGUUCCAGUGAUAUCAAUCUUAAACUGUUUUUUCCCCUUAUUUUGUUCAGCAAAGAAAAUAUUCUAGUUUAAUUCACCGCUGGAUUUGUCUUCUAUUUCCUGGUCGAGACUCCGCGCUCAGUCUUCAUCAUUGCGUUUUCAUUGAACUUGCAGAGACAGGUUAGGUACAUUUGAUGGCAUUUUUGCAGGUCUUGGAUAGGUACAUAAUUGUCUUGAUCUGACCAGUGGAUGGCACUGUCAGUGUUUUGAUUCCACAGUAUACAACUGAAGUUACUGCUUGAGUUAUGGCAUGGAAGUUUUACGUUUUGGAGUCUUUUCGGUUCUUAAAAUGAGUUUCAGAGUCUAAUAGUGUUAUGUUUGCUUUUGUUGAUAAAAUUCCUAUGAUGAAGGGUUUUAUGAGGAGACUUUGUUAAUGGGUGCCUCUGGUAUAGUUGUUAACCACACAUAAUAAGGAAAUGUAAUUACUCUAAUUAUAUAUAACAUGAGAAAUAUGGUGCAUAAAAAUCGACAAACUCUUUUUAUCGAGGUGUUAAAAAAGUUCCCAUGGACACAUAUUGAAAAAAAAAAUGAUCAGAUUAGCUCUCUUUAUUGACUUAAGUUUCUCUCUUUCAUGGUGUUUUUCUUCCUUUUACUGAGCAUGAAGUCCAGAACAGAGCUUUUGGAUUGUGUUUGAUUGUUGACUGCUGGAUAUAUUAUGUUUAUUAUGGAACUUUUAUUAUAGUUUGAGGCUGGAAUAGAACAUAAUUUCCAUUGAUUUGAUUAGGUUUUGAAUUUGAUCUUACUUUUCUUGACGUCUUGAUUCAUUAACUUUAUAUUUGUUUUCCUUCUACACAUAUUUUGUGUAAUCUGCGUCUUAUUAUUAUUUCGGAUAAAUAUGGCAGUCUUGCUUAUUAAAAGGCUAUUCUGAUAGGUCAAAAGUGGACCAAGCAUCGCAUCUCUCAAUUGCAUAGAUCUCUGUUUAGUUUACAUUCUUGUGAUGCCAUGGGUAUGCAAAGGCGGACUUCAUUAACAAAUGUGGCAUAGUUGACCUUUUUUAACAUGACUUGAAAGAAUUCCAAUCAAGGCCGCAACAGUAGAGAAUUCUUGAUCUAGGGUUCUGGCUGAUUUUAUCAUAUUUCCGUAUUUAUUGACAUGUCUCAUUAACGAGUGCCCGUAGGGCAUUUAUUAAACAUACUGCAUGAGGAAAGUUCCAUUGUCCGCAACACUAGUUACACACUUCACUAGAACAAUUGUGGAUUAUAACUUGUGGUGUUCCUUAAUUAGCCACUAAGAAGUGCCCAAGGGAUACUGAUUAACAAAUUAAUGUUGUUGAAAUACAAUUACUUUUUGGCCGAUGAAAAUAAUCUCUCUACACACCCCUUGCUCUAGAUCAAUAAGCUCUCAGUUCCUUAUCUUAGUGGUUAACAUUAUUAUUGCUAGCUACAACAAGUCUGCUUUUCGGUUGAACCAUCGUUGUUCUCAUGCAUUUCUUAUUCCAUUGCAGGUGCAAUCAUAUUAGACGGCUACGACUUGUAGAUUGCGGUAACAUUUCGGAUGAGGGUCUGUGUGAAGCAGCCUCAAAACUUCCUAUGCUGAAGGUCCUUGAAUUAUCUUAUUGCUCAUUCUCAAAGGAAGCCAUAGAGACUGUUGGACAAUGUUGUCCCCUUCUGAAAUCCUUCAAAUUGAAUAGCCGGGUAUAUAGAUGUCCACACAUAGAAUGUGAUGACGAGGCACAAGCUAUAGCGAAAAACAUGCAUGGAUUACACCACCUCCAACUCUUCGGGAAUAAGAUGACAAAUGAAGGUCUGAAGGCGAUUCUCGACAGUUGUCCUCAUCUUGAGUAUCUCGACUGCGGGGNNNNNNNNNNNNNNNNNNNNNNNNNNNNNNNNNNNNNNNNNNNNNNNNNNNNNNNNNNNNNNNNNNNNNNNNNNNNNNNNNNNNNNNNNNNNNNNNNNNNNNNNNNNNNNNNNNNNNNNNNNNNNNNNNNNNNNNNNNNNNNNNNNNNNNNNNNNNNNNNNNNNNNNNNNNNNNNNNNNNNNNNNNNNNNNNNNNNNNNNNNNNNNNNNNNNNNNNNNNNNNNNNNNNNNNNNNNNNNNNNNNNNNNNNNNNNNNNNNNNNNNNNNNNNNNNNNNNNNNNNNNNNNNNNNNNNNNNNNNNNNNNNNNNNNNNNNNNNNNNNNNNNNNNNNNNNNNNNNNNNNNNNNNNNNNNNNNNNNNNNNNNNNNNNNNNNNNNNNNNNNNNNNNNNNNNNNNNNNNNNNNNNNNNNNNNNNNNNNNNNNNNNNNNNNNNNNNNNNNNNNNNNNNNNNNNNNNNNNNNNNNNNNNNNNNNNNNNNNNNNNNNNNNNNNNNNNNNNNNNNNNNNNNNNNNNNNNNNNNNNNNNNNNNNNNNNNNNNNNNNNNNNNNNNNNNNNNNNNNNNNNNNNNNNNNNNNNNNNNNNNNNNNNNNNNNNNNNNNNNNNNNNNNNNNNNNNNNNNNNNNNNNNNNNNNNNNNNNNNNNNNNNNNNNNNNNNNNNNNNNNNNNNNNNNNNNNNNNNNNNNNNNNNNNNNNNNNNNNNNNNNNNNNNNNNNNNNNNNNNNNNNNNNNNNNNNNNNNNNNNNNNNNNNNNNNNNNNNNNNNNNNNNNNNNNNNNNNNNNNNNNNNNNNNNNNNNNNNNNNNNNNNNNNNNNNNNNNNNNNNNNNNNNNNNNNNNNNNNNNNNNNNNNNNNNNNNNNNNNNNNNNNNNNNNNNNNNNNNNNNNNNNNNNNNNNNNNNNNNNNNNNNNNNNNNNNNNNNNNNNNNNNNNNNNNNNNNNNNNNNNNNNNNNNNNNNNNNNNNNNNNNNNNNNNNNNNNNNNNNNNNNNNNNNNNNNNNNNNNNNNNNNNNNNNNNNNNNNNNNNNNNNNNNNNNNNNNNNNNNNNNNNNNNNNNNNNNNNNNNNNNNNNNNNNNNNNNNNNNNNNNNNNNNNNNNNNNNNNNNNNNNNNNNNNNNNNNNNNNNNNNNNNNNNNNNNNNNNNNNNNNNNNNNNNNNNNNNNNNNNNNNNNNNNNNNNNNNNNNNNNNNNNNNNNNNNNNNNNNNNNNNNNNNNNNNNNNNNNNNNNNNNNNNNNNNNNNNNNNNNNNNNNNNNNNNNNNNNNNNNNNNNNNNNNNNNNNNNNNNNNNNNNNNNNNNNNNNNNNNNNNNNNNNNNNNNNNNNNNNNNNNNNNNNNNNNNNNNNNNNNNNNNNNNNNNNNNNNNNNNNNNNNNNNNNNNNNNNNNNNNNNNNNNNNNNNNNNNNNNNNNNNNNNNNNNNNNNNNNNNNNNNNNNNNNNNNNNNNNNNNNNNNNNNNNNNNNNNNNNNNNNNNNNNNNNNNNNNNNNNNNNNNNNNNNNNNNNNNNNNNNNNNNNNNNNNNNNNNNNNNNNNNNNNNNNNNNNNNNNNNNNNNNNNNNNNNNNNNNNNNNNNNNNNNNNNNNNNNNNNNNNNNNNNNNNNNNNNNNNNNNNNNNNNNNNNNNNNNNNNNNNNNNNNNNNNNNNNNNNNNNNNNNNNNNNNNNNNNNNNNNNNNNNNNNNNNNNNNNNNNNNNNNNNNNNNNNNNNNNNNNNNNNNNNNNNNNNNNNNNNNNNNNNNNNNNNNNNNNNNNNNNNNNNNNNNNNNNNNNNNNNNNNNNNNNNNNNNNNNNNNNNNNNNNNNNNNNNNNNNNNNNNNNNNNNNNNNNNNNNNNNNNNNNNNNNNNNNNNNNNNNNNNNNNNNNNNNNNNNNNNNNNNNNNNNNNNNNNNNNNNNNNNNNNNNNNNNNNNNNNNNNNNNNNNNNNNNNNNNNNNNNNNNNNNNNNNNNNNNNNNNNNNNNNNNNNNNNNNNNNNNNNNNNNNNNNNNNNNNNNNNNNNNNNNNNNNNNNNNNNNNNNNNNNNNNNNNNNNNNNNNNNNNNNNNNNNNNNNNNNNNNNNNNNNNNNNNNNNNNNNNNNNNNNNNNNNNNNNNNNNNNNNNNNNNNNNNNNNNNNNNNNNNNNNNNNNNNNNNNNNNNNNNNNNNNNNNNNNNNNNNNNNNNNNNNNNNNNNNNNNNNNNNNNNNNNNNNNNNNNNNNNNNNNNNNNNNNNNNNNNNNNNNNNNNNNNNNNNNNNNNNNNNNNNNNNNNNNNNNNNNNNNNNNNNNNNNNNNNNNNNNNNNNNNNNNNNNNNNNNNNNNNNNNNNNNNNNNNNNNNNNNNNNNNNNNNNNNNNNNNNNNNNNNNNNNNNNNNNNNNNNNNNNNNNNNNNNNNNNNNNNNNNNNNNNNNNNNNNNNNNNNNNNNNNNNNNNNNNNNNNNNNNNNNNNNNNNNNNNNNNNNNNNNNNNNNNNNNNNNNNNNNNNNNNNNNNNNNNNNNNNNNNNNNNNNNNNNNNNNNNNNNNNNNNNNNNNNNNNNNNNNNNNNNNNNNNNNNNNNNNNNNNNNNNNNNNNNNNNNNNNNNNNNNNNNNNNNNNNNNNNNNNNNNNNNNNNNNNNNNNNNNNNNNNNNNNNNNNNNNNNNNNNNNNNNNNNNNNNNNNNNNNNNNNNNNNNNNNNNNNNNNNNNNNNNNNNNNNNNNNNNNNNNNNNNNNNNNNNNNNNNNNNNNNNNNNNNNNNNNNNNNNNNNNNNNNNNNNNNNNNNNNNNNNNNNNNNNNNNNNNNNNNNNNNNNNNNNNNNNNNNNNNNNNNNNNNNNNNNNNNNNNNNNNNNNNNNNNNNNNNNNNNNNNNNNNNNNNNNNNNNNNNNNNNNNNNNNNNNNNNNNNNNNNNNNNNNNNNNNNNNNNNNNNNNNNNNNNNNNNNNNNNNNNNNNNNNNNNNNNNNNNNNNNNNNNNNNNNNNNNNNNNNNNNNNNNNNNNNNNNNNNNNNNNNNNNNNNNNNNNNNNNNNNNNNNNNNNNNNNNNNNNNNNNNNNNNNNNNNNNNNNNNNNNNNNNNNNNNNNNNNNNNNNNNNNNNNNNNNNNNNNNNNNNNNNNNNNNNNNNNNNNNNNNNNNNNNNNNNNNNNNNNNNNNNNNNNNNNNNNNNNNNNNNNNNNNNNNNNNNNNNNNNNNNNNNNNNNNNNNNNNNNNNNNNNNNNNNNNNNNNNNNNNNNNNNNNNNNNNNNNNNNNNNNNNNNNNNNNNNNNNNNNNNNNNNNNNNNNNNNNNNNNNNNNNNNNNNNNNNNNNNNNNNNNNNNNNNNNNNNNNNNNNNNNNNNNNNNNNNNNNNNNNNNNNNNNNNNNNNNNNNNNNNNNNNNNNNNNNNNNNNNNNNNNNNNNNNNNNNNNNNNNNNNNNNNNNNNNNNNNNNNNNNNNNNNNNNNNNNNNNNNNNNNNNNNNNNNNNNNNNNNNNNNNNNNNNNNNNNNNNNNNNNNNNNNNNNNNNNNNNNNNNNNNNNNNNNNNNNNNNNNNNNNNNNNNNNNNNNNNNNNNNNNNNNNNNNNNNNNNNNNNNNNNNNNNNNNNNNNNNNNNNNNNNNNNNNNNNNNNNNNNNNNNNNNNNNNNNNNNNNNNNNNNNNNNNNNNNNNNNNNNNNNNNNNNNNNNNNNNNNNNNNNNNNNNNNNNNNNNNNNNNNNNNNNNNNNNNNNNNNNNNNNNNNNNNNNNNNNNNNNNNNNNNNNNNNNNNNNNNNNNNNNNNNNNNNNNNNNNNNNNNNNNNNNNNNNNNNNNNNNNNNNNNNNNNNNNNNNNNNNNNNNNNNNNNNNNNNNNNNNNNNNNNNNNNNNNNNNNNNNNNNNNNNNNNNNNNNNNNNNNNNNNNNNNNNNNNNNNNNNNNNNNNNNNNNNNNNNNNNNNNNNNNNNNNNNNNNNNNNNNNNNNNNNNNNNNNNNNNNNNNNNNNNNNNNNNNNNNNNNNNNNNNNNNNNNNNNNNNNNNNNNNNNNNNNNNNNNNNNNNNNNNNNNNNNNNNNNNNNNNNNNNNNNNNNNNNNNNNNNNNNNNNNNNNNNNNNNNNNNNNNNNNNNNNNNNNNNNNNNNNNNNNNNNNNNNNNNNNNNNNNNNNNNNNNNNNNNNNNNNNNNNNNNNNNNNNNNNNNNNNNNNNNNNNNNNNNNNNNNNNNNNNNNNNNNNNNNNNNNNNNNNNNNNNNNNNNNNNNNNNNNNNNNNNNNNNNNNNNNNNNNNNNNNNNNNNNNNNNNNNNNNNNNNNNNNNNNNNNNNNNNNNNNNNNNNNNNNNNNNNNNNNNNNNNNNNNNNNNNNNNNNNNNNNNNNNNNNNNNNNNNNNNNNNNNNNNNNNNNNNNNNNNNNNNNNNNNNNNNNNNNNNNNNNNNNNNNNNNNNNNNNNNNNNNNNNNNNNNNNNNNNNNNNNNNNNNNNNNNNNNNNNNNNNNNNNNNNNNNNNNNNNNNNNNNNNNNNNNNNNNNNNNNNNNNNNNNNNNNNNNNNNNNNNNNNNNNNNNNNNNNNNNNNNNNNNNNNNNNNNNNNNNNNNNNNNNNNNNNNNNNNNNNNNNNNNNNNNNNNNNNNNNNNNNNNNNNNNNNNNNNNNNNNNNNNNNNNNNNNNNNNNNNNNNNNNNNNNNNNNNNNNNNNNNNNNNNNNNNNNNNNNNNNNNNNNNNNNNNNNNNNNNNNNNNNNNNNNNNNNNNNNNNNNNNNNNNNNNNNNNNNNNNNNNNNNNNNNNNNNNNNNNNNNNNNNNNNNNNNNNNNNNNNNNNNNNNNNNNNNNNNNNNNNNNNNNNNNNNNNNNNNNNNNNNNNNNNNNNNNNNNNNNNNNNNNNNNNNNNNNNNNNNNNNNNNNNNNNNNNNNNNNNNNNNNNNNNGUGGGUUCAUCACAUUGAGAGAGGGGAUUCUGCCUGCCGCUCUGCCCGAUGCUAAUUGCACGAGUGUGGAUUUACAGAGAGGGGGGGAUCAAACUCUUUAAUUAUUAUUGCACAUUAUUAUUAAUGAUUACUGCCUGCUAUUAUUUGUGGGGGAGUUAAGAAACAAUAGUAAAAUAUAAAUUACGCAACAUGUCUUGGCGUAUCCAUGGUCAUACGCGCGUGUCUCGCCGUAUCUGUCAGACAGAGCCGGUUGCUUCGACCAACUACCUCCCGUUGACUUUGACUUGAGCAGCUGCUGGCCAGUGAGAUUUCGCCACGGCAGCCGUCUGUUGACCUGCGGUGGCAGGAGAUCCGGCCCGCGCGUGCUAGGUCGCAGCCUCGCCACAGACAACAGCUUUUACCUGCAAACAUACGCUGCAAAUAUAAACUGUGAAUUAAAAAGCUUUGCGUAUGACAGACGUCCGAGGACCACAAAGAUGGUUUUUAAAUGGGACCAUACGGUAUGAUCGGAGGCGGAGGAACCGUGCGCCGGACGAAGAAAGCUCGGCUGAUUUACAGAGCCGGGCACGGGGAGCCUGGCUGCGAACCCACCCCCGUCGCAACCCAGAGGCACGAGCAGUUGAGGUAUGGAGAACUCAGGCAAAAAGUAGAUCUGCAAACCCAGAGAUUGAUUUGCCCCAGACAUGGAUUCCACCGAAAGCAGGAGUGUUGAAGAUAAAUAUAGAUGGAACAUAUGUGCAUGGUUCGUUGAAGAACUCCAUUGCUUGCAUUAGCCGUGAUUCGGAAGGGAGGUUGUUGGGAGGAGUUGCAAAGGAAAUAAGGGCCUCUUCCCCCUUAAUGGCAGAAACCUUAGCUCUCUGGGAAGCCCUCCAGUUUCUCUUCCCUAUACGACACGAAGUAAUACUUUUGGAGUCAGAUAGUUUGCAACCGGUCAAAGCCAUGAACAGUUCACAACAGUUAAGUUGGGAAGUACAGCCUAUCAUCAGCAAGUGCAAGGAAAUAUUGAAGGCCUUUUCAAAAGUCCAAAUAGCCCAUUGUUCAAGACAGGCCAAUUUUGUUGCAGAUUGGGUAGCUAAAGCCCACUGGAACAAUUACUUACCUAUGAAUUGGGUCUCAUCCCCUCUACAAACUUUGUUGGACCUCUUAUGUAAUGAAGCCCAUUUAUCGGGCCUCUUAUCCUUGCGUACUUAAUGAAAUAUUUCCGUUUUCGACCAAAAAUAAAAAAUAAAAAUGGGACCAUACGGUAGUAACUUUUUCUUUUUCUUUUUCUUUUUCUUUUAUUUUUCUAUUUUUUUUAUUAAAGAGAAAAGUCAUAUGAAAGUCCAAAAUAUGUGUCCUCUCACGUAUUCAUUUCAAUAUUUUUUUUUGUGACAUAAAAAUUCCAAAUUUGUAUUUAUGUCACACAAAUACUCUGUUAAGAUACCGUUAAAUGAUUUUUCAACUAAAAUAACGUCAUUUUUUUUAUUUAAAUUACGUGGGCGCCAUGUCAGUGUUUUGGUGUCAUAGAAAAAUGUUUAUAAUAAAUAUAUUACAAUGGACAAAAUUUAAGAUUUUUUUUUUUGUGACUUUUGCCCUUAUUAUUAUGAUGUAGAGGAAAUGUUGCAAUUUCUAAUAUAUUGCCUACUUUUGUGAUAUGUAUACUUAAUAUUUUGAAAAUAGAAUAUUUUCUCGUUAAAUGUAAUUAGAAAUGCACCAAAAGCACGUGUGCCUUGUCAUACUCGUUAGACAUAUUGAUUUUGGAAUGAAUUAGUUUCGACACAUUAUUUUAUAUAUCACUACAACGAUUAAUGCAUUGGAAACUACAUGAUUUGGAAAAUCAAUUAUUUAACAAGUGCUCCAUAAACCCUAAUAAACCAAAAUCCUUAUCAUUAUAUUGAUAGUGUGUAAAAUUAAGCUAGUUAGGUAGAUUAUUUCGAGAGAAAUGAAUGUUGAUUUGAGCUCCAACAAGCGCAUUUUCUUGCAAGCCACGCUUUAGGGUCUAUUUGGUACAUUUCUAUGUCAAGAAUCAAUUUUUUUUUUCAAAAAUAGUCUGUCUAUUUCUAUUCCCCAAAACAAUUUAUGAAUAAAAAAAUGCAUUUGGUAACUAUACAAAAUUAAUAUUCUUAAAAUAGAAAAGUAAUAAAAAUGCAUUUAAUGUGAUCAACAAUUUUUUUUAUUACAUAAAAUUUCUUUUAAUUUUUUAAUAAUUUUUUUUCUUUUUUUUUUCUUUUGUUAUUCUUCCUUGCCGUUGCCAAUCGUUGGCCACCGCGGCCGAGCCAAAGGUCAAUGGCAACCGACAGUGGCUGAACAACAGCAGAAAGUGGUGGGGUUCAAGGAGAAAGAAAAGAAAAAGUAACUUAUUUAUAAAAAUUGUUCAUGAGAGCAAUAAGUUACUUUUUUUUUCUUUUUAUUUCUAUUCCAAAUCUAUUUUUCCGUCAAUUUUCUAUUCCGGAGAAUAAAAAAAUUAGUUGAUAUUAUCAUAUGGAUUUAUGUUCUUUUUUUUUGUUCCGAGGAACGAAAGAACAGAAAUUGGAAUAAAUAGAAAUGUUAUCAAACGAAGUCUACUCAGUCGGUAAUUUCAGAAAUCAGAUUACCUCAAAUGAUUCAUUCAGUUGAAUCACGUCCCUAUGGUAAUGUUUGGAUGACCUUUACCUUGUUUUAUUCGAUUUAACUCGAUCCGAUUGAGCACCACUUAGGAAGUCGGUUCGACGUCCGGCCGUAUUUUGGAGACAUUGGUUUCAAGGGUCUCUUGUCCUGAUAUUUGUCUAGUAGAUGAAUGAGGUGUGUGAUGAUAUUUUUACAGGCCGGAGCAAGUGCCGAUUUUCAGGUAUGAUCUCGGCCCAAGAGGCAUACAAGAUGAGCCGAACGUGUUGGAGUGGGUGAUAAAAUACCUUUGCGGAGAGUAUAGUUAUUUUGGUUGGACAAAUCAAGUCAUCAGUCAUCAAGUUGUCUAAUAUUUGACUAUAAAUGGAACUUAACCCUAAGGAUUAGUUUAGUCGGUUGAGAGUUUUGGAAGUUACGAUUCAAAAAUUAGAAAAUAUUUUCUUUAAAAUGAUCAAUUAUAUUAUUUUCACAAAUGAGUCAACAAAAUAUAUUUUCAUUAACAAUAGUGAUUUAUGUUCGAACAUUUUCGUGAAUGACGAAACCAAUACAGGAUGAUUCUAAAUUAUUGAGUUUUUGUAAGACAAACGCACCAGCAAUCUAACUUAGAAUCACUCUUUUUUUUUGUGCGUGUGUUUUUGGGGCUCGGAAUAUGGGAGUUGAUAUGUCAGGAAGCAAUCUCACUAGCUAUCCUUCCCAUCAAGUUCUUUAACGUACGAACACCAUGUUAAAUCUUUUUCUUCCUUUUUUCAAGACUUACAUUAAAUCACUUUCCAUGGAAUUAAAUCGUAAAAAUUAGAGCCCCUUUAAAAUAUCAUCACAUUACAUUUUAAUGUUGGGUUCACACGUUAAAAACCCAAUACACUUAUCAUGAAAGAUUGCUAAGAGAAAACUCAAAUCUAAACUCGUUAACUUAUUCAAUUUGAUCCAUUUACGCUCAAAACCUUUGGUCAAUGAAUUAUAACUGAGUUAGAUAUAUUAAAUACUCCAUAUUACAGCACAUCCUUGUAUGAGAUUUCAAUAGCUUAACAUUCUCGUGCAUGCAUGUAGACAAUUUCCCCCUUCACACAUGCGAGCCACCAAUGUUAGGCUCACUCCCUCUCAAUCCUAAUAUCCUUCUACACCAACAUUAUCUCAACUCGAGAAUAUUUAAUCUUUACCUUGGCUUGGUCAAAUUGCAUAUACUGGUGAGGACCAAUAGGUAUCUUUCAGAUUCCACCUUAAUUGUCUUCGCUCAACCAAGCUUGUUGAGAGUAGAGGGACACCAUUCAUCACCUCAAUUAAGGGGCCACAUUUGAGAUUUUCCUUCCUUGAGAUAUUCAUCGGGCACUCAUAUAUAUUGGGAUCUGGCCACGAAUCAACAUUGACUCUAAUACCAUUUUCAGAUUGACACAGCAGAAGCUGAGUACCUUCAUUUGAUGAGAUCACCAAGAGGAAGCACCAGUCAAAGCCCAUUAAAUUACCUAGUUGGACCCAAGUUUACUCAAAAACUUGAGUUAAUCAAUUAUGAAUCAGCUAAAAUGUAUCAAUUGCACCACAUUUACUUUGUGGGAUUUCUCUCAGUUAACAUCCGUGCACAUGCACCUUAAAAAUACUAAAUGCAAUCCGAUUCCUCAUGUGUCGAAGGUACCCCUUGAAGCAUCAAAUACAACAAUAGGGUUUGCGUAGCUUGCUUGUUGUAGUAGAUUUUCUCUUGAUUACUACCUUACCGGCCCUUAGCAUUGAGGUGACAGGCUACCAAUGCCAUAAUUAUUUGUAAUGUCAAUUCAUUGGAAGGUAAAUAUUAAUGAGUCACGUUUUACUUAUUAUGUCUUUAAAAUGUACAAGUUUUCAAUGAAGUAACUGAAUAUAUUAAAAUUCUCUUCUUUUACUGUAUUUAAAUAUGUACUUCUUUAAUUCUCAAAAUCUCUUAAAAAGCAUUCUUUCUAUUUUUAGUUAAUUUAAUGUAGGCAUUAGUUUUCACGGGAAAUGAAAAAGAAGAGAAUUGGAGGAAUUUCUUGUGCUCAUUUUGUAUUGUUUUUCAUUCUUUAUAUGUAUUAAUAAUAUAAAGUGUGGACAGCAAAAGGAAACAAUGUAAAUAUACAGAAUUAAUAUGGAUCACUUAUUGAUUCAGUCAAUUAAUCUAAUCUUAGAUUAAUUCAAUUAUCUCUUCACCACAUAAAUCAUAUCUCCAACACUCCCUCUCAAGUUGGUGGCUUGUAUAUGUCCAAAACACCUAACUUGUUUAACAAAUGUGUGUUUUCUUUGACACAAGGGUUUAGUAAAGAUAUCCGCGAGUUGUUUUGAGGUUCCAAUUCCCUUUAUCCUAUUAUUCCUUCUUGGAUCUUAUCUCGAGAGAAAUGAUAGUCGACCUCUAUAUGUUUUGUUAUCUCAUGGACUAUAAGAUUAGCUGCAAGCUUUAGUGUUGCAUCAUUAUCACAAAAACAACGUAGUUGGCCUUUUAACUCGCACACCAAGGUCAAGAGGUAGACCUCGCAUCUAUACUAUCUCAUAAAUAGUCUUGGUCAUGGCUAGAUACUCAACUUUAGCCAAUGAUAAUGAUACGGUUGUUUGCUUCCUCCUCUUUUAUUUAUUUACGUAUUUAUUUUUUAUAACAAAAGUAAGGAUGUUCUAAGCUUAAUGCAAAAAAUCUAGUAAUGGAGCUCCAGGUCAUAAGACAGGUGGCAUGGUCUAUGUCACAAUAAUCCGUCAUCUCCAUGUUACACGCUUGAGAAAGAAGUAUUCCAAAUCCUAGACAUUUCUUCAAAUCACAACUUUUAGAGCUACAUUCAUAUGUGAUUGUUUUUGGUUAUGCAUAAACCAACUCAGCAUUAGCACUGCUUAGCAUAUGUUUGGUAUUGUCAUGGUGAGAUAAUCUUUUCUACGAGCCUCUAAUAGCUUGAUGGAUCCUUGAGCAGUGGAUUAUCAGCAUUUGAUAGUGUUCCACAUAAAAAAAAAUGUGAUUAACUUGAUAUCUUGCUCAAUAGGAAUAGUAGCUAGCUUACAUUCUAACAAACUUGCUUUUGAUAUAAUUUCAAGGACAAAUUUCCCAUUAGCUAAUAGGAGAUUCCCAUGUUCAAUUGGGCAAUUUUAAUUCCAAGGAAAUAUAUGGGAGGUCCUAGAUCUUUAAUGUGAAAGGUAUAGUAGUGCAAAUAUUUCUUGAGAUUUUUAGCAACAGCUUCAUUAGAUCCCAUAAUAAGUAUGUCAUCAAUAUAUAUCAUUAGAUAGAUAGAUGACGAACCUUUUCUCCCUAUAAAUUGUGCAUAAUCAUGUCUCAACAGUCUAAAGCCAGUAACUAUAAGUGCAUUUGUAAAUUUUGUGUACCACUAAUGAGAAGCUUUCUUAAGGCCACAAAGUGAUAUGCAGAGACAUCAUACCUUAGACUCCUCUUGUUUUCAUAAACCCGGUGGAAGAUCCAUGUAAAUUUCUUCGUCUAGAUCACCAUGGAGAAAGGCAUUGUAAAUAUCCAUUUGAUGUAGUGGCCAAUUCUGCAAGCAACAAUGCAUAGAAAGGAGCGAACUGUGACUUUUUUUGCUAUUGGAAAGAAUGUUUUAUGAUAAUCGAAACAUUCUUUUUAUGUGAAACCUUUGGGCACUAAACGCGCCUUGUAUCGUUGGACUGAUCCAUUUGCCUUGUGUUUAAUUUUAGAGAUAAGUGCACUAGGAGUCCGAAAACUUAUUACAAAAGUGCAUUUGAGUUCUAAAACUUGCAAAAAGUGCAUUUACGUCCUAAAACUUGUCAAAAUGUUUCAAACGAAUCCUAAAAUCGAUGCCGUCUAAUUUCUUAAUGGAAAAAGCUAAUGUGGCCCCCGCGUGGCUUUUUUUAAUCAUUUCUCUCUCCUUCGUUGCGAAUAGAUUAAAAAAAAAUGCCACGCAUCCAAAACGACGUCGUGUUCUCCUUUCUUUUUCACCAUCGUGUUACCUCCCCUCCGUCUGUACGUCUUCUUCACCGUUGUCUUCCCUCUCCCCCCUCCGUCUCUACGAUUGCUUUCACUAUUCCAAGCGAACCCUAAGCCUCAAAUCGAAUUCGUUCAAACCCUAAGUCCCAAAUCGAAUUCGUCCAAAUUGCAGUUCUCUUGCGAUUUGGGUCCUCGUCGACCUCAAGUUCAACGCUUGUUGUGAGUUCGUAUUCUUUCCUUUGAGGAUUGCGAGUUCGUGCGAAGUCCUCUCUUGUGGGAGUCUCGACAUCUUAGCAGAGAAGCGAUUGGUGUUGGGGACGAUGACAAGGUCAGCGACAGCGAUGGCGACUCCUCCUCACACAGGUAUCGUUCUUUGCAUUAUAGCAUUUUUGGUAUCUUGUGGUAAUGCUACGAUAUCUUUUGUUUUGCUACGAUUUCUUUUAUUUUGCAAAGGUGCUUUAAUCUCUGCAUUAUGCAAAACGACAUCAGUUGACGUCCUCAUUUCUUCAUUAUUUGGAGUUCAGAGAGCUCGAGUUUGACACACAUCGACUUUAUGUUAUAUUCUUUGACGAUUGCGAGUUCGUGCAAAGACACGUCUUGCGGGCAUCUCGGCGUUGAUAACCCACAGCAGAAGGCAUUCUACCCAAUAAGGCGGAUACCUCAGAUCCUGCUUGGACGAAACGGAAGAUAUUGUCGAUAAAUAGAAGUACGUCUUGUUCAUUAACAUCUUGGAAAUAUUCCGCCAUAGUUAGGGCAGUCAAACCAACUCUCAUACGACCUCCGGGGGGUUCAUUCAUCUGACCAUAGACUAGAGCGACCUUAGAUUAUGCAAUAUUUUGUUCAUUAAUUACUCCAAAUUCUUUCAUUUCCAUGUAAAGAUCAUUUCCUUCACGAGUACGUUCACCUACUCCUCCAAAUAUGGAUACCCCCCCCCCCCCCAUGAGCUUUAGCAAUGUUGUUGAUCAAUUCCAUUUAGCAGCAGAGCAAGCGACAUCAGGGACGACGAUGGCCGUCUCAGCGACGGAGCAAGCAACAUCAGGGACGGCGAUGGCAACUCCUCAUGCAGGUAUCACUCUUUACAUUACAGCAUUUGGGUAUGUCAUGGUAAUAUUACGAUUUUUGUUUUUGCUUUACGAGGGCGUUUUACUCUUUGCAUUAUGGUUGUUUUGCAUUUUCCAAUUGUUGCGAUAAAUUAGAACAUUGUUGCAAAUUAGAACAUCGCCUACCGAAAGGCUGACAAUAGGUCCCUCGCUCUCACUAUUGAUCAUGUAGUUGCAUUGUGAUUGUAAAGCACAUUAUGCUAAUUUGUUGUUUCUGUAUUGAUUAUUAGUCUUUUAACUUGAACAUUGCUUCAAUAAUUUGAUGAUGGAAAGUACUAUCCUCUUUGUUUCUGUUCUCUUGUAUGUUUCUAUUCCAUUGUAGGUCCAAUUGCCGAGAAUAAAGUUUAUUUCACUAUUCGCUAUGGAGGUAAAUCUAAAGUCGGCCCACCGUUGGAAUACAUAGGUGGAAGAGCUGAUCUUGCUGAAAUAAGUUUAAGUAAGCAUUCACUGUCUAGUAUAAUUGAAGCUAUUAAGGCUUUGGGUGUGUGUAAAAUAGAGAAACUCUUUUACAGAGUUCCUGCAAGUACGACUCUUGUAAACGGCAUAACUCUUAGGUAUUUGUGGGAUAACUCUGAUGUGAUGGAUCUAUUUUAUCAUCAUCUGUGCUCUGAAAAUAUUAUGCUAUAUGUUGAGCAUGUUGAUGAGAAAAAGAAAGGAGCUGAGAUGGGGGGUGUUGAGAUGGAAACUAGAGGUAUGUCUAAUGUGAUUAGGAAUAUUGAUGAUGACGAUGCCAAUAAGGAUCUAGAUGAGGAAGAGGAUGAUGAUGCACAUAAUUUGGUGGAUAUGGAACAGUCGAGUGACGAUGAUGAUUUUGAACUGGUUGAUGCAAGAAAAAAAUUAAAGUAAUUUCCAGCAAGACAUAAGCUCAAAAUUGGCGAUUAUAGUGAGGCAACUGGUACUUCCCAACCACCGAUUGUGGAUGAGGCUCAAUCGUUAGAUGAUUCUCGGUACGAAACAGAGUAUGCUGAUUCAGAUGAGGAAGACAGUCUUCAAUCAAUUUUAAAUGAUGAGGGUGACGAAGAGGUUGAUGUUAUCUCAAAGAGGAGAAGUAGAUUCCCAUCAUAUGAUCAAAGUGGUACAAAUCCAGUAUUUAUUGUUGGCAUGACAUUUGAGGAUGCAACUGAGUUCAAAAAUGCAAUUUUGAAGUAUUCUGUGGCUAAGCAAAGAGCAAUCAAAUACACUAAGAACACAAAAAGCUUUGUAAGAGCCAGGUGUAUCCAGGAAAAUUGUAAGUGGAUGAUCUAUGGUGCUAUUGAUAGAAAAACUAGAUCAUUUCAUUUGAGAAAGUAUAUAAAUCAGCAUAUAUGCAGUAUCACUUUCGAGAAUAAGAGAGUGUCUAGUAAUUAUUUAACUAAGCACUUCAUGAUUCUCAUUUCUGCAAUGCCUAAAAUCAAAACACUGGAGUUAAAGAAAUUAGUCAAAGAACAACUGAGAGUAAAUGUCACUUUCAGUCAAUGUAGGAGAGCAAAGCUAAAAGUAUUGAAGGAACUACAAGGCAAUUACAAGAAGGAAUAUGCACAGAUGUACAACUACUUGGGAAAGCUUUACACUGCAAGCCCUUCAAGCAAUUUUAAAUUGAAAGUUGAAAGGCCAUUGCCAAAUUCUCUACCAUUAUUUGAUAGGGCUUACAUUUGCUUUGAUGCUUGCAAGAAAAGUUUUUUGGCUAGAUGUAGGAAGAUCAUUGGAUUAGAUUGAUGUUUUUUGAAGGGUUUGAUCAAGGGCGAGUUGUUAUGUGCCGUAGAAAGGGAUGGCAACAAUCAAAUGUAUCCAGUGGCAUGGGCAGUGAUAAGAAUCGAGAAUAAGGACACAUGGACUUGGUUUAUUGAAUUGUUGAAGUCAGACCUCGAUAUGUGUAAUGGUGACGGAUGGGCUUUGAUAAGUGACCAACAAAAUGUAUGUUUUUCUUUUUGUUUUCUUUUGUAAAUUGAUUGUGACAUUACAAUGCUUUUCUUUCUGUUUUCAUAUAUAUUUUCUUUUCUUGGGUAAUUGUCAAGGUCUCGUCCAAUCUGUAGCUGAACUUUUGCUAAAUGUAGAGCAUAAUAUGUGUGCAAGGCACAAAUAUUCCAACUGGGGUAAAAAAUACAAAGGAAAACAGUUUAUGAGACAAUUUUGGAGAUGUGUCAAGAGUAAUAAUAUGUCAGAUUUCGAGGUGCAUAGACAGAGGUUAAAAGAAAUGACUCAGGAAAGUCAUGAUGAUUUAUUCCGUAUUGAGCCAAAACAUUGGUGCAAAGCCUUAUUUGACACCAACAUUAAAUGUGAUGUCGUUGAUAAUAAUCUCAUUGAAGCUUUUAAUGGCAGGUGUGUGGAAGCUAGGUGCAAGGCUAUUAUGAGUAUGCUGGAGGAUAUUAGAAUCAUGGUUAUGAAUAGAAUGCAUACUCAGAGGGAUGGAUGUGCUAGGUGGACUGGAAAUUAUGGUCCAAGGAUUCUACAUAAGUUACAUGAUAAUACAACUACUAGUAGGUAUUGCCAUUUGAUAUGGAAUGAAGACGAAGGAUAUGAGAUUACGGAAGAUGGUGACAAAUAUGUUGUUGAUUUGAAUUUAAAAACUUGUUCUUGUAGAGCUUGGGAACUUAGUGGAAUUCCAUGUUGCCAUGCCAUUUGUGCAAUACACCAUAAGAGAAAUGACCCGACUGACUAUCUAACUGAGUGUUUCAAUAAGGCAAAGUAUCUAAGUGCUUAUCAAUUCAUGAUGUCUACAGUGAGAGGACAUAAAUUUUGGAAUAAAACCAAUAAAGAAGCUCCUCAACCCCCACCAAUGAAGAACGUGCCUGGUAGGCCAAAAAGGAGUAGAAAAAAGCAACCAAUUGAGCUUGUAAAAGGUGAUAGAAUGACUAAAAAUGGUAAGCAAAUGACUUGUUCUGCUUGCAAUGUGGUUAGACAUAAUUGCAAGGAAUGUCCUUUAAAAAAUUUAUUUUCUCAACUAAUCGAUCAUCUUAAUGCUGGGCAUGUCACUUUAACAUGUUGUUAAUCAAUGCUUAAUAUGUGUUUCUCAGGCCAAUGCUUGGGCCAAUGUAUGUACAUUCAAUGCUCGGGCCAAUGUAUGUACAUCCAAUGCUCGUGCCAGUGCAAGUACAGCUGAAGUUCAUGCUCAAUCUCAAGCUAAUUCCACUAGACGAAGGCUCGGAAAAAGACAAGUAAGUUGUCAUCUAACAAUUAUUAUAAUUUUUAUAUGUCAAGGUUUCAAUUAAGUAAUUAUGAAUAUAUAUAUAUAUAUAUAUAUAUAUAUAUAUUCAGGCUAAAGCUAAAGCAAUGACAAGCGUAACUGGAGGAGGAUUCAAAAGCCAUGCCAAUGCUUCUGCAAAUGCCAAUUCAAUAGAAGACAAUAGUGAGCAUGUUAAUGCUUCUACUCAGGCUAGUGCAGAUGUAAGAGGGUAUAGUGCUCGUGCAAAUGUAAGAGAAUGUACUGCCACUGCUUCUGCUCAGGCUAGUGCUGAUGUUAGAGGAUGUAUUGAUGUGGCCAAUACUGUUGGUAAAGUUCGUUCUGGUCAAGGGGAAGGCAUUUAUUGUACACCGGCCAAUAAUGGCUAAGCAUAGACCUGAAAAAAAUUCCAGUGAGUAAUAUCUUAAUCCCCAAGCAUACAUGUAUUGUGACUACAUUCUCAUGUAUAAUGAAUUUUUUAUUAUUUCAUAUUAAAAACCUGCCAUUGAAAAUGACAUGAUACAAAGAGAAUCACAGGCCAAGAGGAUGAAAAUGGUAGGGUUGGGUGUUGACGCAAAUCCUAUGACAAACCUUCAUAUUCUUAAGGUGAGUAAUAUUUCUAAAAUUUUCUAAUAGCAAUUACUUAUCUCCUUAAGCUAAAAACAUGCUCAUUCUUAUGUACCCUAAUACAACUGGUGCAAGAAUCUUUAACCUACCAGACAAAGGGGUAGUUUCAAGAGCUACGUCAACAGUAAAGGUGCAUUCCCAAGUCAGUGCACAACCUUAGUCAUAUCAUGUAUCAGCAACUUCUUGAAAACAAAUUGCAGUGACGCUGAAGCCACCAUUACAACCCAAGGCCAGUUCCCAACCUCAAUCAUCUCAUGCAACAGUAGCUCCUUCGAAGCACGUUGCAAUGAAGCCAAAGGCACUAUCGCAACCUGAGGCUAGUUCCCAAGCUCAGUCAUCUCAAGCUACAAGAGCUCAGAAGCAUCUUAAUUUAAAGCGAAAGGCACCAUCACAACCAAAGGCAAGUUCCCAACCUCAAUAAUCUCAUGCAACAAUAGCUCCUCGAAAGCAUGUUGCGAUAAAGCCAAAGCCACUAUUGCAACCUGAGGUCAGUUCCCAAGCUAAGUCAUCUUAGGCUACAAUAGCUUAGAAGCAUCUUGGUUUAAAGUGAAAGACACCAUCACAACCCCAGGCAGCUCCUCGAAGACAUAUUGCGGUGAAGCCGAAGCCACUAUUGCAGGCUCAAUCAUCCCAGGCUCAGUUAUCUCAAGCUACGACAACUCCUCCAAAGCCUAUCGCUGUAAGACCAUAUAUAAGGAAAAGCGCUAGAAUUAUGAAUCAAGUGAAGGCUGGACCUACUGGACCACUGGAGACCAUCAUAUUGGAUUGAUAUGUUUGCUGAAAUUGGUGUUGUUAGGUGAAUUUAUGCCAAUCAUUAGUUGGUUUUCUAUAUGAGACAUGUAGCAUUUGUGCAUAAGACCUUUUGUGUACUAAAAGUGCAUAUUUUGUUGAAAAGAACCUUUUGUGCACUGAAAGUGCAAGCAUUUUGUUGAACAAAGCCUUUUGUGCAUUGAAAAUGUAAGCAUGUUGCUUUGUCAAUGAAUCGUGUUUCAACAAGUUAUGUGGGAUGCUUGGUUUUGGUUUGGAUAAUGCACGAAAGUGGUUGCUCUUCAGGAUUGUUAAUAGGUGAUUACUGAAAUUUGUCCAUGAAGAAUUUUCAUUCUUCCAAUACUUUUGUCAUCUUCUUUCCCAUUUAUUGUUAAUAGGAUUGUUAAUAGGUUCCACAUUUAUUCUGAUAGCAAUAGCUCAUAUAGUGCUAUUGACAAGCACACAAAUCAAGCAACAUUUUUCAAUGCAAAACAAACUCACAUCAGAUUUCAUUCACAUCUCAAUUAUCCACAACUAGUGUUUAAACUUACAAACUUAGAAAUAAGGUACUAUGGAAGACUUAGAAAAUUCUCACCAACUUUCACAAUACAUAUAACCAAUACAGCAAUAUAACACAUGCAUACAAUGAAUGCCAAUUGAUAUAGAAUCUUUCCUUUUUUUACUCGUGCGAGCUCUUCCUUUAAACGUCUAUUUUUCGCCUUUUGAGUCUUCAUUUCAGCUAGCAAUGAGCUCACGUCAACUUCGUCACGCCUCGAUUGGCUUGAUUCACAUAAUGCUUGAUUUCUUUCAAGUAGGUUAACUAUUAUGUCCCUCACAUGAUCUGGUAUCUUUGGAUCAAGCUACAUGAAGAAAUCGCAGCAACUUGGACUAUUAAUCUUAGCACAUCCAUGGAACAUUCUUCCUGCGUUUUUCCUUGUCUUUGCCAUAAGAAUUGGCGAUUGAAGACCACAAUAACAUGGUAGCUCCGAGUUGAUCUCAUUAGGAGUUACAUCACUUGAUUCAAAUGUUGGCGCCCUCAUUCUUCUGGGCUUCGUAUUAUAGGAACAUAAUAGAAGUAUAUUAGAAUGGAAAAUAACAAAAUGCUAUAAUGCAGAGAGCGAUACUUGCUUGAAGAGGAGUCGCCAUUGCCGUCGUUGACCCUGUCGUCGUCCCCAACACCAAUCGCUUCACUGCUGAGAUGUCAAGACUCCCACAAGAGAGGACUUCGCACGAACUCGCAAUCGUCAAAGGAAAGAACACGAACUCAUGACGAGUGUCGAACUCGAGGUCGAUGAGGACCCAAAUCGUAAGAGAACUGCAGUUUGGACGAAUUCGAUUUGGGGCUAAGGGUUCGGACGAAUUCAAUUUGGGGCUUAGGGUUCGGAUGAAUUCGAUUUGGGGCUUAGAGUUCGCUCGGAAUAGUGAAAGCAAUCGUAGAGAUGGAGGGGGGAGAGGGAAGACGAUAGUGAAGAAGACGUACAGACGAAGGGGAGGUAACACGAUGGUGAAAAAGAAAUGAGAACACGGCAUCGUUUUGGAUGCGUGGCAUUUUUUUUUAAAAGCCACGUGGGGGCCACGUCAGCUUUUUUCAUCAAUAAAUUAGACGACAUCGAUUUUAGGACUCAUUUAAAACAUUUGACAAGUUUUAUGACUUAAAUGCACUUUUGCAAGUUUUAAGAUUCAAAUGCACUUUCGUGAUAAUUUUUAGGACUCCUGGUGCACUUGUCCUUUAAUUUUAUACACCCAUUUACAACCAAUUGGAUUCUAAUGAGCAAGAAAGGACACAAUAUCCCAAGUCUGAUUUUCAUUAAGGCACAUGACUGGAGAUGUGCUCCCGACUUCUUAUCACCCCCAAUCGAGGAUGGAGGAGGCAUGACAUAUGAGUAGACCAACCCUCAAUUGGCUUAUGUUUCGCUUUGCCUAUUUAGUUUUGUGCCGUAUAUUCAAUCGAUGCUUCUUCACAUUGAAUCAAAGGAAAAAAUUUCGAACCUUUGUCUCGACUAACUAAAUUUCAAAUAAAGCUCCAAACCCACCAACUAGACAUUUCUUCAUCAACCAGCUUGCACUCGUAGCUCACGUUCGGAAGUAAUUUAAUAGGAUAAGAUGAAUUUGUUUUCGAGCAUUUUGAAGGGGGGUUGGAAGGGAGAGACUUGGAAUACCGACGAUAUCCCCAACGACACAUCCACCAUGCCAGCAGAUGGAGAUGUGCGCCAAGCUUCUUAUCACCCCCGACCAAGGAUGGAGGAGGCACGACCUUCGAGGAGACCAACACUUAAUUGGCUUAAGGUUUGCUUUGCCUUGCCUAUUUACUAUGCAUUCUAUUUCCUUCUUCAAUUUACUUUUCAAUCGAAGCUUCUUCAAUUGGGUCAAAGGAUCGAACAAAAUCAUGACUACUUUAGCCACUGGAAUAAGCAUUAUUUGUUGCUUUGCCUAUUUACUUUUGGUGUUUUAUGUACUUCUUCAAUUUACUUUUUCAAUCAACACUUCUUCACAAAGGAAAAAAAAGUGAACCUUUGUCUCGACUUACCGAGUUUCAAAUAAAGCUCUGAGCCCACUGACUAGACAAUUCUCGACCAGCCAGAUUGUACGCAUGGCUCAUGGGCGGAUGCAUUUUUAUAAGGAUCAAAUGAAUUUGUUUUUGAACAUAUGAGAGAGUGAGAGAGAGAGAGUUGGAACACUGGCAAUGUCCAUCAGGCCAAUAGACGGAGAUGUGCUCCCAGUUUCUUAUCACCUCUGAUCGAGGACGAAGAAGGCACGACAUACAAUGAGACCGACACUUGGGUUUUGCUUUGCCUAUUUACUUGUCGUGUUUUAUUUACUUACUCCGUUACUUUUUCAAUUCACGCUACUCACGUAACGUAAGGUCAAAGGAAAAAAUUUUGAACCAAAGCUUUAGCCAUCGGAAUAAAAGCACUCAGGCCGCCCGUGCAAAUCGACCAUUUGACUGGCCGUUGAGCUCAGGAACUCAGAUAAGAUUAACUAGUAAACUUUAAAUCUCUUAUUUAAGAUAAAAGUCACUCGAAAUCCUCUUUCGAGGAAAAAAAAAAAGAAAAUCCCUUUUUUCUGUUUUAAUUUGGAAUAUUCAUUAAAACGAGAUGAGAAAACCAAAACGGCACGGAACCAUCCCUCCCUCCAGCCAAAUCCGGGGGGGCGCUCCGCUCCCCCCUCCCCAUGGCGGCCCCCGACGAGCCCCCGCCGCCGCCCGACUGGCUGGAGCUCCCGCGGGAUAUCGCGACGACGAUCUUGCUGAAGCUCGGCGCCGUCGAGAUCCUCACGACAGCGGAGUUGGUGUGCACCGACUGGCGCGCCCUCUGCCUGGACUCCACCAUGUGGCAGACCAUCGACAUGCGCAACGACGGGGACCUGCCGGACGACGACCUCGCCGACAUGUGCUGCCGCGCCGUCGACCGGAGCGACGGCGGCUGCCUCGACCUCAACAUCGAGUACUUCGGCGACGACGAGCUCCUCCAGUACGCCGCCGACGGGUAACUCGCCGAUUCCCGCUUGAAUGAAUUUCGCGCGGUUUUGUUCCUCGGUCUGGUUUUGGUGGGCUUCGGAAUGAUCGCUGAUGGUCGAGCGCGACGCGUGGUCCGGUUCUUUUGUGCGUACGCCGUUGUUGGAGAGAAUUGAGAGGAUGGUUUGUCGCCAAGGAUGAGCUUGUUUCGGCGAUUGGCUGAUCGGCCGUUGCGAUUGUGUAGACCUAGAUUGCGGGGUAGCAAGUGCGUGUGUACACUGUUGAUUUCUCUGAGCUGAAGUUGUGCAGGAAUCGCGAAAUUGUUUAGGAAUGAAUCGUAUCGAGCGAGAGUUUACUUCUCUUAUUCACCAUGGCCUCAUCGCCAGGCGGAGUUUGACAUGUGAGGCUUUGAGGAGUCCUCAGAAAGUGAACAUUCUGCACACUUGAAAAGUCCCUUUUUUUUUCCCCUUGUCCUCAAGAAUUGAAAAUGAAAAAAAGAGAAGAUGGACACGCCAGAUGAUGAGAACAGAUUGUAUUUGGAAAACUUUGAUCAGCUACAUGUUCUGGAAACUAACUGAUGAAAAUAUCAUGCGUGGAAAUUGAGUUCUGAUCCUGAAAUAGCUCCCGAGAACGAGGGUAGAAAUUUUUUACAUGAAAGGGUGCCAUCUUUGUUACUUUCUCUCUCCUUAGGAGCUCUCAAAUGGCUUCUUUACGCUGUCUCUAUGUUCUGUAUGUUCAGCCUCAGUAUCUUUCAUUUUUAGUUGUCAUUUGAACAUUAGGAUGAGGCAAAAGUUCAACCCAAUUGAAACCAUGAAGGAACAUUGAACUGAGGUUGUGAAAAGACCAAUACAAUGCCAUCUGGUGAGUAUCGGGCAUUACUAAAUGAAAUGAGGAACAUGAACUGUGACAGAACUUCCAUAAGUGCUUGAUAUGGCAGAAGCACUUCUAUUUUACUUCACUCUAGGAUCUUCUUUCCCCUAUGUGCUUUUUCUCCUUUUGAUCAGUUUAUGUGACACAUUUGCUCUCCUGUUUGCUAAUAGUUAUGGGGAGAUAUUGUUUAAAGUUUGGUGUGGUAGAAGGUAUAUAACUCAACAAACUAGGGUAUAGCCAUGUAGCUCCAUCACCUUCUCAGCCUUGGACAAGUGUAGCUUUAACCCAUGCUUGCCAAAACACUUGAGUAUGCCUCAUGUUCCAGUGAUAUUAUUCUUAAACUGUUUUUUCCCCUUAUUUUGUUCAGCAAAGAAAAUAUUCUAGUUUAAUUCACCGCUGAAUUUGUCUUCUAUUUCCUUGUCGAGACUCUGCGCUCAGUCUUCAUCAUUGCGUUUUCAUUGAACUUGCAGAGACAGGUUAGAUACAUUUGAUGGCAUUGUUGCAGGUCUUGGAUAGUUAUUAAUUGUCUUGAUCUGACAAGUGGAUGGCACUGUCAGUGUUUUGAUUCCACAGCAUACAACUGAAUUUACUGCUUGAGUUGUUGUAAUUGGCAUGGAAGUUUUACGUUUUGGAGUCCUUUUGGUUCUUAACAUGAGUUUCAGAGUCUAAUAGUGUUAUGUUUGCUUUUGUUGAUAAAAAUUCCUAUGAUGAAGGGUUUUAUGAAGAGACUUGUUAACGAGUGCCUCUGGUAUAGUUGUUGACCAGACAUAAUAAGGAAAUGCAAUUACUCUAAUUAUAUAUAACAUGAGAAAUAUAGCGCAUUAAAAUCGACACUCUUUUUAUUGAGGUGUUAAAAAAGUGCCCAUGGACACAUUUAAAAAAAAAAUGAUCAGAUUAGCUCUCUUUAUUGACUUAAGUUUCUCUUUUUGAUGGUGUUUUUCUUCCUUUUAUUGAGCGUGAAGUCCAGAACAGAGCUUUUGGAUUGUGUUUGAUUGUUGUCUGCUGGAUAUAUUAUGUUUAUUAUGGAACUUUUAUUAUAGUUUGAGGCUGGAAUAGGACAUAAUUUCCAUUGAUUUGAUUAGGUUUUGAAUUUGAUCUUACUUUUCUUGACAUCUUGAUUCAUUAACUUUAUAUUUGUUUUCAGAAACCUUCUACACAUAUUUUGUGUAUUCUGUGUCUUAUUAUUAUUUCGGAUAAAUAUGGCAGUCUUGCUUAUUAAAAGGCUAUUUUGAUAGGUCAAAAGUGGACCAAGCAUUGCUUCUCUCAAUUGCAUAGAUCUCUGUUUAGUUUACAUUCUUGUGAUGCCAUGGGCAUGCAGAAGCGGACUUCAUUAGCAAAUGUGGCAUAGUUGAUAUUUUUUAACAUGAUUUGAAAGAAUUCCAAUCAGAGCUGCAACAGUAGAGAAUUGUUGAUCUAGGGUUCUGGCUGAUUUGAUCAUCUUUCCGUAUUUAUUGACAUGUCUCGUUAACGAGUGCCCAUGGGGCAUUUAUUAAACAUACUGGAUAAGGAAAGUUCCAUUGUCCACAACACUAGUUACACACUUCACUAGAACAAUUGUGGAUUAUAACUUGUGGUGUUCCUCAAUUAGCCGCUAAGAAGUGCCCAAGGGAUAGUGAUUAACAAAUUAAUGUUGUUGAAAUACAAUUACUUUUUGGCCGAUGAAAAUAAUCUCUCUACACACCCCUUGCUCUAGAUCAAUAAGCUCUCAGUUCCUUAUCUUAGUGGUUAACAUUAUUAUUGCUAGCUACAACAAGUCUGCUUUUCGGUUGAACCAUCGUUGUUCUCAUGCAUUUCUUAUUCCAUUGCAGGUGCAAUCAUAUUAGACGGCUACGACUUGUAUAUUGCGGUAACAUUUCGGAUGAGGGUCUGUGUGAAGCAGCCUCAAAACUUCCUAUGCUGGAGGUCCUUGAAUUAUCUUAUUGCUCAUUCUCAAAGGAAGCCAUAGAGACUGUUGGACAAUGUUGUCCCCUUCUGAAAUCCUUCAAAUUGAAUAGCCAGGGAUAUAGAUAUCCACACAUAGAAUGUGAUGACGAGGCACAAGCUAUAGCGAAAAACAUGCAUGGAUUACACCACCUCCAACUCUUCAGGAAUAAGAUGACAAAUGAAGGUCUGAAGACGAUUCUCGACAGUUGUCCUCAUCUUGAGUAUCUCGACUUGCGCCAGUGCUUCAAUAUUUAUAUGGAGGGUGAUUUGGGGAGAAGAUGCACCGAACAGAUCAAAGAUUUAAGGAAUCCAUAUGACCCCACAGAUGACUAUGAAUUUGAUGCUGCAAUUCUCAAUGACGAGUCCUUUGAUGAUGAUUACCUACCUUGGUUUUAUGACAUUGAUUUGCCUGAUUAUGAUAACUACUAUGAAUUCUCUGAUUAUGAUGACUUCUCUGUAUAUGGGUUUGACGAGUAUCAGUGAUUUGCUGGUUGAUGCACUUGCAUGGUGAGAAACCCUUUUCUUGCUUUAAGUCGCAGAAUAAUUUUACUACAUGG